rnacentral:lncRNA from 1 species
GUUGAUCAGGAGAAUCAUGGCAUACUCUGCAAAGACUUCUCACCUUCUUCUCUUUGUUUUCUUUCUCUCAUCACUUGAAUCCAUUCUUGCAACAACACGAGAGGGAGAAGCUCUUGUGAAAUGGAAGAAUAGCCUAGCCCCUUCUUCUUUUCUCGAUUCUUGGUCCCUCACCAAUCUCGAAAAUCUUUGUAACUGGACUGGCAUUACUUGUAACUCUGCAGGUUCAGUCUCUGAGAUUAACCUCUGUGAGAAACAACUUGAUGGAAUGCUGUCCGACUUCGGUUUCACUUCAUUUCCAAAUCUCAAGAAUCUCACCCUGGCAGACAACUUCUUCUCGGGUCCAAUACCACCAGCCAUUGAGAAUUUAACACAGCUUCAAUAUCUUGAUUUAAGCAUGAAUAGUCUCAAUGGUCCCAUUCCGUUCCAGGUUAGCCAUCUUCAGAGGUUGCUCAUAUUAAACCUGUCACAGAAUGCAUUGCAAGCUCCAAAUUGGUCCCAUUUCUCUCCCAUGCCUGUUUUGCGCUUCCUCAAGCUCAGUAGAAAUCCUCUUGUGUCGAAAUUCCCAAAUUUUAUAUCCAAUUCUCAUAGCCUGACUUAUCUCAACCUUUCACAUAACAAGUUUAGUGGUGAUCUUGUACGUGAAUCAGUAUUUACCAAUCUGCAUCAUCUUGAAGUCCUCAGUCUCGUUGACAAUUCUUUUGAGGGGCCAUUUCCGCCAAAUAUAUUCAAGCUUUCCAAAUUAAAACGUCUUGCCCUGUCAGGUAACAAAUUUUCAGGUCCAAUUCCCAAUGACAUAAGGUUGCUAUGUGAUCUUGAAUCCCUAUAUUUAGGCAACAAUUCCUUUGAAGGACCGCUUCCACCAAAUAUAUUCAAGCUUUCAAAAUUAAAACAUCUUGUUCUUUGGAGUAAUAAGUUUUCAGGUUCUGUUUCCAAUGAUAUAGGUUUGCUUUCUGAGCUUGAAAGCCUCGAUCUUAACUCUAAUUUUUUUAAGGGGCCGCUUCCGCCAAAUGUAUUCAAGCUCUCCAAACUAAGGUUUCUUUACCUCUGGGGUAAUAACUUUUCAGGUUCUGUUUCCAAUGAUAUAGGUUUGCUUUCUGAGCUUGAAACCCUCGAUCUUGAGUCUAAUUAUUUUGAGGGGCCGCUUCCGCCAAAUUUAUUCAAGCUCUCCAAACUAAAUUUUCUUUCCCUUCAGGAGAAUAACUUUUCAGGUUUUAUUUCCAAGGAUAUAGGUUUGCUUUUUGAACUUGAAACCCUCUAUCUUGGCUCUAAUUUUUUUGAGGGGCCGCUUCCCCCACAUGUAUUUAGGCUCUCCAAAUUAAGAGAUUUGGACCUCUCAGACAAUAGAAAUUUAUUUGAAGGAAGUAUUCCUAUUGGACUGGGACUCUUGACUAACCUCAGGUACUUAGAUCUAUAUUCCACUAAUCUCAGCGGCUAUAUUCCAUCUGACAUUGGAAACCUGAAGCUACUAGAAGUUCUUGUUAUCAGUUAUAAUCAAUUGAGUGGACAGCUUUCAAAGAUCAUUUCUAAUCUCACAAAUCUUAUAAUGCUUGAUGUAAGUGAUAAUAGUCUUAGUGGAAAUAUUCAGAGUGACUUGUGGAUACAUCCAACUUUGGAAUUCAUCGCUAUGGGUGGGAACCAUUUUACGGGUAUAGUUUUUCUCUAUAGAUCUUUUCCUUUUGUCUUAUUUAACUAAGCUAGUAAUCUGGUUAUUGCAGUUUUACCAAAGUUUCAACAAUCUUGACAGGUGAACUUCCAAACUGUUUGGGGAAUCUUGCUGAUGGAUUGCGUGUCAUUAAUCUUGCUAGUAAUCAGUUUCGAGGAACAGUACCAACUACUUUCUCCAGGAGUUGUCAGCUGACAUAUCUAAACAUGGAUAAUAAUGAGUUUGAAGGAUUGUUGCCCCCAUCUUUGGCGAAUUGUGAGCACUUGAAAAUUCUUGAUAUUGGCAAUAAUGAAAUAGGUGGUACAUUUCCGUCAUGGCUUUAUGCACUUGGAGAUCUAGAAGUCCUUGUCUUGAAAUCAAAUAAACUCUAUGGUACAAUAAGUGGAAGGAGCAGUGAAGAUCCCUUCCCCAAGUUGCGGAUUGUGGAUCUGUCCAACAAUCAAUUCACUGGUCAUUUGCCAAUUCAAUACUUUAAGAAUAUGAAAUCAACUGAUAAUUUGUAUAGCUAUCAGCAUUCCACAGGAGUUUUUUCUUUCCUUUAUGAAGCAGCAGUGUCGUUAACUUUGAAGGGAACAGAGUAUGAAGUAGCAAAGAACCUUCAUAUUUACACAGCCAUUGAUCUGUCGUGCAAUAAAUUUCAGGGAGAAAUUCCAAAGGUUACUGGAGAGCUUAGAUGGCUUGCAUUGCUCAAUUUAUCGCAUAAUAGUCUGACAGGACCUAUCCCAUCGUUGCUGAGAAAUAUGAAAGAACUCCAAUCUUUAGAUUUGUCCUCAAAUCAACUGACAGGGGUCAUUCCACCUCAGUUAACUGCAUUGACAUUUCUAGAGGUCUUAAACUUCUCGAAAAACCAUCUCAGUGGAGAGAUUCCUCAGAAAGGACAGUUCAGCACAUUCAAUAAUGAUUCUUAUCUUGGAAACUCUGCGUUAUGUGGAUCACCUUUGACGAAGAAAUGUGUAAACACUGUAUCACCUCCACAGGAAGUCGGAAAUGGUGAUGAAGAUGAUGCGGGUGAUGAAUUGACAUGGGAAGCAAUCGUGAUGGGAUAUGGAUGUGGACUGAUAUGUGGAUUGUCAUCUGCGUACAUUGUUCUCAAACUAGGAAGGCCUUGGUGGUUUGUGAGAUAUAUCGAAGUACUGCAACUGAAGUUGAUGAAAAGAUAUGCAUGAAGAAAGGUACUGGUCGAUCAAGACGAAUUUGAAAGUUGUUGUCCUUGUGGACAUUUCUGAACCUGUAGUGUACUAGCUGCAUAAGUAUUUGGUAUUAUGUAAUAAUCCGUUUGGUCGGGACUCAUAAUGAUUUCUCUUGCUUCAGGGGUAUUUAUAUUAACCUUGGUAUUGUGUCCUAGCUGUAAUAUACUGUUUGGUCGGGACUCAUAAUCAUAUUUCUUGCUGGGUAUUAAUAUUAACCUUGUUAUCUUGAUCUAUGUUAAUGCAAAUUAAAGUGAAUGAAAAAACAAAAAAAUAUGCAUCAAAUCCGCUGUUUGAAACAAUUCAAUAAUAAACUCGAGUUUUCCAGGACCAAAUCCACAUAUUCAAUAUCACACUCUUCCUGUGAGGAAACAAAUAUGGAGAAACAUUUCUGUUUACAAAACUUUUACCAUUAUACACUCUUAUAGUACUGGUUAAGAGUUCCUAAACUAAAAUUAUCAGUUCUAUGUGAGUAUGCUUUCAAAUAAGAAUUCGUUGUUCCGCCUAGUCCAAAACUACUCUAAAACUAUAUCGCUGGUAGUCUUUCAGUUCAUCCUACUGUAUGCAAUAGUUUCAUACAUAGGUAACUCGGCCUUGUGUGGACUUCCUUUGACAAAAAAGGGUUAAUAGGCUAAAACAUAAUCGAACUGACCCAAAACUUGCAACAAAUAGGAAGGCCUUGGUGGUUUGUGAGAUACAUCGAAGUGCUGCAACUUAAGUUGAUGUUAUGAAGAACUAAAAAUAUUGUUCCGUCAAGACCAACAACUUGAAAAUGUGUUCUGAAUCUGUAAUAAUAUUAAAAUAUUAUAAUAUAAUUCAUUUAACACUAUCAUCCGAUCAAUUUAAUUUAUUAUCAUUUAGUCAAUAUAUAUAGAUGGAUAUGAAUUGUCUUCCCUCGAACUUUGAGUUGUCAUAGUCCUUAAACAUAUUAAACACUUUGAAAAUUUGUUUCUGCAAGUCUAAAUUGUAGACAACACUUUCAAAGUUAGUUGCCGAAUAGACUCAUUUUGAAAAAAUUGGUUAGAUUCCGGAUAAAUUCAUUAAUCAGAAUUAAAUAUUUCAUGACCCUAACUCAAUCUGUUGUAAAUUGAUGUUGAGUUCAGGUAACACUGGCAGGUAUAAGGCAUAUAAAUAGCAGUCUCAUUAAUUGUGAAGGGAACAGAGUAUGAAGUAAGAAAUAACCUUCAUAUUUACACAGCCAUUGAUCUGUCGUGCAACAAAUGUCUGGGAGAAAUUCCAAAGGUUACUGGAGAGAGCUUAGAUGGCUUGCGAUUGCUCAAUUUAUCUCAUAAUAGUCUUUUUUUGAAAAAAGAAAAUAAUUCAAUAAUGAAAAAUCAUACUAAAUCCACAGAUAUAAUCGAAAUUGAACAAACGCAGAAUCAUAUCACCAUUGAAUCCUUCAGAGACGGCGGCUACUUCAAGGUGAGAGAAAUUUAGGGUUUUGCUUCUUAUCUCUAAAAUAGUUAAUUGAAGAGUCAUCUCAUAAUAGUCUUUGAAGUAUUACUAGGGAAAAUAUAUCUUCAUAAUGAAAAAUAAUUAUCAUUUUAAAAAAAAUUCACGAUAGAGGGGCCAUUUGGAUGAGUUUAAAUAAGUGCUUUUGGUAAAAUUUAAGUUCUUUAAUUUCCAAUUGUUUUAGAAGUUUAAUUAGUAAUUAAUAACAUGUGUACGGUUGGAGUUUUUUUGAGUCUAGCGGUGAUAGUUGUUUGAAAAACUGAUAUACAAGUCUAACAAAGUUUAAGUUAAAUAACUUUAAUUCAUAACUAUUUUGUUACCAAUCUACCAUUUCUUGUGUUUGGGUCUUUUUAAUAUAUGUUGCUACUUUAUGGGUAAUAUCUUUAUCUUCGAAGGAGUUUGUGUUUGUCACUUUGUCAUAACAAUGUCACUACCAUCUCUUUCAUUUUGUAAAAAUCUUAUAUAUAGUGAAUGAUAGCUUGAACUCCUUAUUUAUUUCAAUUAUGAAACAUGAUAUAGAUUUUAUAGAGUUAUUUUACAAAUUAAAUUGUUUGACUUCUUAGUAAAGGAUGUCAAUAAUGUUCAACCUAGUACGUAAUAUGUGUAAUCCGAAAUGAUAUUGUUGUCUGUUCUUUCUACUUUAUGGAUUAUAUCGCUGAUACCAGUAAUUUUAUGCUUCACUGCAUGAUGCAGCUCUCAUGUUAUUAACAGCUAAACUCGUGCCAACACUUUGCGAUGCAAAAUAGUGGCACAAAAGUAUUUUCAUAUGUGUAUUUAUUCGGAAAAUACGUGUAUUUAUUCGGAUAUUAAAGUUAGUAUGGACAUUUGUGUUGAUAAUUUGAGCCCUCUUCUCUUCCAAGUCUUGGGCGGACUCUUUCCAAGUCUCCUGAGGACCCAUAGGCUCAAAUUAGUCCAUUAAAAUUUAUGAUCUGAAAGCUCUCUGCGCACUAAUUUCUCCGCCAAACGAAAAAUCAACAUUUCAUGUACUAACUAUUUCCAUAAUAAUUAACAAGUAUAAAUCAUAUAUAUUUUUCCAUAGAACAUAAAUAGAUGGGGUACUAACAAAACCUCUAGUCAAAUUAAUUAAUACCGUUAUGAUUUCGCAAACACAGCAGACAGCAGGCGUAAGGCUAGCUUAUAAAUAGAAGUGUAGUAUUGGGUUGAUGGUCAAGUUGAGUGGAAGUAUGGCACACUUUGUAAAGCCUUGUUAUCCUCUUCUCUUUGUUUUCUUUCUCUCAUUACUUCAAUCCAUUCUAACAACACAAGAGGGAGAAGCUCUUUUGAAAUGGAAGAAUAGCCUAGCCCCUUCUUCUUUUCUCGACUCUUGGUCCCUCACCAAUCUCGAUAAUCUUUGUAACUGGACUGGCAUUACCUGUAACUCUGCAGGUUCAGUCUCUAAGAUUAACCUUUUUGAGAAACAACUUGAUGGAAUGUUGUCCGAGUUUGGUUACACUUCAUUUCCAAAUCUCAACAAUCUCACCCUCGCAUACAACUUCUUCUCGGGUCCAAUACCACCAGCCAUUGAGAAUUUAACACAGCUUCAGUAUCUGGAUUUUAGCAAUAAUUAUCUAGAUGGUCCCAUUCCGUUCCAGGUUAGUCAUCUUCAGAGCUUGCUCAUCUUAAACCUGUCACAAAAUGCAUUGCAAGCUCCAAAUUGGUCCCAUUUCUCUCCCAUGCCUUUUUUGCGCAUCCUCAACCUCAGUCACAAUCCUCUUUCGUCGAAAUUCCCAAAUUUUAUAUCCAAUUCUCAUAGCCUGACUCACCUUAGCCUUAAUUAUAACGAGUUUACUGGUGAUUUAGUAAGUGAAUCAAUAUUUGCCAAUCUGCAUAAUCUUCAAGUCCUCAGUCUUGUUGGCAAUUCUUUUGAGGGGUCAUUUCCGCCAGAUAUAUUCAAGCUUUCCAAAUUAAAACAUCUUAGCCUGUCACGUAACAAAUUCUCAGGUUCAAUUCCCAAUGACAUAAGGUUGCUUUGUGAUCUUGAAUACCUAUAUUUAGGCAACAAUUCCUUUGAAGGACCGCUUCCACCAAAUAUAUUCAAGCUUUCAAAAUUAAAACAUCUUUUUCUUUGGGGUAAUAAGUUUUCAGGUUCUGUUUCCAAUGAUAUAGGUUUGCUUUCUGAGCUUGAAACCCUCGAUCUUCGCUCUAAUUUUUUUGAGGGGACACUUCCGCCAAAUUUAUUCAAGCUCUCCAAACUAAAGAUUCUUUCCCUUUAUGAGAACAACUUUUCAGGUUUUAUUUCUAAGGAUAUAGGUUUGCUUUCUGAGCUUGAAAGCCUCGAUCUUGGCUCUAAUUUUUUUGAGGGGCCGCUUCCCCCACAUAUAUUUAGGCUCUCCAAAUUAAGAGAUCUGGGUCUCUCAGACAAUAGAAAUUUAUUUGAAGGAAGUAUUCCUAUUGGACUGGGACUCUUGACUAACCUCAUGUUCUUAGAUCUAUAUUCCAGUAAUCUCAGUGGCUAUAUUCCAUCUGAAAUUGGAAACCUGAAGCUACUAGUACUUCUUGAUCUCCGUUCUAAUCAAUUUACUGGACCGCUUUCAAAGAUCAUUUCUAAUCUCACAAAUCUUAUAUUUCUUGAUGUAAGUUAUAAUAGUCUUAGUGGAAAUAUUCAGAGUGACUUGUGGAUAUAUAACGAUCAUCCAACUUUGGAAUUCAUCAAUUUAGGUGGGAACCAUUUUACAGGUAUGUUUUCUCUAUAUAUCUUUUCCUUUGGUCAUAUUAACUAAGCUUGUAACCAAAGUUUCAACAAUCUUGACAGGUGAGCUUCCAACAACAAUUUGCAAUGUCACUUCCCUUUCGGUUCUUGAUUUGUCAAAUAAUGAAUUAAGUGGUGCACUUCCAAACUGUUUGGGGAAUCUUGCUGAUGGAUUGCUUUUCAUUAAUCUUGCUAAUAAUCAGUUUCGAGGAACAGUACCAACUACUUUCUCCAGGAGUUGUCAGCUGACAUAUCUAAACAUGGAUAAUAAUGAGUUUGAAGGAUUGUUGCCCCCGUCUUUGGAAAACUGUAAGCACUUGAGAAUUCUUGAUAUGGGCAACAAUAAAAUAGGUGGUACAUUUCCGUCAUGGCUUUAUGUACUUGGAGAGCUAGAAGUCCUUGUCUUGCGAUCAAAUAAACUCUAUGGUACAAUAAGUGCAAGGAGCAUAGAAGAUCCCUUCCCCAAGUUGCGGAUUGUGGAUCUAUCCAAUAAUCAAUUCACGGGCCAUUUGCCAAUUCAAUACUUUAAGAAUAUGAAAUCAACUGAUAAUUUGUAUAGUUAUGAGAAUGACAGAGGAAUAUAUUAUGCAUAUGAUGAAGCAGCAGUCCCAUUAACUGUGAAGGGAACAGAGUAUGAAGUAAGAAAUAAUCUUCAUAUUUACACAAUCAUUGAUCUGUCCUGCAACAAAUUUCUGGGAGAAAUUCCAAAGGUUACUGGAGAGCUUAUAUGGCUUGCAUUGCUCAACUUAUCUCAUAAUAGUCUAACAGGACCUAUCCCAUCAUUGCUGAGAAAUAUGAAAGAACUCCAAUCUUUAGAUUUGUCUUCAAAUCAACUGACAGGGGCUAUUCCACCUCAGUUAACUGCAUUGACAUAUCUAGAGGUCUUGAACCUCUCGGGAAACCAUCUUAGUGGAGAGAUUCCUCAGAAAGGACAGUUCAGCACAUUCAACAAUGAUUCUUAUCUAGGAAACUCCGCGUUAUGUGGAUCACCAUUGACGAAGAAAUGUGCAAACACAGCAUCACCUCCACAAGAAGUCGGAAAUGUUGAUGAAGAUGAUGCGGGUGAUGAAUUGACAUGGGAAGCAAUCUUGAUGGGAUAUGGAUGUGGACUAAUAUGUGGAUUGUCAUCCGCGUACAUUGUUCUCAAACUAGGAAAGCCUUGGUGGUUUGUGAGAUAUAUCGAAGUGCUGCAACUGAAGUUGAUGAAAAGAUAUGCAUGAAGAAUGGUACUGGCCAAUCAAGACCAACUUGAAAGUUGUUGGACAUUUCUGAACCAGUAGUGUACUAUUCUCUUUGUGGCUGCAUAAGUUUUUGGUAUUGUGUAAUAUUCUGUUUGGUCUUGAAUUUCAGGGGUAUUAAUAUAAACCUUGGUAUUGUGUAAUAUUCUGUUUGAUCAAUGUUUAUAUCAAUAAUUUUAUGCUACUCACGUACUGCAUCAUGCAGCUCUCAUAUUAUCUUCAUAUGUGUAUUAUUUGGAUAUCAAAGUUGCAGGGACAUAUGGAUAUGUGUUAACAGGGACCGCUCCCAAGUAGGGGUGAGCAAAAUCGAACCGGAACCGAAAAAUCGAACCGAACUGCGUAAAUUCAGUUCGGUUCGGUCCUAAUUUUCUGAAAAUUCGAUCCAUUCGGUCAGGACCGAAUACACCGAAAUAAAGUUCGGUCCGGUUCGAUCCGUAAAAAAAUAUUUCGGUCCGGACCGAAUAGACCGAACAGUCCAAAAUAUAUAUAAUUUAUAUUUAUAUUUAUAUUAUAUAUAUCUUAAAUGUUAUAAUUAUAAUAUCUAAUUUGUAAAUUUAAUUAUGAAAAAUGAUAUAAAAUUAUGUGUUAUAUCUUAUAUAUAUAUAUAGAGGGUUACUCCAGUGAGAACUUCUUAAAAUGAGAACCGUGAGAACUUCUUUAAUUUAUCAUAUUUUGAUUAAUCUAAACAUCAAACUAGUGGGUAUCCAAUAUAAAAAGUGUAUAUAAAACUAGUCUCUCCCUAACUAGUCAAAAAAAAAAUUCAAAAAAAAAUUUUAAAAAAAGAAAGUCCACUGCCACGUCAUCAGUGAUUUUUUUUAUUUUUUUUUUAAUUUUUUUUUUCGGCUAGCUAGGUGGAGAUCUUAAUUAUAUACAUUUUUUGUGAAGGUGCCCCUGGCGGGGCCCUUCAUAUAUGUACUUUUCAUAAAUUAUAAAUUAUUGUUUUAAAUAUAUCGAAAUGAUUUCUAUAGAAAUUUAAAUUGUAUGUUUAAAUAAUUUUUUUGAGUGACUUAUGAGUUAUAAAAAGGAUGAUAAUAAAAAUAAAUUUGAUAUGUUAUUUAUACGAGUAAUGAAAUUGAUUUUUGUUAAAAUUUAUAAUGAUGGAAUAAGUUAUUCAGAAAAAUAAAUCUUAUUUAUUUAGAGAUGACAUAUUUUAAUUUUAGAUCAAUUUUUUUCUCACUAAAAAAUUAUUUUAAAAUCAAAAAUAAAUUAAAUGUCUUCGCAUUUAUGCAAACAUGCUCUAAAUUAUGCGCAAUAUUAGCAAUCAGUGACUGAUACACGUGCUGAACCUUCCGAAGAUUUCUGGUCAAAAAUAUCCGUGACCCUUUGAGGAAUACAGGAAUAAUCACACAGCUGGCUUACCAUCUGCACCCAAUUAAUACGGACAACAGUACAUUUAUUAGACUAGAUUUUCAAAAUUUUCAAUAAUAGUAUUAUAUUAUUAUCGGUUUUUCUAGUGAAUGCUCAUGGGCACACACUAAACACCAAAUUUUAUAAAUUUGGUGGUUUUUGAUUGACUCAUGCUUGUUUAUAAUGGUAGAGCCUCCUCAAAUUCACCGACCACACCAAUUAAAAUCCACCAAAAUUAUAGAAUUUGGUACUUAGCAUGUGCUCAUGGCACACACUACAUAAACCCUAUUAUUAUACCUAUUUGAAUUUUUAAAUGAGGGCAUAUAGAAUUUAGAUAUUUAUUUAAAAUUUGUAGUUCGAUUUAGGACCUUAAAUGAAUAUAUUUGAAAUCUCCAAACUUGUAUUAAUAUUUACUUGUGUUUGACUAUAAUAAAAGUUUAUAUUAUAUAUAUAUUAGAUACCUAACACUCCAUGGCAUACGCUCUUAUAUGAAGUUUCAUAGUAUAUCACUGUGCAUAAUAUAUCUAUUAUAUUUUUUAUGAAAUAGAAUUACAAAUUUUUAUUAUUAAAUCGAAAACGAAGUUAUAUAAUUUUUUUAUUCCAAAAGUCAUAUAAAAUUAUCUCAACAUGAUUUUAUAACAGAAUAAUAAUCAUCCAGAAUUAUUUUAAUGUGGAAUCAAUACGUAAAUAAACUUUUUUCUUCAAAUUUUAAGUGUUAAAUUACUUAUAAUAGAUAUAUGUUAUAGUAUUAUAUAUUAGAAUCAUGUUUUAUAUGUAUUCUAUAAUAGAAUUUGUACUAAAUUUGAUGAUUUAUAAUGGUGUACUAUGUAAAUCCAUAUAAUAACUACCUCCGUCCAAUGUUAACCUAUAUACAUAUAUAGGAAUAGGAUCAAAUAAUAUUUUUAAGUUACAAAGUUACAAACUUUUUUUUUGAAUUUUUUUAUUCUCCUAUCGUGUUUAAUCCUUAGUUAUAGAAGUAUCCAUGUUGAAAAUUAUUGAAAAAAUCACAAUUUUUAAAAAUAACGCAUAAAUAAAUCGUGCAUUUAACACAUCUAUAACUGUGGUUCAACAUCGGGUGUAGAACACUAAUUAUCAUUGUAUUGAAUAUAACCAUAAAUAUAUUUAAACUAUGUCUUUGGAGUUUGGGUAGGGUCUAGAAAUAUAAAUAUUAGUUAUAUAAUACGUUUAACUUAGUUCUUAUACUGAAAAAUUAGUUUUUGUAUUUCUCCAACACAAUCGAUGUUUAACAAAAUAUGUUAAAAAAUGUUGAACUCAAAUUAUAUAUAUGAUGAACGCAUAAAAUUUGUAAGUUUGUAAGACUCUUCAAUUAUUUAGGUUUUGGUUGCAUAGGAAGAUAGAAUGAGAAAAGGUUUCACAUUCAAUAUUUUAAAUAACGGUUUUUCUCGUGAGUGCCCAUGAGCACAUGUUAAGCACUGAGAUUCAUAAGUUUGGGUGAUUUUGAUUGGCUACUACUUCUUUAUAAUGGUGGAUCCCCCUACAAAUUCACCAACCACACCAAUCAAAAUCUACCAAACUUAUAAAAUUUGGUGUUUAAGAUGACGUUUGAAUGAGUUUAAAAUUAUGACUUUAUUUAAGAUGAUUUAGGAAACGUUUGAGUGAGGUUAAAAUAAGUGUUUCUUGAUUAAGGUAAAAAAAUGAAAUAGAAGUUAAAAACAAGUUAAGACUUAUAAGUGAUUAAAGUGUUUAGAAAAGAGGUAAAAGCUAGAAUUUGUAACUUUUAAAAAGUGUUUUUGUAUUUUUACACAAACAGGUCAAGAAAAACAGAAGCAAGACUUCUUAGAACGAAAGCACUUCUUUUGCUUGGCCAAACAAGCACUUAAUAUAAUAAUAUGUAAGUUAAAACUAAUUUGUGAUUAAAAAAAAAUAAAACAAUCUGCGAGUUAAAACUGACUGAUUGAAAAUUUUUGACUUAUUAAUAAUUUAUGAGUUGUUAAAAAUAUAAUAAUGAAAAUAAAAGUGAUUUAUGGAUAAUUUAUAACUUAUGAGUAACUGCUAUUAAAAAAAUUAAUUUUCAAAAUUUGUUGACAUAUUUGAUAAUUUUCUAUCAGUUAUGUUUUGUACUUAAUUCUGUUUUUAGAAAUAACAAUUUCAUGAAAACGACCAAUCAGACAGGCACUUGCCAAACUUCUGGUGACCAUAAUUCUUAUCUUAUCAUAUAGUAGUAUUUUAAAAUUAUUCGGAAAUAGAUAAAUUUAAUUGUUUGUAGUUGACAGGAAUAACACAGUUCAAGUCGCAUCAAAGAAAGAAAAGAAUUAAAUGCAUUUCAUUUCGAAUCACUUGUCGGCAUUCUUUUCUUCUGGUAUGCAAAUAAUUUAAUUUACUUUUCACAAAUAAAUAUAAAAACAAAUGCGCACCUACUUAUUAGCGGCCUGCACUGUAGAGUUCAACCGUACUGCAAAGUGGUCCAAGUUUGUUUGUUUAAAUCGUAAAUAUGUUAAAAUUAUGGGGCCAAACUGGUCUAGUCACUUAAUAAAUUAAAAUUAAAAUUUUAAAAAUAAAUAAAAUUUAUGAAUUUCGAUACUAUAAGUACUAAUUCAGUUUUAAUAUAAAAUAAAUUGUAAAAUUAACGUAUCAAGAUUUAAUUAUUUUCUUUCUCAAGAUAUUUGGUAAAAUCUUGGAUUCAUGUUUUCACCGAAAAAGCUCCGCUGAAAAGUACGGUUACAAUAUGAAUAUAUCUCGAUAUUUUAAACUUCAUUUCACUUAAUCUAAAAAUAAUAAUUAUAAGAAAAUUUAAUUAUUGAAUCCUUAACACAAAGUUUAACUACCGAAAAAAAGGCUUAUUAUAAAGGCGUUCUAUUUGGGAGGAAUCUUGUCAUUUUAAAGGCCCAACGCAAUAACCGUAACCAGGCCUUAACUAAGCCCAGUUGUAAUACCUUUAUAUUCUUAGUAGCAAGCAGUGUUGUAAAAAGCGGGAAUCGGACAUCGGUGAAGUUACGGAACAAGGAUUAAUCGAGGAUUAAUUGAAUUGAUCAGGGAUUAAUCGGAUUGAUCGGUGAUUAAUCGGAGAUUUAAUCAGUUCGGCGAGCUACGAAACAAGGAUUAAUCAGUGAUUAAUCGUGAUUAAUCACCGAAUUUUGGAACAGAGGUAGCAAGUAGCAAAUACUUGGCGGGUUUUGAAAUAUUAGUUUUAUUAAAAAAUUAUACUAAAAAAACCCUAUAAACAAUUGAGAUACCACCACGGAAACAACCCAUUGGUCAAAGGCCACCGGUCCACCAGUCCGGAGAUCUUCUUCCAACUGUGUUUAACCAAACAAACCAAUGCUUAAUUAAAUGCCGUUCACACGUUAAUAAAUUAUUAUGAUGCUGAGUCUAUGAUAUUACUGGCAUGAAAACACAGUUUCGUUUUAGAUAAUAUGAGUAUGAUAAUAUUUAUAUAUUGUGUGUGAUCAUAUUCUUUAAAGUAUGAAUUCUAUUUUUUUAAUUCUUUAAUAAAAUAUGUGGAUAUGAAAUGUAAUAUUUGUAACCUAAUUAACAUUAAAUAAUAAUAAAAUAUUGAUAAAUAAAAUAACAAUAAAUUUAAUACUAAUAUCAAAAUCAAUCCAGUUAUUGUACAUAUUACAAGAAUAAAACUUUUUAACUCCAUCAUCAAAAUACAUAAUAAUAAUGUGUAUUUAAAUAUUUAUUGUUAAAUAUAAUCAGUAUUGAACAGAUUAUCUAUAAACAAAUAAAAAAAAUUAAGGUUACAUUAGUUUUAAAUUUUAGAUUUUGAAUAUAAUAGUAAGUCAAUUGUCACAUUUCUAAAUUACACAUAUAAUAGAGCAUAACAGUUAAACAAACUUAUUAUUCUACUAUUUGAUCAAUGGUCAAUUGACCAACUAACUGGAAUAACUAUAGUAAUAAUAAUUGAAUUAUUAGAUUUCAGUCAAUGUACUUAUAAUCUUAUGUUAAGUUGUUUCAUACAGUCGGUUGUUUUAAUAACUAGAUUUGCUAAGAAAACAGAUCAAAGGGGAGCUGUAUGAUUAAGGUCAACUAAUCCAAAUGAUUAAACAUCAUUUCCGGUCUAUAACUUGUCUAAUCCUUAAGACCAAAUCUGGCUUUGAGUUUGUGUAGAUAGACUCUGAAGUUCCUGCAAGAAAUCUGAGAAAUCUGGUCAUGCUGACCCAAGAUUUUCAUUUACGUCAUAUUAAAAACUUUUUAAUAUUCUUAAAUUAUUCUCCUAUAAACAGUGUUGUAAAAAGCGGGAAUCGGACUUAAUCGGUAAAGUCACGGAACAAGGAUUAAUCGGGGAUUAAUUGAAUUGAUCGGUGAUUAAUCGGAGAUUUAAUCAGUUCGGCGAACUACGCAACAGAGAUUAAUCGGUGAUUAAUCGUGAUUAAUCAGCGAUUUUUAGAACAGAGCCUAUAAACAGAAGUGUGCAUUGUAGUUUAAACGCAGUAUCUAGCAUCAAUUUUCAUGUUAAGUGCAAGCAUGACAUACUUUAAAAACCCCUGUUAUCACCUUCUAUCUGUUGUAUUUUUUCUCCUGCUAUUUCCAUCGAUCCCCGCGACAAGAGAAGAAGGAGAAGCUCUAGUGAACUGGAAGAACAGCCUAUCCCCGUCCUCGUUCUUCGAAUCUUGGUCCUCAGCCAAUCUCAACAAUCUUUGUAACUGGACUGGCAUUACCUGCAACUCCGAGGCCUCAGUAUCUGAAAUCAACCUUUCGGAAAAACAACUCCAAGGAACGCUUGCUGAGUUCCGCUUCAAUUUGUUACCAAGUCUAAAAACUUUUACCAUCAGCCGUAACAACUUCACUGGUCCAAUUCCAUCAGAUAUUGGAAAUUCAACUGAGCUUCAAUACGUCGAUUUUAGCUUUAAUUUUCUCAAUGGUUCUAUACCAUAUCAGGUUAGUCAUCUUCAGAGGUUGCGCGCCUUAGACCUGUCAUAUAAUCUCCUGGAAUCUCCAAAUUGGUCCGAGUUUUCGCCCAUUCCUUCCUUGACUAAACUUUAUCUCAGAUCAAAUAAUCUUGCCUCCAAAUUUCCAGGAUUUAUAUCCAGUUGUCAGAGCCUGACAUAUCUUGAUCUUUCACAUAACUUCAUAACAGGCGAUCUCGCGCAAGAAUCAUUAUUUGACAAACUGAUACAUCUUGAAUCCUUCUCUAUUCGUAAUAAUUCUAUUGAGGGGCCGUUUCCACCAAGUAUAUUUCCUCUUUCCAAAUUACGAUUUCUUGACCUAUCAAGAAAUAACUUUUCAGGUUCUAUUCCCCGGAAUAUAGGAUUGCUUCGUGAUCUUGAAUAUCUCAGCUUAUUUUUUAAUUCAUUCGAAGGAAGCAUACCUUCAUCUAUUGGUCUACUUAGGAAGCUUCAAUUACUAGAUAUCGGAUAUAAUUAUUUAAAUUCCUGUAUUCCUCGUGAAAUCGGGCUUUUGACUAAUCUCAGCGAAUUAUAUCUCAAUGUCAAUAGUCUUACUGGCAAAAUUCCUUCUGAGCUCGGCCUCUUGACUAAGCUCAACUAUAUAAUUCUUUUUUCCAAUAAUCUGACCGGAGAUAUUCCAUCUGAAAUCGGAAACCUGAAGCUACUGACUCGGCUUCUCCUCGGGUCUAAUCAUUUGACUGGAUCGGUUGCAAACUCCAUUUCUAAUCUCAGUAAUCUAGAGUUUCUUGGUCUACCUAAUAACAGAUUUUCUGGAAAUAUUCCUAGUGACUUCUGGAAAAAAUAUAAAUCGUUAUUAUACAUCGACUCCAGGAACAACAAUUUGUCAGGAAGCAUUCAGGGAUUUGAUGCUAAUCUGAAUCUUACUUUCAUUAAUCUGAGCGGAAACCAUCUUACAGGUAUACUUUUUCACCUUAUUUUACUCCCUCCACUUUGAAAUAUACUUCGUUUGACUUUUUGGCACACGUUUCCAAGUCCUUUGACCUUAUUAUUAAGAUAAUUAUUUUUAAAGUAUUAUAUUUUUGAAUUAUUAUAUGGUCGUGUCAAAAAAUCAAACUACAUGUAUUUCAAAACAGAGGGAGUACUUUAUUUGAACGCUAAUGAAUCGGUUAGAAAUUGACUAAAGUUUCUACAUUUUAACAGGUGAGAUUCCUGCAACUAUUUGCAAUGUCACAUCCCUUGAGAUUCUUGAUCUCUCGGACAAUGGAUUAAGCGGUGCACUUCCACGUUGUCUGGGAAAGCUUGCUGAUAAUCUGCAUACCAUGGUUCUUGGUAAUAAUCAGCUUCAAGGGACAAUACCAGCAACCUUCACCAAGAGCUGUCACCUAGCAGUUUUAAACACGGAAAGCAAUCACUUUGAAGGAACGCUGCCCCAAGCUUUAUCAAACUGCAAGGACUUAAAAAUUCUUAAUAUGGGAAACAACCACAUUGGAGGUAUAUUUCCGUCAUGGCUAAGUACUCUUGCACAGCUAGAAGUCCUUGUCUUUCGAUCAAAUAGACUUCACGGUGAAGUAAGUAUAGGUAAUACAACACGUCCCUUCCUUAAGUUGCGAAUUGUGGAUCUCUCUAACAAUGAAUUCACUGGCCAUUUGCCUAUUCAGUAUUUUUAUAAUAUGAGGCCGAGUAAUAAGGGAUAUGAUUAUGUCAUUACAAAAGAGAAUUUCGAGUACUUUUACCAAGCAUCAGUCUCACUAAGUGUAAAAGGGACAGAGUAUGAAGUGAAACAAAUCCUUUAUAUUUACACAGCCAUUGAUCUGUCGCGCAACAAAUUUCAAGGGGAAAUUCCAGAGGUCACUGGAGAGCUUAGAUCGCUUGCGUUGCUAAAUCUAUCUCAUAAUAGUCUUACAGGGCCUAUCCCGUCAUUGUUGGGGAAUAUGGAAGCACUCCAGUCUUUAGAUUUGUCAUCAAACCAAUUGACAGGUGCUAUACCUGAGCAGUUAACUACUUUGACAUUUAUUGGGGCCUUGAACCUUUCAGAAAACCAUCUUACUGGAGAAAUCCCUCAAAAAGGACAGUUCAGUACUUUUGGCAACGAUUCAUACUUGGGUAACCCGGCCUUAUGCGGACUUCCUUUAACAAAGAAAUGUAGGCACACGUUGCCACCAACACAAGAAAUCCUAAAUGGUGAUGAAGAUGAUGCUAAUGAUGAACUCAGUUGGGAGGUGAUCCUGAUAGGGUAUGCAUGUGGAUUGAUAUGCGGAUUAUCUUUUGGGUACAUUGUUUUCACCAUGGGAAAGCCUUGGUGGUUUGUGAGAUACGUCGAAGAACUGCAACAGAAGUUGAUGAGGACACACAUGAAGAAAAUUAUUCGAUCAAGAAGCACAACUUGAUAAAAUGUUGUCUUGGGAUAACCUGAUUUCUGAAUUAGUAGACUAUUAUGCACAUAUAUGUAGUUCAUUAUUAUAUUAUUUUAUGCCAAUUGCAGAGUAGUCUGGUUCUCAUAACAAAUUUAGUCUUGUUUCACUGUUUAUUAAAACUACAUGCCAUGUUUCUGUAGGAGUGAAUACAAUUAUGUUAACUUAAGCAUGACAGGCAGGAACCGAUCUGCAGAAAUGACGUUAAUUGAUACAAUUGGAACCUGCAAGUUAUAUGCAGAAAGCACGCGGUGCCUCCCAAAUUCCAGAGACCUACAACUUCACAUAAAUGUCGUUCACAGCACUUAAUGAUCACUUGUUUGUAGUAACUAACACGUCUUCCGUCUACAAUGUAAAUGAUAGUGGAAGGUACUGAUUUCCACUUUCUUAGCAACACACUAACAACAGUGACGGAUCUAGAACUUUGAAAUUUCAUUGUUUUUUUUGGUUGAACAAGUAACUUACUAGAAUUUAAUUUAAUCAUAGCUACCAUAUGAAAAUCAAUAAUAUUGUUGACUCCUCUGCUUAACUAUGACUCCUGUGCAUGCCAAUCUCCAAAUACACAAAAAUGUUAUUUACUAAGAGAAGUUUGUUGAUAGCUAAAGGAUAUAGUCUCCGGGAAAAAAAUCCACUGACCAACUUAAUACACAGCUCAGCAGUUUAUGAGCAAGGGUCUGAGUCUUGGCUACCUGGAAAUGAAUUGAAAAAAUAGAAGUUAAUGCAUAGUUUUCUUGAAGUGUGAAGACUUGUUUUGUGAGUUGGUCCUCCAUAUUAGAAAUUAAAGUUUUUUUCAACAAAAAUCCGGUGGAACAUAUCAUUUUCCACUAUACCUUUUAUUUUCAGUUUCUUGCCAUCGAAGAGCACUAAUUCCAUCGGCAGUGAUUUGGAAGAACAGGUCUCUUGCCACUCCAAUUCCUAAGAAAAUUUAGCACAUAAAUAGAAGUGUGCCUUGCACUAUGAGAUGUACAAUGUGACAGGAAACAUGUUGCACUUCCCAAAGCCUAAUUAUCACCUCAUUGUGCUUGUUUUCUUUCUACUAUUGCUUCCAUCUACCCUCACAACAGUAUCUACGACAAGAGAAGGAGAAGCUCUGUUAAAAUGGAAGAACAGUCUACCACCAUCCUCUUCCCUAAAUUCUUGGUCACCCGUCAAUCUCAAUAAUUUGUGUAACUGGACUGGCAUUAUCUGUAACUCUGCAGGUUCAGUCUCAGAAAUAAACCUUUCACUAAAACAACUUAGUGGAACGCUUGCCAAUUUCAGUUUCACUUCAUUUCCAAAUCUUAAUAGUCUUGACAUUAGUGGCAACAACUUCACAGGUCCAAUACUACCUGCCAUUGAAAAGUUCACGCAGCUUCAGCAUCUUGAUUUUAGCUUUAACAAGCUCAAUGGUAUCAUUCCAAACCAAAUUUGGCAUCUUCAGAGAUUGCGCACCUUAGACCUGUCAGUUAAUCACUUGGAAGCUUCAGACUGGUCUAGUUCUUUCUCCAUGCCUUUUCUGACCAACCUCGACCUUAGUUUCAAUAAACUUGGGGCAAAAUUCCCAGGCGUUACAUCCAAUUUUUGUAACCUAACAUAUCAAUUAUUUCCUGAGUCAUUAGUUAACAAUCUGCAUAAUCUGGAAGUCCUUUCUCUUCAUCACAAUUCUCUCGAUGGGCCAUUUCCACCAAGCAUAUUCAAGCUUUCCAAAUUAAGAUAUCUCUCCCUAUCAAGUAAUCAUUUUUCAGGUUCUAUUCCGGAUGAUAUAGGGAUGCUUGGUGAUCUUGAAUCCCUUUAUCUGGGUCACAAUUCUUUUGAGGGGCCCUUCCCACCAAUUUUUUUCAAAUUUUCCAAACUAAUAAAUCUGUCCUUAUCAGGGAAUAUUUUUUCAGGUUCUGUUCCAGGUGAUAUAAGGAUGCUUAGUGAUCUGGAAUACCUUGAUCUUAGUCGGAAUUUUUUUGAGGGGCCUUUUCCACCAAAUAUAUUCAAGCUUUCCAAAUUAAAAGUUCUUGACCUAUCAAGAAACAAUUUUUCAGGUUCUAUUUCAGAUGAUAUACGGAUGCUUCAUAGACUUGAGUUGCUCCAUCUCGAGUACAACUCUUUUCAGGGACCCUUUCCACCAAAUAUAUUGAAGCUUCCGAAUUUAAGAGUACUUGACCUAGCAGACAAUGACUUUUCAGGUUUUAUUCCCAGUGAUGUAAACAUGCUUCAUGAUCUGAAAAUACUUUCAUUGUUUUCUAAUUCAUUUGAAGGAAGUAUUCCUUCUUCUAUAAGUCUACUCAGGGAGCUACGAUACCUUCACCUCGGGUCUAAUUAUCUCAAUUCCACUAUUCCUUUUGAGCUGGGGCUCUUGACAAACCUUGACCGAUUAUAUCUUGAUUCCAAUAAUCUUACUGGCAAUAUCCCACCUGACAUAGGAAACUUGAAACUACUGAGAGUACCAAGUCUUGAUUCUAAUCAACUCACUGGACCGCUUCCAAAGACCAUUUCUAAUCUCACUAAACUAGGGUUUCUUAACCUGAAAGAUAAUAAGUUUUCCGGCAAUAUCCCAAGUGACUUCUGGAAAACUUCUACAUCCUUAUAUUCCAUUGAUUUUUCCGACAACAACUUGUCUGGAAACAUUCCCAAGGAAUUUGAUGUUCACCCAAUUUUGGAAUGCAUCAAUUUAAGUGGAAACCAUUUUACAGGUCUGUUCUUUUCCUUAUUUUUCCUUUUUGUCUACAACUAUGCAGGUAAUCAGAUUAGUGAAUAUUGACUGAAGCUCCUCUGUUUAUACCAGGUAUGAUUCCCACAACAAUUUGCAACGCCACAUCCCUUCGGGUUCUUGUUCUGUCAAAUAAUGGAUUAAGUGGCACACUUCCAAAUUGUUUGCGAAAUCUUGCUGAUAAACUGCUUUCUAUUGAUCUUGGUAAUAAUCAAUUUCAAGGAAGAAUGCCAACCUUCUCCGAGGGAUGUCAGCUGACAUAUCUGAACAUGUACAACAAUUACUUUGACGGAGUGUUGCCUCAAUCUUUUGCUAACUGCAAGCAGUUAAAAGUUCUUGAUAUAGAAAACAACAAAAUAAGUGGUACAUUUCCCUCAUGGCUAUUUACUCUUGCAGAGCUAGAACUCCUUGUCUUGCGGUCGAAUAGACUUUAUGGUACAGUAAGUUUAAGAAGCACAACAGAUCCCUUUCCCAAGUUGCGCAUCAUGGAUCUCUCAAACAAUGACUUCACAGGCUAUUUGCCAAUUCAAUAUUUCAAAAAUAUGAAGCCGGUUGAUAAGGGGUAUGAUUAUCAUAAUUUCACAGCACCAUUUUAUUACUACUAUCAAGCAUCUAUCUCGUUAACUGUGAAAGGGACUGAGUACCAAGUGAGCAAGAUUCUUCAUAUUUACACAGCCAUUGAUCUGUCAUGCAACAAAUUUCAAGGAGAAGUCCCAAAGGUUAUCGGAGAACUUAAAUGGCUUGCAUUGCUCAACUUAUCUCAUAAUAGUCUUACCGGACCUAUCCCAUCACAGCUCGGAAAUAUGAAAGCACUCCAAUCUCUGGAUUUGUCUUCAAAUCAAUUCACAGGGGCUAUCCCAUACCCGUUAAUUGGUUUGACAUUUCUAGAGGUCCUGAACCUCUCAUAUAACCAUCUCACCGGAGAAAUUCCCCAAAAAGGACAACUGAGCACGUUCACUAAUGAUUCUUACCUAGGUAAUCUUGCCUUGUGUGGAUCUCCUUUAACAGAGAAAUGUGCACACGAAGAGUCACCACCACAAGAAGUCGGAUAUGAUGAAGAUGGUGCAGAUAAUAAAUUCCAAUGGAAAGUAGUCCUAAUGGGAUAUGUUAUCGGAUUAGUAUGUGGAUUGUCUUCAGGUUACAUUUUUCUCACAACUGGAAAGCCUUGGUGGUUUUUGAGAUACAUCGAACAACUGCAGCAAAAGUUGAUCAGAAGAAUCACGUAGAGUACUGUUUGAUUAAGAUGAGCAACUUGAAAAGAAUGUUUACUAGACCAGUGGUAUGUCGGGAACAUUAAUGUGUGGUGUCAUAUAAUAUUUGAAAUGCUAAUGUCAGCACUAGUUCUAGUUCGGGCCUGAUACCAGGGGCGGAUCUAGGAAGAGGCACGCGGGGACACGUGUCCCCCCUAAAUUUUCUUUUUACAUUUUUUCACCAUUAUAAAGUUUACAAAAUUAUAAAAGUGCCCCCAAAGAAUUUAAAAAUAUAUAGGUAUUUUCCGAAAAUUUGCUUCGUGCCCCCUAACAUUUGUGGGCUAGAUCCGCCCCUGCCUGAUACUGAUUUACUCGUCUCAGAGCUACAUAUUUCGUUCAAUGUUAAUGCAAAAGGAAAAAAACAUACUACACACUAAAUCAACUUUGUAUCAAGUCGAGUUUUGGAGAUGCCAUUAUCAAAAGAAAAACACGGUGAAUGAUAUUUAUUAAGAACACGACUUGAACCAUAAGUGCAUGAAAAUCGUCUUUCAAAGUAUGGCAGGGGGGUGAAUCGUGCACACCAUGGAUAGUCACCUGAAAGCUAACCAUUCUGAGGUUCGUGGAAGCUGAUUUCAUACUCUUNCUGAAAGCUAACCAUUCUGAGGUUCGUGGAAGCUGAUUUCAUACUCUUGAAAGCUAUCUUUAGGAGGUCGAAACUUUAAUUUGUGUUACAUAACAUUUCAUUAUGCAAGACGGAUGGUUUCAGGGAAACUGUACUAGAGAGCAAGUACCAAAUAGUAAGGUAAACUUUCGAUGAUGAAAUUCCUCCCUGAUUUUUACAUCAUUCCAUGUUUUAGACUUGACAGAACAAUCGGGCGAAUGUUCUGGUCAAUUUUUUCAUGGUUGGGCCAAAAGAAUUAUAGUACAAAUGGGUGAGAAAGUGAGAAAGUUAAUUUUAGCGAUCGCUUUUCAUUAUUUAUAAUGACGAUCAAUUUUAUCUGAUUACUUUUAAUUUUAUCUUUUAUGCUUAUUUUUUUUUUUUUGUAUGGUCUACAUAAUCGUAGAUGAAUUGUAUCGAAAUACAAUAAACCGCAACCGAGAUUUCUUUCUUUCAAGAAAGUUUAUUAUCUAACCGAAAGCCAUGCAAUCAUAACUCCGGACGUUUAGACAAUAAAAUUUAAAUGAAUGAGAAAAGAAUACCCAUACAGCUCGCUUCCACAGUAUCCUGAGAAAAAACAAUCAAACAAAAUAUAAAUUAAUAUACAAGAAAAUCUAAUAAAAACAAAAACAAAAGAGUUUAUAUAUAAAAAAAAUAGAGAGGAAAUAUAUAUAUAUAUAUAUAUAGGGUCAAGUUCGAGAUAGAACCACAUUAUACUUAGAACUUAGACCCUAUAAAUUACCAUUAGAUAUAAAUAGGAUGUGUGGUUAAGAUUAUCAUUGGUAUUAAUCACAUGUUAUAUAUUUAGGUGACAUUUAUAUGUAUGCACAUUUAAUAAAUGAGAGUUAAUAACCAGAUUUAUUACUUUCCAUGAUUAAUACAAAUCUCAAUUAAAUUUUAUGUAUAUAAAUCAGUAUAACAAAAUUAAAUAUAUCAAAUAUUUUGUUUUCAUACAUAACAAAUUUGUGUGAUUUAAUUCUAUAUGUGUAAAUGUAUAACAAAUUUACGUGAUACUGUUGCAGCACUUGUACUAAUAUAAAAGAUGGUGUUAUAAUGCAAUAUUUUUCUAAAAAGAUGGAAAUACUGCUAUAGUACAUCAAAUAUCAUACUUAUAUUAUUUAAUAAUUAUACCGAUACUAUUGCAAUACAUAGUUUUUUUUAAAAAAAAAUAAAUAUAAAAGUACUGCUAUAGUACAUCAAAUACUAAUAUAAAAGAUGGUGUUAUAAUGCAAUAUUUUUCUAAAAAAUAGAAAAUACUGCUAUAGUAUGUCAAAUANNNNNNNNNNNNNNNNNNNNNNNNNNNNNNNNNNNNNNNNNNNNNNNNNNNNNNNNNNNNNNNNNNNNNNNNNNNNNNNNNNNNNNNNNNNNNNNNNNNNNNNNNNNNNNNNNNNNNNNNNNNNNNNNNNNNNNNNNNNNNNNNNNNNNNNNNNNNNNNNNNNNNNNNNNNNNNNNNNNNNNNNNNNNNNNACUAAAUAUUCAUAAAUAAUAUUUAUUCAAUCACAAUUUAAAACGUAACCAAUACAAUUAAAAUUAAUAAAGAUAAAUAAUGAACAGCCAAUAAGAGAGAUCCCGUAAUUAAAGUCAGUCCAAAUUAAAAUUCAAUUAUUGCCUAAAAAUCAAACAAUCAUGAUAAAUUAUGAAUUCAUAAAAUUUAAAAUUUAAACCUUAAGAAGAUAAAUAAAGACCAUCAUAAAUGUUAUUAAAUAUUCAUAAAGAAUAUUUAUCAAGAUAUAUUCCUUUCCAAAAUUAACCGAAAAAAUUGAAUACUUGCAUUUUAAAAAAUUUGCACAUAAAUAUACAAACAAAUAUAAUAUAUAAAAGCAACGCCAUAAUUCAAAAUAAAUUGAUAUCGAAACACUCAACAAUAUUACAUGCACCUAAAAACAUGUUAAAAAACUAAAAAGAUUAAUCUAGAAGAUCAAAUCACACACUUAACAAACACAUACAAUCAAGAAUACCUAUCGAAAAUCUAUAUCGAGAAUCUAUAACAGACCUAAUUUCAAAUCGAUAUUCCGGUCAACCAUCACAAAUCCGGCUAAGAUAAAACAUGUCAGAAAAAGGGGGAAAAAUGGAUACAUAACUCGACUUGAUCUACAAAACUAAUCAAACAAAAUUCUAAAACAGAUACGAAUCCAUGAUUUCAAUCAACUCAAAAUUCUAUACACCUUAAAAUUAGAAGAGGAAAAGCAUAAAAUGAUUUCUAUGAUAUAGAUAUGUUAUCGUAAUUCAUAAGUUAUACAAAACAUAAAGAACAAGCAAAGAACACAUAACAAGCAUUUAUUUUGGAUCAUAACAAUAUAAUCAAAAGAAGAUGAAAGAAGCGUACCUUUUCAAAGAGACGGAGAUAUUUUGAAAAACUAUAAAAUUGAGAGAAUAAACAUACCGAAUCCGAAAAUAAAAUCCAUAAAUUGUCACGAGCAAAAUCAUCUUUUGAUCCAUCAAAAUCUUUUAAAUAUUACAUCACCUUGUUUUCUUUGGUCGCUCGGUACCUUCUUUCUUAUCUUUUAUGCUUAUUAAAAACACAGAAGAUCGUGUAAACAAAAUUAAUACAAAACGUACUUAUUCAUAGAAUAUGAUUUACUUCACUUAACUGCGCUUAAUUAUUUGAAAGGAAAGAAUACAACACAAAAUUAAAUAUAUAAGAUCUGUUAAUUUUGGAAAUGAGAAUUUUUUUAACAUAAUCAUUGAUAACAUAUUUUUCCAACUUAUUUAUAUCUGCCAGAAUUAAAUAAAAUAUGCCUCAAUAGGUUAUCAUUCUUAAUGUGAAACUGCAAAAUUAUAUAUAUUUUCAUUUAUGCCAUAUUCUUAGACAAAAAUUAAAAACAAAAUAAUGAUCCUGAUCAGCUUUAAAGGGUGUAAAACAAGUGUAAAAUAAGUAAAGUAAUUUAACUUUCACUUAUAUUAUUAAGACAAAAGUAAGCGGAAAUAAACAUAAUUUCAAUAGAUUUAACUUACUCUCCAGAAUCGAUAAGUUUGGAACACGUUGAUUGAGCACAAGACGAAGGCCACACAUGCGCAUCGUCUGAUGCAGCUAUGGUGCCUUUACAGUUGCUCAUACAUAUAGUGAAACAAUAAGGAUCAACUCCUCCAUUGUGCGUACACAUUUUCUAUCCUUAUUUUCAUACAAUAAGGAUAGAGUCUUUGCAAUCUCGUCAUGACCAGCUAUACAUCCGAUCAUGAUAAACUCUAGCAGGAUCAUCCAAGUAAUAAUUUUCAUAAUGAUAUUAAUUAUCAUUGUGAAUAGUUGCAUUGAGUUAUGUAUGUGUGUGUAUAUAUAUGCAAUGGAUUUUGUGGUUGAGAAUAUCUAUUAGAUUUUGUAUAUCCAUAACAAUUAUUAAAAUUUGAACAAUAAUAUCCAUUAUUGGUUGUGGUUGACUAUUGUAGUAGUCCAAGAAGUCUAUGCAAGUGAAAUCUAUAUUAUAUUUAAAAAGAUUAUACAUGAAAUACAAAAGGUUUUUUUAGGACUGCUGUUAAAAAUUGUUAUGUUGUACGAAAAAAUGCUGAUAAAAAAAGUGUUAUACGAAAAUUUAAAUGCUGAUAAAAAAAAUGUUGUAGAAAUCAGACAUGACAGCUUCCCACAAAAGCUGAAAAAACAAUUUUCCGUAAUAAUAUGGGAGGAGAAAAACUGUUUAUAGAUUUAUAGAACAAUUUUUCACAUAUUUUUUGAUAAAAAGCUGUUGUUGUCUUCAAGCUGAGUAAUGCCAAACAGUUCCGAAAUCAUUUUGCAGGUAGUUAAUCUCACUUCCAUAUAAUAUACUCCUAUAUAUUACCGAAAAAACAUGAAAUGAUGCAAAUCUCAUACUAUUGACAACAGGUAAACUCCUUGCAAUACUUUGAGCUGCAAAAUCCAUCAAAUUUGUUGAUAUAUCAAUGUAACUGUUUGACAGAGUACUUCCAAGCUAAGUAUCAAAAAUCACUACCUUACGAAAUAUAUCUCACCCUACCUUCUCUGCUUAACUGUUUCGAGUACUUUUACCAAGCAUAUUUUCCAUUAAGGUGAAAGGCACAGAAUAAUUAAGGAUCACCUAUCCCAUCAGUGCCGGGGAAUAUGGAACCAUCUUAUCAGUUAACUAGUUUAACAUUUCUCGCGGUCUUGAACCUCUCAGAAAACCAUCUUAUACUCAUGUGCGGACUUCCUUUGACGAAGAAAUGGUGAUGCUGAUGCUAAUGAUAAUGAACUCAACUGGGGAGUGAUCCUUAUGGGAUACGGAUGUGGAUUGAUAUGCGGAUUUUCUUUGGGGUUUAUAUUUUGUGGUUUGUGAGAUACAUUGAAGUACUGCAGCUGGAGUUGAUCAUUAUAAAGAACAUAGGCAAGUUAAUCGCUUAUUGAAAUUAGUAAUUGUCAAAAGUAAAAUGUUGAAAUUACUUUUUCCGAAUGAAAUCAUCGGCAAAAAGUCUCUGUCGAAUUUGAUCUGCCAAAAUUAUGUUUAAUAUCUACGGCCAAGAUUAUCUGUCGAAAAUAUUUCCCGACAAUUUUAAAAGACAAAUUUGUCGCGUCUCAGUUGUGAGCAGGAAUAGAUAUUUUCGACAGAAUUCCACUGAAAUUAGCUAAUUUCAACAUAAAUUUUCUAUCGAAAUUACUCGGGUUUUUUGUAGCGUAUCUGAUAGCCUUUGGGGACUGGGGUAUAUUGUUUUCACAAAGCCCUGGUGAUUUGUGAGAUGCAUCGAAGGACCGCAACUGAAGUCGAUAAGAACAUGCAGAAAGAAAACUGAUCCAUCUUGAUAAACUUGAAAAAUGUUGUCAUAUGGUGAUAUAUACUCCCUGGCCCCAGUCUCUUGGAAAGAACUUAGUUGAUUUUUUUUUUUCAGUAUCCAUCCCUAAUAGUUGCAGCAAAUUAAAAAAUAUAGUUAUAUCUUUUUAGCAAUGGUGCAAUUUGGAAAGCUUUCUCAUCAUCUUCUUCUUUUCUUUAUCUCAUUACUCUCAUUUAAUUCCACUGUCCUGCAACAAUUCGCCAAGGAGAAGCUCUAGUUGAAUGGAAGAACAGCCUAUCCCUGAAUUCGUUUCUUGGUUCUUGGUCACUAAUUAAUCUCACUUAUCUUUGUAAUUAAGUGGACUGGCAUUGUAUGCAACUCUCUGCAGGUUCAGUCAGUCAGAUUAAUCUUCAAGAACUCACAGGAACACUUGCUAACCUCGGUUUCUUUUCGUUUUCAAAUCUCACCAAUAUCAACAUUACACAUAACAACUUCACUGGUCCAAUACCACCCGAGAUUGGAAAUUUACGACGGAACAAUGUGUCAUAAGUUUCAGUUUUCCUCCAAAACUUACGACGGAUGUUCAUACAUAACUUCUGUCGCAAGUUCAACUUUUUUCAAAAGGAAAACCAGGACCCACAACAGACAUGCGAUAGAAACUUCCGUCGUAAGGUAGUUAACAUACGACGGACCGAGCAUCGUAAGAUAAAAUUUAUCCAGACAAGGAUCUGGGCCCCACAACAUACUUGCGACGGAAAGUUCCGUCGUAAAUUCUGUAACUUACGACGGUUUUAAUACUUACGACGCAUGUUUGGAAUUGUGAUGUAUUUUGCAACUUUCGACUUGACAAAAAAUGACGGAAAAAGUCCGUCGUAAAGUAAGAACUACUUCCAUCGUAAAAACCCAGUUUUGUUGUAGUGUCUGCAGGUUCAGUCAGUCAGAUUAAUCUUCAAGAACUCACAGGAACACUGGCUAACCUCGGUUUCUUUUCGUUUUUCUAAUCUCACCAAUCUCAACAUUACACAUAACAACUUCACUGGUCCAAUACCACCCGAGAUUGGAAAUUUAACAGACGUUCAGUACCUCGACUUUAGCUAUAAUAAUCUCAAUGGUAAUGGUACCCUUUCAUACCAGGUUAGCCACCUUCAGAGGUUGGUCGUCUUACGGCUGUCAUUUAAUCACCGAAAGCUCCGAGUUUGUCCAAUUUUUCCCCCAUACCUAAACUGGUUGGUCUCGGUCUUAGUGGUAAUAAGCUGGCGUCAAAUUUUCCAGAAUUCAUAUCUAAUUGCUAUAACAUAAUUAAUCUUGAUCUUUUAUUUAACGUGUUAACUGGCCUGGUGAUCCAAUGCCUGAAUCAGCAGAUGACAAUUUACGUAAUCUUGAAGAACUGUAUCUUGGUGCCAAUUCUUUCGAGGGGCCAUUUCCAACGAAUAUAUUCAAGCUUUCCAAAUUAAGGGUUCUUGACCUAUCUAUGAAUAAUUUUUCAGGUUCAAUUCCUGAUGGUAUAGGGAUGCUUCCUGAUCUUUGAAUAAUUCGUUUAUAUAAUUCAUUUGAAGGAAUUAUUCCUUCUUCAAUUAGUCUACUUAAGGAUCUUCAACACCUAGACUUCAGUGACAACCUUCUAGUUUCAAGUAUAAUGUCUUACGGGUCCAAUUUAACCGAUCAUUAUAGGCAACCCCAUUAGAGAUGCUCUUAAUAACAUUUUAACUAGAGAAUAUCUUACUUUCAGUUGCAUUUGUAUUAAAUCUGAUUUAGAUGAAGAGAAACAGAAUACAUAUGAUCCUGAGACAACAUUUUGUCAAUGUUUUCGUCUUGAUUAAACAGUCUUCUUCAUGCGUGUCCUUGUCAACUUCAGUUGCGGUAAUUCAAUGUAUCUCACGAACCACCUUGGCUUUCCCAUUUUGAAAACAAGUAUCCUGAAGAUAAUCCGCAUAUCAAUCCACAUCCGUAGCUCAGUUGAUUUAUUAAUUUAUUCAUGAAGUGGCGAACGACAUUCCUGCAAAAGUAAAAGUCAGUGGAAUUUGUAUGAUAGCAUGAUCCAUGAUGAAUAUUUAAAGUUUCAGCUAGAAUUUCACCAAGUAAUUUAUUUCUUGCUUAAGUCCCGGAUUGACGAAUUUUGCUGAUCACAUUUCUAAUCGACCAAUUCUGGUCGAAUAAAUUAAAUGGCACACUUCCUGAGUUGGUGGUGGGGGCGUUCUUCUUGUGUUUCUUUCUUUUCAUUAUUGACAUUGUUAUCCAGGUCCUUGCUUCUGGGCUUUUGUAAAGCACCCAUUUACUCCAUUGUCAUGAUCAUAGCUAGUCUUCCAUAUCCAAGAUACGCGCAUUAUAGUGGAUUUAUCUUUAUUAGUGAUUUCUGUGGAAAUGCAUAAUCUUUAUAAGCUCCAAUAUUAUAAAAUAAACCUAACUUAUUAGAGUUAACAGGGCAUUUGUGUUGAUAAUUUGCGCAAUGUUAUGGGGAUCGCUCCCAAGUCUUGGACGGACUCUUUCCAAGUCUUCUGAGGACCCAUCUGCACACUAAUUUGUCCGCCAACUAAAAAUUUAUAUAUAUUUUUCCAUAGAAUAUAAAUAGUUGGGGGUACUAACAGAACCUCUAGUAAAAUUAAUUAAUACCGUUAUGAUUUCGCAAACACAGCAGACAGCAGGCAUAAGGCUUAUAAAUAGAAGUGUCGUAUUUGGUUGAUGGUCAAGUUGAGUGGAAAUAUGGCACACUUUGUAAUGCCUUGUUAUCCUCUUCUCUUUGUUUUCUUUCUCUCAUUACUUCAAUCCAUUCUAACAACACAAGAGGGAGAAGCUCUUGUGAAAUGGAAGAAUAGCCUAGCCCCUUCUUCUUUUCUCGACUCUUGGUCACUCACCAAUCUCGAUAAUCUUUGCAACUGGACUGGCAUUACUUGUAACUCUGCAGGUUCAGUCUCUCUGAUUAACCUCUGUGAGAAACAACUUGAUGGAAUGCUGUCUGAGUUUGGUUUCACUUCAUUUCCAAAUCUCAACAAUCUCACCCUCGCAGUUAACAACUUCUCCGGUCCAAUACCAGCAGCCAUUGAGAAUUUAACAGAGCUUCGGUAUCUUGAUUUGAGCAAUAAUUAUCUAGAUGGUCCCAUUCCUUUCCAGGUUAGCCAUCUUCAGAGGUUGCUCAUCUUAAAUCUGUCACGGAAUGCAUUGCAAGCUCUAAAUUGGUCCAAUUUCUCUCCCAUGCCUUUUUUGCGCAUCCUCAAGCUCAGUAGAAAUCAUCUUGCGUCGAAAUUCCCAAAUUUUAUAUCCAAUUCUCAUAGCCUGACUCACCUUGACCUUUCAUAUAACAUGUUUACCGGUGAUCUAGCAUGUGAACCAAUAUUUGCCAACCUGCAUAAGCUUGAAGUGCUUAGUCUCGUUGACAAUUCUUUUGAGGGGCCAUUUCCGCCAAAUAUAUUCAAGCUUUCCAAAUUAAAACGUCUUGCCCUGUCAGGUAACAAAUUUUCAGGUCCAAUUCCCAAUGACAUAAGGUUGCUUUGUGAUCUUGAAUCCCUAUAUUUAGGUAACAAUUCCUUUGAAGGACCGCUUCCACCAAAUAUAUUCAAGCUUUCAAAAUUAAAAGAUCUUGUUCUUUGGCGUAAUAAGUUUUCAGGUUAUAUUCCCAAUAGUAUAAAUUUGCUUUCGGCGCUUGAAGCCCUCGAUCUUUAUUCUAAUUUUUUUGAGGGGCCGCUUCCACCAAAUAUAUUCAAGCUCUCAAAACUAAGGAUUCUUUCCCUUGGGAACAAUAACUUUUCAGGUUCUGUCUCUAAUAAUAUAGGUUUGCUUCCUGAGCUUGAAACCCUAUAUCUUGACUCUAAUUUGUUUGAGGGGCCGCUUCCCCCACAUAUAUUCAAGCUCUCUAAAUUAAGAUAUCUAGACCUCUCAAACAAUAGAAAUUUAUUUGAAAUUAGAAGUAUUCCUAUUGGAUUGGGACUCUUGACUAACCUCAACUAUUUAGAUCUACAUUGCAGUAAUCUCAGUGGCGAUAUUUCAUCUGCCAUUGGAAACCUGAAGCUACUAGUAUUUCUUGAUCUCAGUUUUAAUCAAUUGACCGGACCGCUUUCAAAGAUCGUUUCUAAUCUCACAAAUCUUAUAUAUCUUGAUGUAAGUCAUAAUAGUCUUAGUGGAAAUAUUAGUGACUUGUGGAAAUAUUAUCUGUCUGGGAACAUUCCUAAGGAAUAUAACGAUCAUCCAACUUUGGAAUACAUCAAUUUAAGUGGGAACCAUUUUACAGGUAUGUUUUCUCUAUAUAUCUUUUCCUUUUGUCAUAUUAACUAAGCUUGUAAUCUUUUUGUAGUUAUACCAAAGUUUUAACAAUCUUGACAGGUGAGCUUCCAACAACAAUUUGCAAUGUCACUUCCCUUUCAGUUCUUGAUUUGUCAAAUAAUGGAUUAAGUGGUGCACUUCCAAACUGUUUCGCGAAUCUUGCUGAUAGAUUGCUUUACAUGAAUCUUGCUAAUAAUCUGUUUCGCGGAACAAUACUAAUUACUUUAUCCAAAAGUUGUCAGCUGACAUAUCUAAACAUGGAUAAUAAUGAGUUUGAAGGAUUGGUGCCCCCAUCUUUGGCGAACUGUAAGCACUUGAAAAUUCUUGAUAUUGGCAAUAAUAAAAUAGGUGGUUCAUUCCCGUCAUGGCUUUAUGUACUUGGAGAGCUAGAAGUCCUUGUCUUGCGAUCAAAUAAACUCUAUGGUACAAUAACUGGAAGGAGCAUAGAAGAUCCCUUCCCCAAGUUGCGGAUUGUGGAUCUGUCCGAUAAUCAAUUCACAGGCCAUUUGCCAAUUCAAUACUUUAAGAAUAUGAAAUCAACUGAUAAUAUGUAUAAUUAUCUGAAUUCCACAGGAGGAAUAUAUUUCACUUAUGAAGCAGCAGUCUCACUAACUGUGAAGGGAACAGAGUAUGAAGUAGCAAAUAACCUUCAUAUUUACACAGCUAUUGAUCUGUCGUGCAACAAAUUUCAGGGUGAAAUUCCAAAAGUUAUUGGAGAGCUUAGAUGGCUUGCAUUGCUCAAUUUAUCGCAUAAUAGUCUGACAGGACAUAUCCCAUCAUUGCUGAGAAAUAUGAAAGAACUCCAAUAUUUAGAUCUGUCCUCAAAUCAACUGACAGGGGCUAUUCCACCUCAGUUAACUGCAUUGACAUUUCUAGAGGUCUUGAACCUCUCAGGAAACCAUCUUAGUGGAGGGAUUCCUCAGAAAGGACAGUUCAGCACAUUCAACAAUGAUUCUUAUCUAGGAAACUCCGCUUUAUGUGGAUCACCUUUGACGAAGAAAUGUGCAAACACAGCAUCACCUCCAAAAGAAGUCGGAAAUGGUGAUGAAGAAGAUGGUGGUGAUGAAUUGACAUGGGAAGCAAUCGUGAUGGGAUAUGGAUGUGGACUGAUAUGUGGCAUCAUCGGCAUACAUUGUUCUCAAACUAGGAAAGCCGUGGUGGUUUGUGAGAUGUAUCGAAGUACUGCAACUGAAGUUGAUGAAAAGAUAUGCAUGAAGAAUGGUACUCUGGUCGAUCAACACGAACUUGAAAGUUGUUGUCCUUGUGGACUAGCUGCCUAAGUAUUUGGUAUUAUGUAAUAAUCCGUUUGGUCGGGACUCAUAAUCAUGCAUUUUUCUUGCUUCAGGAGUAUUAAUAUAUAUUAACCUUGCUAUCUAAAAGAAUAAAAUUGCAAAUUAACCUUCUCAGAGAAAUCUUGCUGAUAAAAUGCAUUGCAUUGAUCUCGCUAAUAAUCAGUUCCGAGGACCAAUACCAACAACCUUCUCAGACAGUUGCCAGUUAAGAUAUCUAAACAUGUAUGACAAUCACUUAAAAGGACUAUUGCCCCGAUCUCUGUCAAACUGUAAGCACUUGAAAAUUCUUGACAUCGGGAACAACAAAAUGGGCGGUACAUUUCCUUCAUGGCUAUUUACUCUCGGAGAGCUGGAAGUCCUAGUCUUGCGAUCAAAUAGACUUUACGGUCCAGUAAGUGGAAGGAGCACAUCACAUCCAUUCCCCAAGUUGCGGAUUUUAGAUCUCUCCAACAACCAAUUCGCGGGCCAUUUUCCAAUUCAAUACAUUAAGAAUAUGAAACCAACUGCUGACAACGGGUAUAGUUAUCAAAAUAGAUCACAAGGACUAAUUAAUUACAUCUAUGAAGCAUCUAUCUCCUUAAAUGUGAAAGGAACAGAGUAUGAAGUGAAAAACAUUCUUCAUAUCUACACAACCAUUGAUCUGUCGUGCAACAAAUUUCAAGGAGAAGUUCCAAAGGUUACUGGAGAGCUUAAAUGGCUUGCAUUGCUCAAUCUAUCUCAUAAUAGUCCUACCGGACAUAUGUUCUGCAUUAUUAUUAUGCUUUCAUCAAUAUUUUUAAACACUUCUCAAUAUGUAUUUUCAAAGAAUUCUCAAGCACUUGAACAUUUGGACCGGUUCUUUCGAAGCCAAGAUGCCCAGGUUAUCAUGGCCAUGCACAAAAAUGCCCAAAAAUAAAUAAAUUAAGAGAGAUUGCUCAGGGUCUCCCCAAGCCUUCCAGGACACAUUCCAAGUCUUCGGAGGACCACUGCCUCGCCCUUUCAAAGAUGUGAUAGUAGCUCGAGAGUGAUAUAAAUUAUUUUCCCGACACUAAAAUAAAUAGGGUUUUGUUCCAGGACAAUCGAUUGUCAUGGAGGUCUUCCAUCAUAUCCGCAGAUAGGAACUUUCCCUAUCCGCGGAAAAUUAUAGCGGAUACUUAAAAAAAUGAAGUUUAAUCUGGACCCUUGAAAUAGAGAUCCGACGGCCAUGAAAGUGUGUGUUAACUUACUUGGCACUAAGAUUGAUAAAGACAGUAUAAUAAUUUAAUUGAUGAAAAGUCAAAGUUUUCUAAUAAAUCCAUAAAGAAUAUGAUAAUCAAAAUAACGAAAAUUAUAAUUGAAAAAUCAAAAUCAUUAGUCAUGUAUUAGAAUAGUGUUCACACACUUAUAUAUCAAAAUUUGUGGUCCCAAAAACUAUAGCACAAUAUCCUAAAUACACCACAUUAAAUACUAGUUCAAAAAUAUUCAAUAAAUAAUUGAUUUCAUUCAUAAUUUUGUUAUUUUAAAAACGAAUAAUUUGGUUGAUGUUGACCUAUAUUUUAAUAUAUAAUUAUAUUAUUUUUGUCUUAUUUUAUUUAACUAGAAACAAUAUUUUUAUAAUAUUUAUUACAUUAAUUAUAUUAAUAGAUAUAAUUUUAUUAAAAAAAUUGAAUAAAAUUAAGAGGAAAACUCUAUGCCACUCCAAGUCUACAAGACUCAUUUCAAGUCCACCGAGGACCACUACCUCAACCAUUGAGAGAUGUGAAAGUAGCUUGAGAGUGAUAUAAAUUAUUUUCCUGACAAUAAAAUUUAAUAUCUAAUAUAAAUUAAUUAAAUUAGUUAAUAAUAAAUCAAAAUUAAUCAUAAAUUAUGAUUAUAAUUAAAUUAUAUAAAUCAACUCCAAAUGAUACAAAUAACACUAAACCUUGGUUACUUUGUUGGUAAAUAAAUAUAAUAUAAUAAUCAAAUUGAUGAGAAAUCAAAAUCAUCUAAUAAAUUCACAAAAAAUAUAUGAUCAUUAGUAUAUUAUAUUAGUAUCCACACACUUAUAUUUCAAAAUCUAUCCUCCAAACUUAUCAUCUCUGUAAACUAGCCACAUAAAAUAAAAAAUUUCCACACUAAAUAACAAAAUAUCUUUAUCAAAUUAUUAUUUAUGAAUUAAAUAUUCAAGUUAUAAUUCCAGCAUGCAGCGUAUAAAUAGAAGUGUGCAGUAUGAUAUCAGAUUCAUAACCCAGUUGAGGAGAAACAUGGCACACUCUGUAAAGCCUUCUCACCUUCUUCUCUUUGUUUUCUUUCUCUCAUCACUUGAAUCCAUUCUUGCAACAACACGAGAAGGAGAAGCUCUUGUGAAGUGGAAGAAUAGCCUAGCCCCUUCUUCUUUUCUCGAUUCUUGGUCCCUCACCAAUCUCGAAAAUCUUUGUAACUGGACUGGCAUUACUUGUAACUCUGCAGGUUCAGUCUCUGAGAUUAACCUCUGUGAGAAACAACUUGAUGGAAUGAUGUCCGAGUUUGGUUUCACUUCAUUUCCAUAUCUCAACAAUCUCACCCUCGCAUACAACUUCUUCUCAGGUCCAAUACCAUCAGCCAUUGAGAAUUUAACACAGCUUCAAUUUCUUGAUUUGAGCAAUAAUAAUCUCGAUGGUCCCAUUCCGUUGCAGGUUAGCCAUCUUCAGAGGUUGCUCGUCGUAAACCUGUCACAGAAUGCAUUGCAAGCUUCAAAUUGGUCCAAUUUCUCUCCCAUGCCUUUUUUGCGCAUUCUCAACCUCAGUAGCAAUCAUCUUGUAUCGAAAUUCCCAGAAUUUAUAUCCAAUUCUCAUAGCUUGGCUAUCCUUGACCUUGGAUAUAACAACUUUACAGGUGAUCUUGUGCGUGAAUUUACCAAUCUACAAAAUCUUGAAACCCUCUACCUUGAUGAUAAUUCUUUUGAGGGGCCAUUUCCGCCAGAUAUAGUCCAGCUUUCCAAAUUAAAAGAUCUCACCCUGUCGACUAACAAAUUUUCAGGUUCAAUUCCCGAUGACAUAAGGUUGCUUUGUGAUCUUGAAUUCCUAUAUUUAGGCAACAAUUCUUUUGAAGGACCCCUUCCACCAAAUAUAUUCAAACUUUCAAAAUUAAAACAUCUUGUUCUUUGGAGUAAUAACUUUUCAGGUUCUGUUUCCAAUGAUAUAGGUUUGCUUUCUGAGCUUGAAAUUCUCAAUCUUCAUUCUAAUUUUUUUGAGGGGCCACUUCCGCCAAAUGUAUUCAAGCUCUCCAAACUAAAGUUACUUUCCCUUCACGAUAAUAACUUUUCAGGUUUUGUUUCCAAUGAUAUAGGUUUCCUUUCUGAGCUUGAACACCUACAUCUUGGCCAUAAUUUUUUUGAGGGGCCACUUCCGUCAAAUAUAUUCAAGCUCUCCAAAUUAAGAUAUCUAGGCCUAUCAAACAAUAGAAAUUUAUUUGAAGGAAGUAUUCCUAUUGGACUGGGACUCUUGACUAACCUCAGGUUCUUAGAUCUAUAUUCCAAUAAUCUCGGUGGCUAUAUUCCAUCUGACAUUGGAAACCUGAAGCUACUAGUUAAUCUUGAUCUCAGUUCUAAUCAAUUGACUGGACCGCUUCCGAAGAUCGUUUCUAAUCUCACAAAUCUUAUAUCUCUUGAUGUAAGUGAUAAUAGUCUUAUAGGAAAUAUUCAGAGUGACUUGUGGAAAUAUAACGAUCAUCGAAAUUUGGAAAACAUCAAUUUAAGUGGGAACCAUUUUACAGGUAUAUCUUUUCCUUUAGUCAUAUGUAACUAAGCUAGUAAUCUGAUUAUUGCAGUUUUACCAAAGUUUCAAAAAUCUUGACAGGUGAGCUUCCAACAACCAUUUGCAAUGCCACUUCCCUUUCGGUUCUUGAUUUGUCAAAUAAUGGAUUAAGUGGUGCACUUCCAAACUGUUUCGGGAAUCUUGCUGAUGGAUUGCAUUACAUUAAUCUUGCUAAUAAUCAGUUUCGAGGAAAAAUACCAACUACUUUCUCCAGGAGUUGUCAGCUGACAUAUCUAAACAUGGAUAAUAAUGAGUUUGAAGGAUUGUUGCCCCCAUCUUUGGCGAACUGUGAGCACUUGAAAAUUCUUGAUAUUGGCAAUAAUAAAAUAGGUGGUACAUUUCCGUCAUGGCUUUAUGCACUUGGAGAGCUAGAAGUCCUUGUCUUGCAAUCAAAUAAACUCUAUGGUACAAUAAGUGGAAGAAGCAUAAAAGAUCCCUUCCCCAAGUUGCGGAUUAUGGAUCUGUCCAACAAUCAAUUCACAGGCCAUUUGCCAAUUCAAUACUUUAAGAAUAUGAAAUCAACUGAUAAUUUGUAUAGUUAUCAGUAUUCCUCGGUAGUAUUAUACUUCUCUUAUGAAGCAGCAGUCUCAUUAACUGUGAAGGGAACAGAGUAUGAAGUAAGAAAUAAUCUUCAUAUUUACACAGCCAUUGAUCUGUCCUGCAACAAAUUUCAGGGAGAAAUUCCAAAGGUUACUGGAGAGCUUAUAUGGCUUGCAUUGCUCAACUUAUCUCAUAAUAGUCUAACAGGACAUAUCCCAUCAUUGCUGAGAAAUAUGAAAGAACUCCAAUCUUUAGAUUUGUCUUCAAAUCAACUGACAGGGGCUAUUCCACCUCAGCUAACUGCAUUGACAUUUCUAGAGGUCUUGAACCUCUCGAAAAACCAUCUUAGUGGAGAGAUUCCUCAGAAAGGACAGUUCAGCACAUUCAACAAUGAUUCUUAUCUAGGAAACUCCGCGUUAUGUGGAUCACCUUUGACGAAGAAAUGUGUAAACACCGGAUCACCUCCACAGGAAGUCGGAAAUGCUGAUGAAGAUGAUGCGGGUGAUAAAUUGAUAUGGGAAGCAAUCGUGAUGGGAUAUGGAUGUGGACUGAUAUGUGGAUGGUCAUCUGCGUACAUUGUUCUCAACCUAGGAAAGCCUUGGUGGUUUGUGAGAUAUAUCGAAGUACUGCAACUGAAGUUGAUGAAAAGAUAUGCAUGAAGAAUGGUACUGGUCGAUCAAGACGAACUUGAAAGUUGUUGUCCUGGUAGACAUUUCUGAACCAGUAGUGUACUAGCUACAUAAGUAUUUGGUAUUAUGUAAUAAUCUGUUUGGUCGGGACUCAUAAUGAUUUCUCUUGCUUCAGGGGUAUUAAUAUUAACCUUGCUAUCUUCAUCUGUGUUGAUGCAAAUGAAAAAGAAUGGAAAAACAAAAAAAUUGCAUCAAACCUGUUGUACCAAGAUCCAUUAAUCUGCUUUCAUCUCUUACGCAACAAUUUAACAGCACUUUCACACUGUUUGAAAGAUUAUCAUAAAUUCGAGUUUUCCUCGGCAGCACCAAAUCCAAAUAUACAAUCCGUCAAUCCCACACAUUCCAGUCUCAGCUUCAGCUCCCAGGCUAGCAUUAAUAACAGUUGGGGAUUUGAGUGAACGUGCCUUGGUCCUGCCUUCAAAUGUGUAACAUUAACAGUUGGAUAUGUCGACAAAAAAAUUGUUCCUCACACAGCGGAAUAAAUCCGACAGUUCUUUUCAUCCAGCAAUUUAAAGCUUAACAGACAGUCAUUAUUUCAGCAAUAUGUCUAGCAAAUAUGUAGGGCACUUGACACCAUACUUCCAACACAAGUAGUAAAAGGAGAGACCAUUGUUUCGAAUGCUCGGAAAUUUGAACUGGGUUUUUUCAGCGUGCCCCUGACUUUUGUACACAAACAGCUGAAGAAAAGCAGAAGUCGGAUUCUGGAAAAAAGAAGCACUUAUCUAUGCUAAUAUAUUAAAAAUGUCAUCUGUGUUUCUUAUGUUUGUGCAACAACCUGACAGAAAGGGAUGUAGGUGAAACCAGGGGCGUAAAAUGAAUCGGGACUAAAAUCUACUAAAAUGAUAAUUAUGUACUAUAUUUGGUCUGUUUUAAUAUACAUGUAAAAGGGGACGAAGUAGUUGGUUAUAGUUGCGAAUCCUAUAAAUGAAUGCGCGAUCAGGAUGUGUCACUAAGCACCUCCAACGCCGGGUAAGGGUGAGUAGUCUACUUCUGCUUCCUCUGUUUUUUGUAUUUGACGUUUUAAAUUUUGGCACACAAUUUUAAGUGUUUUGACCGUAUAGUUGAAAAUAUUAAUUUUAAUUUUUUUUUGAAUAAAAAUAUAUAAUCAAAAUUUUAAUUUAGAAAAAAGAUCAAUCAAAAAUAAUAUUUUUUACUAUUCGAUCAACCCACUUAACAAUAACAAUUAAAAGACUUUAGUGACGUUAUCUGACCAAGGGUCAUGGAAACUUCGACAUCGGAAUCUUGCGAGGCUACUAUUCUAAAGCACGCAUAAUCAUUGUAUCCAUUUUCCUCUAACACUGACAAAAAAUCUAUUUGAACAAAUGAAAUACAAACAACUCAGUGGAAUGCUAACUGAGUAAAGUUUCACUUCAUUUCCAAAUCUCAACAAUUUCACCAUCAAAUAUAAUGACUUCUGCUGUCCAAUACCACCAGCCUUUGAGAAUUUGGCACAGCUUCAAUUCCAUACCAGGUUAGUCAUCUUUGGAAAUUACACGUCUUAGACCUGUCAAACAUAAAUUUCAAUCUCCAAACUGGUCCGAUUUAUCUUCCAUGCUCUUUGUUGAGAACCGGUCCAUCUAAAACCUUAAGAUGUCAGAGGAAACUCAAAAUGGAUCUUCUACUAUAUUUUAACAUUUCUGAGUACAUUCAAUUAUAAGGUCACUUGUGCAUCGCUGUUCACACACUUAGACCCUGUUUGUGUGGGCUUUAAGUCCGGGCUCAAGCUAUUUCGACUUCAUCACUUCCAAGGACUUAUACCAACAACCUUCUCAAAGAGUUGCCAGUUAAGAUAUCUAAACAAGUGUGACAAUCAGUUAGAAGGACUAUUGCCCCGAUCUUUGUCAAACUGUAAGCACUUAAAAAUUCUUGACAUCGGGAACAAUAAAAUGGGCGGUACAUUCCCUUCAUGGCUAUUUAAUCUCGGAGAGCUAGAAGUCCAAGUCUUGCGAUCAAAUAGACUGUACGGUCCUGUAAGUGGAAGGAGCACAUCACAUCCAUUCCCCAAGUUGCGGAUUCUAGAUCUCUCCAACAAACAAUUCACGGGCUAUUUGCCAAUUCUAAACUUUAAGAAUAUGAAACCAGCUGCUGAUGAUAACGCGUAUAGUUAUAAAAAUAAGUCACAAGGACUAAUUAAUUACAUCUAUGAAGCAUCUAUCUCCUUAAAUGUGAAAGGAACAGAGUAUGAAGUGAAGAACAUUCUUCAUAUUUACACAGCCAUUGAUCUAUCGUGCAACAAAUUUCACGGAGAAGUUCCAAAGAGAGCUUAAAUGGCUUGCAUUGCUCAAUCUAUCUCAUAAUAGUCUUGCCGGACAUAUGUUCUGAAUUAUUAUUAUGCUUUCAUCAAUAUUUUCAAACAUUUCUCAAUAUGUAUUUUCAAAGAAUUCUCAAGCCCUGGAACAUUUGGACCGGUUCUUUCGAAGCUAAGAUGCCCAGGUUAUCAUGGCCAUGCACAAAAAUGAAUAAAUUAUUCCAAGUCUUCCAUGACUCAUUCCAAGUCUUCGGAGGAGACCCUGAGCACAAAGAUGCUCAGGGUCUCCCCAAGCCUUCCAGGACUCAUUCCAAGUCUUCGGAGCACGGCCUCGCCUCGCUCUUUCAAAGAUGUGAUAGUAGCUCGAGAGUGAUAUAAAUUAUUUUCCCGACACUAAAAAUAAAUAAUCAGAUCAAAUUAAUCAAUAAUAAAUUAAAGAUGAAAUCCAAAUUAAUCUUAAAUUUUGAUAAUAUAUAAAAAUUAUAAUUAUAAAUUAUAUACCAAAUCAGAAUUGAAUUAAUUCCUUGGCACUAAAAUUGAUAAAGAAAGUAUAAUAAUUUAAAUUUAAUUGAUGAAAAGUCAAAGUCUUCUAAUAAAUCCAUCGAAGAGCACUAAUUCCAUCUGCAGUGAUUUGGAAGAACAGGUCUCUUGCCACUCCAAUUCCUAAGAAAAUUUAGCCCAUAAAUAGAAGUGUGCCUUGCGCUAUGAGAUGUACAAUGUGACAGGAAACAUGUUGCACUUCCCAAAGCCUAAUUAUCACCUCAUUGUGCUAGUUUUCUUUCUCAUAUUGCUUUCAUCUACCCUCACAACAGUAUCUACGACAAGAGAAGGAGAAGCUCUGUUAAAAUGGAAGAACAGUCUACCACCAUCCUCUUCCCUAAAUUCUUGGUCACCCGUCAAUCUCAAUAAUUUGUGUAACUGGACUGGCAUUAUCUGUAACUCUGCAGGUUCAGUCUCAGAAAUAAACCUUUCACUAAAACAACUUAGUGGAACGCUUGCCAAUUUCAGUUUCACUUCAUUUCCAAAUCUUAAUAGUCUUGACAUUAGUGGCAACAACUUUACAGGUCCAAUACUACCUGCCAUUGAAAAGUUCACGCAGCUUCAGCAUCUUGAUUUUAGCUUUAACAAGCUCAAUGGUAUCAUUCCAAACCAAAUUUGGCAUCUUCAGAGAUUGCGCACCUUAGACCUGUCAGUUAAUUACUUGGAAGCUUCAGACUGGUCUAGUUCUUUCUCCAUGCCUUUUCUGACCAACCUCGACCUUAGUUUCAAUAAAAUUGGGGCAAGAUUCCCAGGCGUUACAUCCAAUUCUUGUAACCUAACAUGUCAAUUGUUGCCUGAGUCAUUAGUUAACAAUCUGCAUAAUCUGGAAGUCCUUUCUCUUCAUCACAAUUCUCUCGACGGGCCAUUUCCACCAAGCAUAUUCAAGCUUUCCAAAUUAAGAUAUCUCUCCCUAUCAAGUAAUCAUUUUUCAGGUUCUAUUCCGGAUGAUAAGGGAUGCUUGGUGAUCUUGAAUCCCUUUAUCUGGGUCACAAUUCUUUUGAGGGGCCCUUCCCACCAAAUAUUUUCGGUUUUUCCAAAUUAAUAAAUCUGUCUUUAUCAGGGAAUAGCUUUUCAGGUUCUGUUCCAGAUGAUAUAAGGAUGCUUAGUGAUCUUGAAUACCUUGAUCUUAGUCGGAAUUUUUUUGAGGGGCCUUUUCCACAAAAAAUAUUCAAGCUUUCCAAAUUAAAAGUUCUUGACCUAUCAAGAAACAAUUUUUCAGGUUCUAUUUCAGAUGAUAUACGGAUGCUUCAUAGUCUUGAGUUGCUCCAUCUUGAGUACAACUCUUUUCAGGGACCCUUUCCACCAAAUAUAUUGAAGCUUCCGAAUUUAAGAGUACUUGACCUAGCAGACAAUGACUUUUCAGGUUCUAUUCCCAGUGAUAUAAACAUGCUUCAUGAUCUGAAAAUACUUUCAUUGUUUUCUAAUUCAUUUGAAGGAACUAUUCCUUCUUCUAUAAGUCUACUCAAGGAGCUACGAUACCUUCACCUCGGGUCUAAUCAUCUCAAUUCCACUAUUCCUUCUGAGCUGGGGCUCUUGGCAAACCUUGACCGAUUAUAUCUUGAUUCCAAUAAUCUUACUGGCAAUAUCCCUCAUAUCUGAACAUGUACAACAAUUACUUUGACGGAGUGUUGCCUCAAUCUUUUGCCAACUGCAAGCAGUUAAAAGUUCUUGAUAUAGGAAACAACAAAAUAAGUGGUACAUUUCCCUCAUGGCUAUUUACUCUUGCAGAGCUAGAACUCCUUGUCUUGCGGUCCAAUAGACUUUAUGGUACAGUAAGUUUAAGAAGCACAACAGAUCCCUUUCCCAAGUUGCGCAUCAUGGAUCUCUCAAACAAUGACUUCACAGGCUAUUUGCCAAUUCAAUAUUUCAAAAAUAUGAAGCCGGUUGAUAAGGGGUAUGAUUAUCACAAUUUCACAGCACCAUUUUAUUACUACUAUCAAGCAUCUAUCUCGUUAACUGUGAAAGGGACCGAGUACCAAGUGAGUAAAAUUCUUCAUAUUUACACAGCCGUUGAUCUGUCAUGCAAUAAAUUUCAAGGAGAAGUCCCAAAGGUCAUUGGAGAACUUAAAGGGCUGGCAUUGCUCAAUUUAUCUCAUAAUAGUCUUACUGGACCUAUCCCAUCACAGCUCGGAAAUAUGAAAGCACUCCAAUCUCUGGAUUUGUCUUCAAAUCAAUUCACAGGGGCUAUCCCAUACCCGUUAAUUGGUUUGACAUUUCUAGAGGUCCUGAACCUCUCAUAUAACCAUCUCACCGGAGAAAUUCCCCAAAAAGGACAACUGAGCACGUUCAGUAAUGAUUCUUACCUAGGUAAUCUUGCCUUGUGUGGAUCUCCUUUAACAGAGAAAUGUGCACACGAAGAGUCACCACCACAAGAAGUCGGAUAUGAUGAAGAUGGUGCAGAUAAUAAAUUCCAAUGGAAAGUAGUCCUAAUGGGAUAUGUUAUCGGAUUAGUAUGUGGAUUGUCUUCAGGGUACAUUUUUCUCACAACUGGAAAGCCUUGGUGGUUUUUGAGAUACAUCGAACAACUGCAUAGCAAAAGUUGAUCAGAAGAUUCACGUAGAGUACUGUUUGAUUAAGAUGAGCAAGUUGAAAAGAAUGUUUACUAGACCAGUGGUAUGUCGGGAACAUUAAUGUGUGGUGUCAUAUAAUAUUUGAAAUGCUAAUGUCAGUGCUAGUUCUAGUUCGGGUCUGAUACUGAUUUACUCGUCUCAGAGAUACAUAUUUGUGUUCAAUGUUAAUACAAAACGGAAAAAACAUACUACACAUUAAAUCAACUUUGUAUCAAGUCGAGUUUUGGAGAUGCCAUGAUCAAAAGAAAAACACGGUGAAUGAUAUUUAUUAAGAACACGACUUGAACUAUAAGUGCAUGAAAAUCGUCUUUCAAAGUAUGGCAGGGGUGUGAAUCGUGCACACCAUGGAUAGUCACUUGAAAGCUAACCAUUCUGAGGUUCGUGGAAGCUGAUUUCAUACUCUUGAAAGCUAUCUUUAGGACGUCGAAACUUUAAUUUGUGUUGCAUAACAUUUCAUUAUGCAAGACAGAUGGUUUCAGGGAAACUAUACUGGAGAGCAAGUACCAAACAGUAAGGUAUACUUUGGAUGAUGAAAUUCCUCCCUGAUUUUUACAUCAUUUCUAGUUUUAAACGUGACAGAACAUUCGGGCGAAUGUUCUGGUCAAUUUUUUCAUGGUUGGGCCAAAAGAAUUAUAGUACAAAUGGGUGAGAAAGUUACAUUUUAGAGAUCGCUUCUCAUUAUUUAUAAUGACGAUCAAUUUUAUUUGAUUACUUUUAAUUUUAUCUUUUAUACUUAUUAAAAACACAGAAGAUCGUGUAAACAAAAUUAAUACAAAACGUACUUAUUCAUAGGAAAUGAUUUACCUCACUUAACUGCGCUUAAUUAUUUGAAAGGAAAGAAUACAACACAAAAUUAAAUAUAUAAAGAUCUGUUAUUUGUUAUUUGGAAAUGAGGAAUUUUUUUAACAUAAUCAUUGAUAACAUAUUUUUCCAACUUAUUUAUAUCUGCCAGAAUUAAAUAAAAUACGCCUCAAUAGGUUAUCAUUCUUAAUGUCAAAUUGCAAAAAUAUAUAUAUUUUUAUUUAUGUCAUAUUCUUAGAAAAAAAUUAAUAACAAGAUAAUAAUCCCUAGCUUUAAAGGGAGGAAAACAAGUGUAAAAUAAAUAAAGUAAUUUAACUUUCACUUAUAUUAUUAAGAUAAAAGUAAGCGGAAAUAAAUAUAAAUUCAACAUAUUUAACUUACCCUUCAGAAUCCAUAAGUUUGGAACAAGUAGAUUGAGCACAAGACGAAGGCCACACAUGCGCAUCAUCUGAUGCAGCUAUGGUGCCUUUACAGUUGCUCAUACAUAUAGUGAAACAAUAAGGAUCAACUCCUCCAUUGUGCGUACACAUUUUCAUACAAGCUAUAAAGCAUGGUGAUAGAGUCUUUGCAAUCUCAUCAUGACCAGCACAUCCGAUCAUGAUAAACUCUAGCAGGAUCAUCCAAGUAAUAAUUUUCUUAAUGAUAUUAAUUAUCAUUGUGAAUAGUUGUAUUGAGUUAUGCAUGUGUGUGUAUAUAUAUGCAAUGGAUUUUGUGGUUGAGAAUAUCUGUUAGAUUUUGUAUAUCCAUAACAAUUAUUAAAAUUUGAACAAUAAUAUCUAUUAUUGGUUGUGAUCGACUAUUGUAGUAGUCCAAAAAAUCUAUAUUACAUUUAAAAAGAUUAUACAUGAAAUACAAAAGCUUUUUAUUAGGACUGUUGUUAAAAAUUGCUAUGUUGUACGAAAAAAUGCUGAUAAAAAAUGUGUUACAGAAAAAAUGCUGAUAAAAAAUGUGUUACAGAAAAAAUGCUGAUAAAAAAAAUGUUGUAGAAAUCAGAUAUGACAGCUUCCCACAAAAGCUAAAAAAACAGUUUUUUUCCAUAAUAAUAUGGGAGGAGAAAAACUGUUUGUAGAAUUAUUGAACAAUUUUUCACAUAUUUUUCGAUAAAAAGCUGUUGUUAUUGUCUUCAGUAAUGCCAAACAGUGCCGAAAUCAUUUUGAAAUCAUUUUGCAGGUAGUUAAUCUCACUUCCAUAUAAUAUAGUACUCCUAUAUAUUAUCGAAAAAACAUGAAAUGAUGCAAAGCUCAUACUAUUGACAACAGGUAAACUCCUUGCAAUACUUUGAGCUGCAAAAUCCAUCAAAUUUUUUGAUUUAUCAACGUAACUGUUUGACAGAGUACUUCCAAGCUAAGCAUCAAAAGUCACUACCUUACGAAAUAUAUCUCACCCUACCUUCUCUGCUUAUAAGCUGUUUUGAGUACUUUUACCAAGCAUAUUUUCCAUUAAGCGUGAAAGGCACAGAAUAAUUAAGGAUCACCUAUCCCAUCAGUGCCGGGGAAUAUGGAACCAUCUCAUCAAUUAACUAGUUUAACAUUUCUCGCGGUCUUGAACCUCUCAGAAAACCAUCUUAUACUAAUGUGCCGACUUCCUUUGACGAAGAAAUGGUGAUGCUGAUGCUAAUGAUAAUGAACUUAACUGGGGAGUGAUCCUUAUGGGAUACGGAUGUGGAUUGAUAUGCGGAUUUUCUUUGGGGUUUAUGUUUUGUGGUUUGUGAGAUACAUUGAAGUACUGCAGCUGGAGUUGAUCAUUAUAAAGAACAUAGGCAAGUUAAUCGCUUAUUGAAAUUAGUAAUUGUCAAAAGUAAAAUGUUGAAAUUACUUUUUUCGAUUGAAAUCAUCGAAAAAAAGUCUCUGUCGAAAUUGAUCUGCCAAAAUUAUGUUUAAUAUCUACGGCCAGGAUUAUCUGUCGAAUAUAUUUCCCGACAAUUUUAAAAGACAAAUUUUUCGCCUCUCAGCUGUGAGCGGGAACAGAUAUCUUCGACAGAAUUCCAUUGAAAUUAGCUAAUUUCAACAUAAAUUUUCUAUCGAAAUUACUUGAGUUCUUUGUAGCUUGUUUUCACAAAUACGCUGAUAGCCUUUGGGGACGGGUAUAUUGUUUUCACAAAGCCCUGGUGGUAUGUGAGAUGCUUCGAAGGACUGCAACUGAAGUCGAUAAGAACAUGCAGAAAGAAAACCGAUCCAUCUUGAUGAACUUGAAAAAUGUUGUCAUAUGGUGAUAUAUACUCCCCUGGCCCCAGUCUCUUGAAAAAAACUUGGCUGAUUUUUUUUUUUUCAGUAUCUAUCCCUAAUAAUUGCAGCAAAUUAAAAAAUAUAGUUAUAUCUUUUUAGCAAUGGUGCAAUCUGGAAAGCUUUCUCAUCAUCUUCUUCUUUUCUUUAUCUCAUUACUCUCAUCUAACUUGACGAUCCUAUCUGCAACAUUUCGCCAAGGAGAAGCUCGUGUGGAAUGGAAGAACAGCCUAUCCCCGAAUUCGUUUCUUGGUUCACUAAUUAAUCUCACUUAUCUUUGAAAUUAAGUGGACUGGCAUUGUAUGCAACUCUGCAGGUUCAGUCAGUCAGAUUAAUCUUCAAGAACUCACAGGAACACUUGCUAACCUCGGUUUCUUUUCGUUUUCAAAUCUCACCAAUCUCAACAUUACACAUAACAACUUCACUGGUCCAAUACCACCCGAGAUUGGAAAUUUAACAGAUGUUCAGUACCUCGACUUUAGCUAUAAUAAUCUCAAUGGUACCAUUCCAUACCAGGUCAGCCAUCUUCAGAGGUCGGUCGUCUUCGGCCUCUAAUUUAAUCACUUGAAAGCUCUAAGCUUGUCCAAUUUUUCCCCCAUGCCUAUACUGGUUGGUCGCGGUCUUGGUGGUAAUAAGCUGGCGUCAAUUUUUCCAGAAUUCAUAUCUAAUUGCUAUAACAUGAUUAACCUUGAUCUUUCAUUUAACAUGUUAACUGGUAAUCCCUUCAACAACUUGCGAAUCUUGGAUCUCUCGGACAAUGAAUUCACUGGUUACUUGCCAAUCCAAUAUUUUAAUAAUAUGAAACCAGUUGAUACUGUGAUUGAUUAUUACAACCUCUGUUCUAAAAGUCGGUGAUUAAUCACGAUUAAUUAAUCACUGAUUAAUCUAUGUUCCGUAGCUCGCCAAACUGAUUAAAUAUCCGAUUAUUCUAAUUAAUCCCCGAUUAAUCACCGAUCAAUGUAAUUAAUCUCCAAUUAAUCUUUAUUCCGAAACUUCACCGAUUAAACUCGAUUCCCACUUUUUACAACACUGAUUACAACAUAACAGGGAAUCAUGAUUAUCAAGCAUCUGUCUUGUUAACAUUGAAACAAAGAGAGCAUGAAGUGAAAGGAAUCCUUUAUAUUUACGAUGUCAACAGCCCUACUGUCAAAAUUCCUUUCAAGUCGGGGCUUUUUACGAUUAUUUGGUAAUUCAGUGUUGAACUCCGCUCAACUUAUAAUUAGAUAAUCGAACUCAAAAAUCUUGCAAUCAACAAAUAAAUUAUUGAAAACUUGCAAUUGAAUAAUGGCCGUCAAGUCACUUAACAAUACUAACCGAAAACGAACGUGACGGGCUGAUGUGUUUAAAAAAAUGCAUGAUGACUAUAUACGUGAUGUUUACGACCCUGACUAAUAUAUCCAACAAAUAAUACAUUCAACCUGAUCUAAUAAUGUAAUACAUCUACUUAAAUAUAUUUUCAUGCCAAAUAUUUAUAGAUUUGUUUUUACAAAAAUGAUUAGAGACUUUUGCAUAUAUAAAAAUUGAGAAUUAUUGCUUGACUAGACAAAAAUAGGUGAGUUGUGAUUAUAAUAAAUAUUUAUUUCUACGAUGUAGUUUUUAUUAGUUAUAUAUAAAAAAAAUCUUGCUCUAUUUUGAUACUAGUGCAAUGAUUACUUCAAUUUAUUUUUUAUACGAGUUAGUAAGAUAUAUGACUAACUCAUCUUGCACUCGUAUUAAUUGUCUUAUAUAAUAUUAAUAACAAAAAUAUGAGGCGGUGCUUAGUCAGAUGAUUUUAGUUGUUAAAAUAUUUUUUUGUUAUUUAUAGAUAGUGAAACUUGUCUCAUAUUUUAUCUAUUUUGUUUCGUUUCUUGAGAUUUCCAAAUAUUUAUUAGGACAUUGUACCAUGGUGUAUUUCAAGAUAUUAUUGUUAUUUAGAUAAUUAGUCAUAUUCAAUGAAUUUUGAGGACAAAAUUUAAAUAAGAGGAGAACAAUGUCAUAUCUCACGUAUUAGCAGUUUUAAUUAUUUUAUAUUUUUAUUUUAAAGAUAAGAUAAAGUUUAUUUAUUUAAUUGUUUUUAUCUUAAAAGCGAUUUUGAGUUGUUUGAGUUAGAUAUAUACUCCUACUGUGGUUCAACUAGUUUUGCCGUAAGUGAAUAAUUUCCGGUCAAUAUUUUGAAAUUUGUUGUUAUCUUCUAAUUAAGAUAAUUAAGGGGUUAAAUAGCUUUUGAAAAAUGUGAAAAAAAUCAAAAAAAUUGGGAAACCAAAAGUGGCAAGCUUUUUUUUUUUUGUUCUUUUUAAAUUUUCUAAAAUCUGGGGAAAAAAGAACUUGCCACCUAAUUUUUUCCAAAUUUUUUCAAAUUCUUUUCAGAUUUUUGAAUUUUUUCCCCAAUUUUUCCUCACUUUUUUCUGAUUUUUUUUGAAUUUAUUAAGAUUUUUUUUGUUUUUUCUGCUUAUUCUGAAUUUUUUAAGAUUUAUUCGCAUUUUUUUCAUAUUUUUAAAAAAUAUUUUUGAAUUUUCCGUUAAGUAAUUAAUGGAACUGACGGAGAGUGAUGCUUUUGAAAGUUUUUAAUUACUUGAUAAUGCGUUUGAAAAUUUUUUCAACAACAUGACCCAGUUGCAAGUUUCCGGCGAGGUUAGUGAUGAAUUAGUUAUUUAACUCUUAAUAAAAAUCUAUCUAAACAAUAUUAUAAAUAUAAUGUUAUGGGUUCGAUGAGUCGUGUAAAACAUGGAAGAAGUUUAGGUGGGGUAAAAAGAGCCUAGCUGUGUGAUUUCCAUUCUGUUAUACGUGAUAUACUGUAGUUGAUCAUCUCCUUUGUCCGCUUCAUCCUGUGCAACCUUAACCUUUAAGGAAAAACUUAUGAGAUUCUCUACUGCAUCUAAAUUCUUGUGUGAAGAAUGUGAAGAAAAAUGUUAGUCUCAGAUUAUUUUUCCUAAAAUGCUUGCAUGUUACAUUUUAUAUGUAUGUCCUGACUUUAAGUAUAAUUUAGCAUUUUUAUUUAGUAUUGUGUAAAAAUAAUAUAUUUUAUUCAGUCUUAUUAAAAAUAUAAUCAUGUUAUACUGUAAAAGUAUUUGUGAAUUUCUUUGUUACAUAUGUGUUUAAAUUAUUUUAUUUAUAUAUGUUUUACAAUUUUUUACAAAUAUAUAAGUUGAGUAUUGCAUAGGAAUAUAAUUACACGUUAGCAAAUAUGAUUAUGUGUAAACUGUUCUGCGUGCAUGUAUAUUGCUGCUAAGUUUUAAACUUCUUACUAACCGGAAUAAUUUUGACAGAUGUGUGGAACUUGAUUAAUUUAGUUGCACUAUAAGAGAAAGCGUUUUUGUCAAUAAAAAUUGUUAAGGAAAUUAGUCCGUUGGUAGUUCUCAACGGAUUUGUAACAAUUUGACUGGUCAAUGUUCUGUCAACCAAUUAGUAAUGAAAUACCCACACUUAUUUACCAACGAGAUGUUCUAUUAGGAAAUAUAGCCACACAAUGGAAUAGUAACAAAAGACCAAGGAAUGAGCAACAUACUAGCAACGAAAGUAUCUGUUAUUAAAUAUUCCCUUGAUAAAUACUAGACUUUUUAGCACUUUGGUGCAGUGGCGGAGCCAGCCAUAAACUUUAAUGGGGGCCAAAAAUAACUUUUUAAGACAUCAUAAAAGAUGAUAGUUUAUAAUCAAGCAUCUCCCAUUAUAUUUUGAAGUAUACUUUUAAUAAGAUUAAUAGUUUGAAAAACUCUUUCAACAUUGUCUGUUGCAACAUCAAAAUUAACUUACAUUAGUUAUAUGAAUUCAAAUAUCCAUAUCAAAUUUCGAGAUAUCGAAGAAAAGAAUAGAAAACGUGCAUGUUCUACUUUUUGAAUAGAAAGAAAAUAAAGGAAUAAUAGUGAACAACCAAGAAGGCAAGAAGUAAUCGAUGAUAACCAUAAAGCCCAGAAGAGGUGGAUGAUAGAAUGUCGUCCCAGCUAAUGUAUGUCUAUAUAUUAAUAUUAAAAACUAUAAAAUCUCUAGUGGGGUCCAGUGCCCCCACAUGCCUCUACAUGCCUCCACCACUGCUUUGGUGGCUUGUACUAUUUCAAAUUUGCACGUUAGUGGCCCACCUUUAAAAGUCAUCAAUUGUGUUGCUGAACUUAUUUUUUUUUAACACAUUAGGGGCUCUGCAUCAUAUCCGUUAAAUCGAAGUAACGGCGUCAAAUGAUCAAUACAUAUCUCCUCCUCCUCUUAUUUCCCUCCAAAUUAAAAACGAAACGGCUACCCCCUUUUCCGAAGCAAGAACGACGACGAAUUCCUGCUUACAGAGAUGAGUUGGUUCCGGCGUCUUAAAGAGGAUGCUGAUGUGUAUCAGCCUCGACAGUGCCCCGAUUACUGUGGUAAGCUCUUCAACUUUUCUUCUUUGUAGCAUAUGAAAUGAGUUUAAUUGACCAUUAUUUCAGUGUUUGUUGUUGUUAGUGGCUAGUUGUUUAGUAUUAUGGACCUGCAAUUGCUUUAUACUAUUAAAAUGGAAGAUUCUGCUUGUGGGUUUUUAAAAAUUAGGGCUUUUACAUAGUCCAAGAUUCGGUCAUUAUAAAAUCAAUUUAUGCCUGUUUUAGUAUAAUGCUUGUUGUUAGUGGCUAUUUGUUAAGUAUAGUGUUGUUUAUUGUAAAUAAAACUGUUGCUUUGCACUCUACAUUUGCAGAACCUGGUGAUUUUACCCUAAAAAUAUAUCAUGGGGCCGAUUGGGUAGAUAACCCUAGGGCAUAUGUGGGAGGUACAGUAGAUUUCUUUGACUUCUGUAAUGCUGAUCAGAUCAGCAUAAUUGAGAUAUAUAGUAUGUUGAAAGAGGUUGAUGAGUUUGGGUUUCACCAACUGUGGUAUAAGCUACCUGGCACUACAUUCGAUAGAGCUUUUGUACUAAAUAAUGAUGAGGAGCUAAUGACCAUGUGUGAGCUUAUAUCUGAUGUGGAUAAGUAUAUGGAGAUUUAUGUCACCACUAUGGCACAUCUAAGUACAGUGCCCUAUAGAGAUUUAGAGGUUGAAUUUGUUGAACCAACUCCUAAAGAAGCACCUGAAAAGAACAAUCCAUCACCUGAAAAGAUCAAUCCAGCACCUGAAAAGAUCAAUCCAGCACCUGCAAAGAUGUAUCCAGCACCUGCAAAGAGCAUUCCAACUGUGGGAAAUGAUGAUGAUCAGGAAGAGUUUGAGUUUGAUUUUGACAAUUGAUAGAAUAUAUUUUUGUAUAUAUUCUAUAUGAUUUUAUUCCCAUAUUUAAUUAUAUUUUGCACUGAUUUGGAUAUUUAUUUAAUAUAUUUUCAUGUUUUAUUGUAGGGAAUAAAGAAUUCCAAGUUGAGAAGGAUUUGAAGAUAAAUUAGCUAUUUUGGAGUUAAAUUCUAAAGAAAUUCGGAUUUAUUGGGUUUUACCCGAUUUCUGCACUGUUUGAGCCAUAUCUUGAGUUCCGGAUGUCGGAAUUGGACGUUCUUACAGCUCACGCGAAGCCCUUGAUAUUUCCUUUAAUUUAGAAGUGGCCCAGCAAGAAAAGUCCAACUGGAAAAGCCCGAAAACUGGACAGAACAGAAAGCUACGAAUUUUGAGACUAAAUCCUACUUGGUUUUGGAGUUUUAUUCAUAUAUUAGUUUUAAAUAUUAAAAGAGGUAUAUUAUUAGAGAUAGGAUUAGUUUUUAUCAUUGUACAAUAUUAGAGUAGGUUAGGGUUAGAGAGAAACUUAGAGGAGAGGCCAUUACUCUUUUUUGGAUGACAACAAUGAAGGUUUAUAAAGGUUUUCUUCUAUAGUUUUCUUCUCUUUACUUGUUAGUUUAAUUAUGUCUUUUAAUUAUUCUAGUUGUUUAAUUAGUAUCGAGUAGUGUGUUCUAGGGUUUAAGGGGAAGCCAUGUUUGCGUUAUGAUGUUGGCAUGAUUUAACAGUGAUUUGAUUGAUUGGUUAAUUCUAAUUGAUAUGUUUUAAUAUUGAUUUAUGUAAUCGGCCGAUAUCAUGAAUUGAUUCUAUGCGAAUAGGAGUAUGAUCGAGAGAUAUACGACUAGAGGCACACAUACAAUUAGCAGAAUUGAAUUUGAGUGCGAGAGCAUCAUUGAAUUUCUGAAAGCGUUAAUACUCGAGAGAGAUUAACAUUGCUUUAAUUAUCUGAUUAAUUGGAUUACUAAAAGUGAUUAUUUGUGUAAGCAUGUUUCGAGAGUGUUGAUACUUGAGAGAGAUUAACAAACUCUAGUUUCAUGACCGCUUUAAUUGCUUUAGCUUAGAGCCAGUCAUUGUCUAAGCAUGGUGGACCUGAUUGCCCUGGAUUUUUAACAUAUUAUUUUAGUGUCUAUUUAGUUAGUGUUAAUAUAAUAAUGUUUAUUUAGUUAAAAAUAUUUCUUUCGAUCAUCGUUGAUUUGGGAACAAUUGAAUGUAACUUAAUAAAAUUGAUAGCAUCUGUCUCCUCGAGGAUACGACCCGCAUUUGCCAGUCUACACUACAAUAGACACCGUGCGCUUGCGGUAGUUAUAAUUUAACACAUCAAGUUUUUGGCGCCGCUGCCGGGGAGACGGCUAGUUUCUAUUAGUUUUGUUUGGUUAUCUAGAUUGUUUCCUUUGCCUCGUUGGAACCCUUGUUCCAAUUGAGGCGGAUUUUACUCUGUUUUCUUGGCUGUGUUGUGUUUUUCAGGUUUACAAUGGACGGAGUUGAUAACUUUGCACGUCUAUCUUCCCUGAUCGAGGCAUAUACUCGUGAAAAUGCCUCAUUGAAUGCUACAGAGCCCACUACACGUCCACUGAGUAUCAACGAGAUGUCACAAGCUGCCCCGAAGACUUAUAACUUCUGUCAAGUUUGUGGUGUUCAGGGUCACUAUGGUUAUGAAUGUUCUUACAAUGUAUUUAAUUCUCAGAAUGCUCAGUUGGGACAUGUGAAUGAUUAUCAAGAAAGAUAUGAGUACAAUCACUAUUCUAAUUCUUGUGAUCAACAAUGGAUGGGUCAACCAGAUUUCUCUUACAUGGACAAUGAAUUUCAAAAUUUCUCAUAUCAUGAUCAACAACAAUUUCAGCAACAUCGUUAUGAAGAACCACCACUACAGCAAUAUGAUCAGUUUGAGCAGGAAUAUCAUCAACCUCAAUAUGAGCAACCUCAGUUUCAGCAGUAUCACUAUUCUCCACUUCAACAAGAGCUACAGGUUCCUUUAACCAAUGUAGAUGUGCCAUCGUAUCAGACGAAUGAGGUAUGUGAUAUGUUGAUAUAUAUGACCAAGAGUUUUGAGGAUGGUAUCAUGAACUUCCAGAAAUGCAUUGAUGAGAGUACCAUGAUGAUUAAAGAAUUAAAAGCUGAACAACUGAUGAUGGAAGGUCAAAUUGCACAAUUGUCUAGUUCUUCUUCUACAUGUCAAACCGAAUCCUCUCCACCUCCAUGUCUUCAAGUUGAAGAUGACAUAAAUACUAUCAUUCUUGCAAGUGAUAAAGACAGUGAUAGUUUUUCGAUCUGUGAUGAUGAUGCGCCUAUUGGUAAAGGGGAGGAUCAUGUCAUUGCCAAUGAAAUUGAUGAUGUUGUUGAUGUUGUGGACCAUGUGCGUGAUGAUGAGCUAAGUGAAGAAAGCAAUAUCGAGUUGGUAGUAGUUUCUCCUCCGCCUUGUGUGCUUAAAUUACCAUUCUUGAAAGGAAUCAACUUAAUCAAGGUGGAUCAACAAUUUGAUAUGAAAAACUUUGCUUUUACUCGAACCUCAGCUCCAAUAUUUGAGAGCACAUGUUUUAAAGUUGAUGUGAUGAUUGUCCAAGAUGAGAUUUCUCAGAAUAUUUCCUAUGAUCCAUUUCAAAAGGCUCUUACACCUCAAGUCUUGGAAGAAGGUGUUUGCAAUAUUGACUUUUUAUUCAUUGAAGCAAGAAGAAGCCAAGAGAUUCAACUAGCUCCUGCGAAAGUGAGGAGUUCUGAAAAACCACCACCGGAGCCUCCACCUCAUGUGAAUAUCAAGGGAGUUCAAUCUUUUGAUGGAUGUGAAUUCUAUCGUUGCUUUAUCAUAAAGUUCUCCAAAUCUAUGAAAUAUAUUGAUCAGUUGUUAUAUCUUGAUGCGACAAUUAAUUUUAUUAAUGCUUGUUUGGAGACUUUCUGCAGGAUAAAGACAACAUUUGAUGUUAAGGAUUUUAUUUUUGGUGGUGAGAUCAUGUUUGAGAAAGCGGAAACUCCGCCUUUUACAUAUUCUUUUUGGAGGUAAAAAGUCAAGCUAAUGACUCUAAAAGAGCGCUACUUGGGAGGCAACCCAAGGUCUCUAUUAGUUUAUUUAUAUAAUAUAUUUUUGUAUUUUUUUAGGAGCUUAAAAUUUUUAUUUUCAUUUUUUUUACUCCCAUAAGAUGCCUUGAUGAAUUUGUGUGAAGUGUUUUCAGAUAUUAUAUCCAAUCACUCAUGCGGCUCCUUUUUAAAGUUCNNNNNNNNNNNNNNNNNNNNNNNNNNNNNNNNNNNNNNNNNNNNNNNNNNNNNNNNNNNNNNNNNNNNNNNNNNNNNNNNNNNNNNNNNNNNNNNNNNNNNNNNNNNNNNNNNNNNNNNNNNNNNNNNNNNNNNNNNNNNNNNNNNNNNNNNNNNNNNNNNNNNNNNNNNNNNNNNNNNNNNNNNNNNNNNNNNNNNNNNNNNNNNNNNNNNNNNNNNNNNNNNNNNNNNNNNNNNNNNNNNNNNNNNNNNNNNNNNNNNNCAUAUCUUCUGUNCUUUUAGUAAACAGUAGAAGAAGAGCUGUGGUGCUACGAUGUCUAGCUGCGGCUCCGGAGCUUCUGCCAAGCACAAUUUGUUCGCGCUAGUUUUUCACAAUCUACUUGAUAACUUGAAGCAGAGCUCCUAACUCCCAAGAUCAUCUGUUCCCUGUUCUGCUACAUGGAGUCCACGCACCCAGCCCAUUCAAGUCCAGAAGCCCAUGCACGGAGCCUGUUCUCAAUUCAGCCCAUGCUCCAAGCCCAAGACCACACCACCUGGGCCCAGUACAGGGGGUGCAUCUCAGCAACAGAGGCCCAGCCCACCAGUUGAUCCUCGAAGUCCAGCUGCUUCAGUCCAGUAAAAGUCUGCGUGUGUAUGCCUACAAAAAAGAACUGUUGCUGGUAGGAAUCGAAGACGGGUCAAUUACAAAGCAGAUCUCAGGAGCCACCUACCAACCACUGGGCCAACUGAUUCUUUUGUUGAGGAAACGCAUCCAGUUUAACAAAAACUUGAGAAGUCAAGAGCCAAUUCAACACUCAACAGCAUUUCAGGGGAGUAUUCCUUUUAACCACUAUUGUGUAAUUAUAUUAUUAUAUUUAUAUAUUUCUAUCAUAUUUGUUCAUUGAGGACAAUGAACCACUUUAGUGUGGGGAUGGUUUCUCAAUGAUAAAAAAUUAUAUAUCAUAAAAUUCAAAAAAAUAGAAAAAUUAAAAAAAAAUUGUAUAUUGCCAUGUCUUAAAUUAGGAAAUUCAUGUUAGUUGCAUUAUAUUAGAGCUAGUUACUUAAUUUUGUAUGCCAUUUUUUAGUAGAUUUUUUUCUUCUUCUUUCUUUUAGGUUACAUAAUUCAUGAAAGUAUAUAAUACCGAGUUAAUUUCUCAUGAUGAGUUUAUUUGCAUAAUUAUUUGGCUAGUAGUCUUGAUCAUAUGUGAUGUCUUGCAUGCUUAGAAAUUGCUUGUGCGGAAAUUUUAAAUACACUAUAAAAUGCUCUAGAGACAAGACUGAGACUAACUUAAUUCUUGAGUUUUAUCUAUGAGUUGAGUGUAGAAUUUUGACUAUUCCCUUUUAAGCUUAGAGUAUGUAAAUCUUAAGUUUAGGGGAGUUUUAGGAUGUAUAUGCCUUUCUAGAAAAAUGAAAAAAAAAAUAGAAUAUUGCAAAUAAAGUAUCGAGUACUCCUUUGAGAUCAACGGGUGGUAAUAUUUGAAAGGGACGAUCCAUGUACUUGUGCUGGUAUUAAGUGCAAUUGUACUAGAAAUAAAUUUUCUUGGUGACUUUUCACAACCCUUGGUUACUGGAGAAUUACUUGACUUAAAAAAAAUAGAGAAAAAAAAUGAGCUAGCAAAGUCUUAUGGUGGUCGUAACUCACUUACCAUGAGAAGCUUCCCAACCUUUGACUGAGCAUGAAAAAAAAAAGUAGAAAAUAUAAGAGAGGCAUAGAAAUUCCUUUGCGACCCUGAGCUGUAGUUGACUCUAAUGUAACGAAGCGUUUAAGCAUUAUUCUGAUAAACGACUCAUGGUUAAGACUCUGUUGAACUUUGUUGGUGUCUGUUUUGUUUCAUUAGAGAGCAUGUUGAACACACACGAUUCACUCCGUACUUGCAGCGGAAAAGUUGCAUGACUAAUGUGUGAGAUAGAUGAAUGCCUUGAAUGUUGCUUAUUCUGAAGAUUAUUUGUUAACGAGGUUGAUGCUUUCAUGAUUGUAUUAUAUGCAUUUUCAUUUAGAUUGCAUUCAUAGUAGUUGCAUGUUUAAGACCGGUAGAAAAUAAUGAAUUUUGUGGGUAGAUUCGCUAUAAACCCUCACGAGACAAAACUCGUCCUACUAGGGCUGCCUAGAGGUUUAACGGCUUGUUGCAUGCGCUCAAUGCAAUCGUGUCAUCUACGAAAGUGGUGUUAGUUAGUUAGUUAGGAUAUUUUUAUUUCUUUUAUUUGCCCGAGGACGUGCAAAAGUUAAGUGUGGCGGAUGUUUGAUAGGGUAUAUAUUUACAUAUAUUCUAGAUGAUUUUAUUCUCAUAUUUAAUUGUAUUUUGCAUUGAAUUGGAUAUUUAUUUAAUAGAUUUUAAUGUUUUAUUGCAGGAAGCAAGGAGUUCCUAAACUUGGAGGAAAUUGGAAUAAAAAGCUUAAUUUGAAGAUUAAUUAGAAGGAAAUUCGGAUUUGUUGAAUUGCUUGCACUUGAAUCACUGUUUGGGCCAUAUCUUGAGUUCUAGAAAUCAGAAUUGGGUGAUCUUACAGCCCACGCGAAGCUUAGAGAAUUUUCUUUAAUUCAGAGAUGGUCCAAUAUCCAAAAUCCAACAGAAUCAGCCCAGGAAUAGGCAGAAAACAGAGCUACGAAUUUUCUUGAAGAAACCUAUUCUGUUUAGGAAACUGUUUUGUAUUUUCUUGUAAGUAUUAAAAUCAAAUAUAUUAGAGAGAGGGAUGGGUNNNNNNNNNNNNNNNNNNNNNNNNNNNNNNNNNNNNNNNNNNNNNNNNNNNNNNNNNNNNNNNNNNNNNNNNNNNNNNNNNNNNNNNNNNNNNNNNNNNNNNNNNNNNNNNNNNNNNNNNNNNNNNNNNNNNNNNNNNNNNNNNNNNNNNNNNNNNNNNNNNNNNNNNNNNNNNNNNNNNNNNNNNNNNNNNNNNNNNNNNNNNNNNNNNNNNNNNNNNNNNNNNNNNNNNNNNNNNNNNNNNNNNNNNNNNNNNNNNNNNNNNNNNNNNNNNNNNNNNNNNNNNNNNNNNNNNNNNNNNNNNNNNNNNNNNNNNNNNNNNNNNNNNNNNNNNNNNNNNNNNNNNNNNNNNNNNNNNNNNNNNNNNNNNNNNNNNNNNNNNNNNNNNNNNNNNNNNNNNNNNNNNNNNNNNNNNNNNNNNNNNNNNNNNNNNNNNNNNNNNNNNNNNNNNNNNNNNNNNNNNNNNNNNNNNNNNNNNNNNNNNNNNNNNNNNNNNNNNNNNNNNNNNNNNNNNNNNNNNNNNNNNNNNNNNNNNNNNNNNNNNNNNNNNNNNNNNNNNNNNNNNNNNNNNNNNNNNNNNNNNNNNNNNNNNNNNNNNNNNNNNNNNNNNNNNNNNNNNNNNNNNNNNNNNNNNNNNNNNNNNNNNNNNNNNNNNNNNNNNNNNNNNNNNNNNNNNNNNNNNNNNNNNNNNNNNNNNNNNNNNNNNNNNNNNNNNNNNNNNNNNNNNNNNNNNNNNNNNNNNNNNNNNNNNNNNNNNNNNNNNNNNNNNNNNNNNNNNNNNNNNNNNNNNNNNNNNNNNNNNNNNNNNNNNNNNNNNNNNNNNNNNNNNNNNNNNNNNNNNNNNNNNNNNNNNNNNNNNNNNNNNNNNNNNNNNNNNNNNNNNNNNNNNNNNNNNNNNNNNNNNNNNNNNNNNNNNNNNNNNNNNNNNNNNNNNNNNNNNNNNNNNNNNNNNNNNNNNNNNNNNNNNNNNNNNNNNNNNNNNNNNNNNNNNNNNNNNNNNNNNNNNNNNNNNNNNNNNNNNNNNNNNNNNNNNNNNNNNNNNNNNNNNNNNNNNNNNNNNNNNNNNNNNNNNNNNNNNNNNNNNNNNNNNNNNNNNNNNNNNNNNNNNNNNNNNNNNNNNNNNNNNNNNNNNNNNNNNNNNNNNNNNNNNNNNNNNNNNNNNNNNNNNNNNNNNNNNNNNNNNNNNNNNNNNNNNNNNNNNNNNNNNNNNNNNNNNNNNNNNNNNNNNNNNNNNNNNNNNNNNNNNNNNNNNNNNNNNNNNNNNNNNNNNNNNNNNNNNNNNNNNNNNNNNNNNNNNNNNNNNNNNNNNNNNNNNNNNNNNNNNNNNNNNNNNNNNNNNNNNNNNNNNNNNNNNNNNNNNNNNNNNNNNNNNNNNNNNNNNNNNNNNNNNNNNNNNNNNNNNNNNNNNNNNNNNNNNNNNNNNNNNNNNNNNNNNNNNNNNNNNNNNNNNNNNNNNNNNNNNNNNNNNNNNNNNNNNNNNNNNNNNNNNNNNNNNNNNNNNNNNNNNNNNNNNNNNNNNNNNNNNNNNNNNNNNNNNNNNNNNNNNNNNNNNNNNNNNNNNNNNNNNNNNNNNNNNNNNNNNNNNNNNNNNNNNNNNNNNNNNNNNNNNNNNNNNNNNNNNNNNNNNNNNNNNNNNNNNNNNNNNNNNNNNNNNNNNNNNNNNNNNNNNNNNNNNNNNNNNNNNNNNNNNNNNNNNNNNNNNNNNNNNNNNNNNNNNNNNNNNNNNNNNNNNNNNNNNNNNNNNNNNNNNNNNNNNNNNNNNNNNNNNNNNNNNNNNNNNNNNNNNNNNNNNNNNNNNNNNNNNNNNNNNNNNNNNNNNNNNNNNNNNNNNNNNNNNNNNNNNNNNNNNNNNNNNNNNNNNNNNNNNNNNNNNNNNNNNNNNNNNNNNNNNNNNNNNNNNNNNNNNNNNNNNNNNNNNNNNNNNNNNNNNNNNNNNNNNNNNNNNNNNNNNNNNNNNNNNNNNNNNNNNNNNNNNNNNNNNNNNNNNNNNNNNNNNNNNNNNNNNNNNNNNNNNNNNNNNNNNNNNNNNNNNNNNNNNNNNNNNNNNNNNNNNNNNNNNNNNNNNNNNNNNNNNNNNNNNNNNNNNNNNNNNNNNNNNNNNNNNNNNNNNNNNNNNNNNNNNNNNNNNNNNNNNNNNNNNNNNNNNNNNNNNNNNNNNNNNNNNNNNNNNNNNNNNNNNNNNNNNNNNNNNNNNNNNNNNNNNNNNNNNNNNNNNNNNNNNNNNNNNNNNNNNNNNNNNNNNNNNNNNNNNNNNNNNNNNNNNNNNNNNNNNNNNNNNNNNNNNNNNNNNNNNNNNNNNNNNNNNNNNNNNNNNNNNNNNNNNNNNNNNNNNNNNNNNNNNNNNNNNNNNNNNNNNNNNNNNNNNNNNNNNNNNNNNNNNNNNNNNNNNNNNNNNNNNNNNNNNNNNNNNNNNNNNNNNNNNNNNNNNNNNNNNNNNNNNNNNNNNNNNNNNNNNNNNNNNNNNNNNNNNNNNNNNNNNNNNNNNNNNNNNNNNNNNNNNNNNNNNNNNNNNNNNNNNNNNNNNNNNNNNNNNNNNNNNNNNNNNNNNNNNNNNNNNNNNNNNNNNNNNNNNNNNNNNNNNNNNNNNNNNNNNNNNNNNNNNNNNNNNNNNNNNNNNNNNNNNNNNNNNNNNNNNNNNNNNNAUGAUGUCAAAUUACUUAGUCUUUAAUGGUAUAUUUAUUAGAAUUAUGAAACUUAUUUUAAAAAAUUAUUUUGGACGAUCCAAACUGUAUGAAUGUUAUUUUAACAUGUUAAUAUUGAUUAAAAUUGUUUUUAAAAAAAAAUUAGUUGUAUUUUAUGUGUGAAUUUUUAGUCAAAUACGAUAAAAUAUUUAUUUAGCUUGUAAUGAAAUAUUAAAACCCUACUUCAAAAGAAACUUGUCUAAAACUACCUAUAAGUGUUAGAGAAUCAUCGAUUUAGUUAUCAAAUUAGUUAUCAUAAGGGUUUUACUCCGCUUUUCUCUGGUAUGAUGUUGAUUUUUGGGGUUUGAUUGGUCGAUUUUCAUGUUUUAUAAGUUAUGUGAGUUCGAUUUUGAUGUUUUUACAAUUAGGUUUAUGUAUGUUCUUAUACAGGUUUCAUGUUCAUGUUUUGAUUUGUUGAUUUCCUAUUUUUCAUAUUUUGUUGAUUAGUUAUUUGUGUGGGUUUUGAACUUUGAUGAGUGUGUAUGUAAUCUCCUGUUUUUUUUUCAUUUUUCUGGUUCGAACACUUCGAUUAGUAGCUGGAAAAACAGCUGAUGCGGCAGUAGCGGCUAGCGAGAUGGAUAACAAGAAAAGGAUGAUUUCGAGGUCAUCUCGUGCAAGUCUUCAGAUAUAGUUUUGUUCCUUUAUGUUUUUAAUUGACAUAAAUUUUCACAUUUGAUGAUUAUAUUAUGGGGGAUUCUGGGUAUACUUGUAUAUAAUCUAGCAAGUUAUUAUAAUUCUGGACGGGGGGCUUAUUGUGAAAUUAAAUUGAGGGAUAAGUUGUGUUAUUGGUUCUAGUGGAUUAAAUUUAUGUUGACACUUGAUAUAUGCAUUGAUGUCGUAAAAUAAGUUGCACAUCAAACUAUUUGGCUUGUUUAAGUUGUAUGGAGUAAGGCUGUACGCGGAUCGGAUCGGUUCGGUUGGAGGGUAAUAACCAAACCAAACCGCAACUUACGGUUUUCUAAAAUCUCAAACCGCGACCAUACUGUUGGUUAAAAAAACCCAACCAAAUCCAUCCACGUAAUUGCGGUUGGUUGCGGUUCAACCGCUAAAAUAGUUAUAACAAAGAAAAUAUAUAAGUUAUCGCUUAAAAUCUUGCAUAAAGUACAGGCUUUAACUCAAAAAUAUAUAAUUUAUCACUUAAAAUCUUGAAUAAAGUUAAUACAAUAAAUCUGAUUACAUAUUACAAAAGCAAACUAAUCCGGAAAUAUAUAACUUGAAGCAGAGCUUCAAGUUAAUGGUUAUUAAAAAUUUCAUCCGCGACCGCCCACAUUUUACGGUUAUCCAUAAUACACGGAUCGGUUGCAGGUGGUUGUUGCGGUUAAUGCGGUUGAGCGGAUUCAACGUACAGAGCCCUAUGAAGUAUGGUUGCCAAGCAUUGAUUGGUUGUACACGUAUAAACAAAAUGAUAUUUUAAUAUUUAAACAAAACAAUACAGUCAUAAACAGAUCGUGUCGGGCUGGACUGAUUGUGAUUUUCCUUUUUGGAACUCGUACUCGGCAUCUUCCAAGCGAAUGAUAUUUAGAAGUUUGUUGCUAGUAUACUCCAUGUCAUAAUAAGAGUUCUUUAGAUUUUUUAUAUGUAAUUCGAAGUAUAAAAAACAUAUUUUAACAUAUUAUUUUUAAAUUUUUUAUACAUAAAAAUAUAACAUCUAUAUUUUUAUUUAAAAAAAAAUUUGAAAUAUAAUAUAUGGAUGCAUGUCUUUUUUAUACGUGAAAUUACAUGUAAAAAAUUAAAAGACUCUUAUUUUGAGUAAGAGAGAAUAUGAUGUACCAUAAAGUCAUCGAUCUUUUGUUAUCAAAUAAAUGUGAUAUUUAAUUAUUUAAGAGCAAGUCCAAAAGUAUCUUAGUUAAAGUCCUAAAUAUAAUAUAAAAUAUUACGUUCCGGUGAUUUAGGAUAUAUUUUACUAACUUGGACUCCAACAAUGUGUCUUAUUCUCAUAAGAAGUUUAAUAUUUUAUUAUUAAAAACUCUCUUUCAUCAUUAAAGCAUAAUAUAAAAGUAGAGAGAGAAAAAAAGUGUUGAUAAGAAUUAAUAAUAAAAUAUGGGAUAGGGUAAGGAGAGAUGUGCCUCAAAAAUAGGGCUUGAGGAGGUUGUCCUAGUGAUAUAAGGGCAAGGAGAUCAACUUUUUACAUCAAAUGCCUUAAAUAACAAUUUAGGACAUAAUAUUGGGCAUCUGCUGGACUUGCUCUAAGUUGUUACUCCUUUAUUAGGUGUGGACACGGAGACGAAGAAGUAAAAGAUGAGUACAGUUAAAUGAAGAUGUGGUAAAAUAAUGUGACCCAUUUAUAUUUAAUAAUACAUUUGAAAUAGUGGAGGAAAGUAACGAGUGUAAUAACGUUUAUAUUAUUAUAGCAUAUAGAUAGCAGAAGAAAGCAAUGGGUAUAAAAGUGUAUUAUAUUAUUAAAAUUACUAUUUUUGAAAUGUUUAGAAAUAAUGGGGCAAUCAAAAAGAAAACUGUAUAAAAAUGGACGAGAGAAUACAAUUCAAGAAGUAAUAUAUCUCAAUUCAAACUAGGUAAUAUAUUUAUGAAUUAUAUUAAAAAAAAUUUGACAUUCAAAUAUAAAAAUUUAUUUUAUCAUCUUAACAAUGGAAUAUUCGAUUAUUAACUUUCGUAAAUAACAUUAAUUUUUCAUUAUAAUAUACUCUAAACUUUUAUUUUAUGUGCCUGUUUGUUUACAAGAAGCUGGAGUCCUACUUCUCUUGACUCGUUUGUGUAAAAACGUAAAAAGUGCUUUUAAAAAGUACUGAGAAGGAAAUGGAAGUAGAAAAUGCUAGUUUUUCUUUAUAAUAUCUAUUUCUUUUCUAGACACUUUAAUAAUUUAUAUAUAUUAAUUUAUUUCUCACUUAUACUCCAUUUUUUUAUAGAGAACUUCUUUUAAACUAAUCGGCUCCUAUAAUCAGUAGUUUCUCAAUUUUAACAGGAAUAAGAGCAUGUUUAUCUGAGCUUAAAGCCCGGGGUUUAUAUCAUCUCUGGCUUUAAGCUGAAAAAUGUAUGUUUGUGUAUUAAGUCGGAAGUCGGCUUAAAGUCGGAAAUAAGUCAAAAAUUGACCUAAAACCAGAAGUUAGUUUGAGAUACUUUUCUCGGUGACUAAUUUUUUUUUUAGCCAUUUUUUGAUAAAAAUUAUUCUUAAAUCACAAAUUACUCAUAAAUCACUUUUAUUAUUAUUAUUACUAUAUUUUUAAUAACUUAUAAGUUAUUAAUAAAUCAAAAUUAAUCAAACAAAUAUUUUAAGUUCUCAUAAGAGUUUAUGAGAUAAGUAACGUUAAGUCAUGAAUCAACUGAACGGGAUGUAAGUCUUCUUCUCCCCGAGUCAUCAGCAGACUUUUUCCAUGUCUUCUGAGCCCCCAUUGGCUCACAAUUGGCCCAAAAAAUAUUUGGUUAUGCAUUGCUAUUCACACACUUAGACAUCAAAAUUUAUCAUCCGACAGGCGACAGCUAACUGCACACUAUUUUUCCCACAAGCUGAAAAAUCAACGAUCAAUUAAUUUUUCUUAUCAAUUAAUAAAGUUAUGAUUUCACGUACACGGCAGGCAAAAUGCUAAUAAAUAGACGAGUGCAGUAUAGUAUGGGUUCAUGAUCACCUUGAGAUUUAAUUGAAAAAUAUUAUGGUGAUAUAGAUUAAAUUAAAUUAUAAUAUCUUGAAAAGUUAUAAAUAAUUUUAAUUACUAAUAAUAUUUAUUUGUACAUUUAAAUAUUUUUAUAAAAACACAAAAAUAGCAUUAUACUCAUUUAAGUUUCUCGUAUCCGCCUCUCUUCUUGGAGAUUGUGGAUUUGCGAUAUUUAUAUUGAUUAUUAUAGGAAAAUGUUAUUUCCAGAGCAAACAUUUUUAUUUCCGGAGCAAAUUCAAACAAAUUUUUCCAAAUUGUUCUGGAAAUUAAAAUAUUGAUAUGGAUAUAACAAUUCCCUUAUUAUAUCCUAUGUAUAUUACAUUAAUGCAAUUAACAUGGUUGAUUGUUUUAGUAUAUAAUCAUAUUACUGUGACCUUUUAGUAUAUAAUUAUAUUAUUUUUGUUAUAUUUUAUGCAUCUAGAAACAAUUUUUUUAUGAUAUUUAUUAUAUUAAUUAUAGUAAAAGAUAUAAUUUUGUUUAAAAAAUUGAAUAAAACUAAGAGGGAUAGCCUACGUCUCUCCGAGUCUUCGAGGACUCAUUCCAAGUCCGAGAGGACCACAGCCUCAACCUUUAAGAGAUGUGAAAGUAGCUUGAGAGUGAUAUAAAUUUAUUUUUGACAAUAAAAUUUAAUAAUCAAAUAAAUUAAAUUAAAUUAAACUAGUUUAUAAUCGAUUAAAAAUAUAUAAAUCAAAAUUAUUCCCGAAUUAUGAUAACAAUUAAAAUCAUUUUAAAAGUUGCAUAAAUCAAAUCCAAAUCGAACAAAUUCCCCUAACACUAAAAUGUAGUUGCUUUAUUGUAGAUAAAAACAGUAUAAUAAUAGUAUUGAUGAAAAAUCAAAUUCAUCAAAUAAGUUUAUAAAAAAUACAUGAUUUUAAUUUUAAAAAAAAAACAUGAUUUUAGUGUGUUGUAUUAGUAGUGUGUCCACGCAUUUAUAUAUUAAAAUCUAUCCUCUAAAAACUAUCGAUCUAUUUACACAACUAUUGAUCUGUCGUGCAACAAAUUCCAGGGCGAAGUUCCAAAGAGAGCUUAAAUGGCUUGCAUUGCUCAAUCUAUCUCAUAAUAGUCUUAACGACAUAUGUUUUGAAUUAUUAUUAUGAUUUCAACAAUAUUUUCAAACAUUUCUUAAUAUGUAUUUUCAAAGAAUUCUCAAGCACUUGAACAUUUGGACCGGUUCUUUCGAAGCCAGGCAAUGCACAAAAAUGUCCAAAAAUGAAUAAAUUAAGAGAGAGUAGCUCACCCUUUCAAAGCCUUCCAGGACUCAUUCCAAGUCUUCGGAGGACCACUGCCUCCCCCUUUCAAAGAUGUGAUAGUAGCUCGAGAGUGAUAUAAAUUAUUUUCCCGACAUUAAAAAUAAAAAAUCAGAUUAAAUUAAUCAAUAAUAACUUAAGGAUGAAAUCCAAAUUAAUCCUAAAUUUUGAUAAUAUAUAAAAAUUAUAAUUAUAAAUUAUAUAACCAAAUCAGAAUUGAAUUAACUUACUUGGCACUAGAAUUGCUAAAGACAGUAUAAUAAUUUAAUUGAUGAAAAGUCAAAGUCUUCUAAUAAAUCCAUAAAGAAUAUGAUAAUAUGAAAAUUAUAAUUGAAAAAUCAAAAUCAAUAGUGUAUUGGAAUAGUGUUCACACACUUAUAUAUCAAAAUUUGUGGUCCAAAAACUAUAGCACAAUAUCCUAAAUACAUCACAUUAAAUAAUAGCACAAAAAUAUUCAAUAAAUAAUUGAUUUCAUUCAUAAAUUUGUUAUUUUAAAAACUAAUAAUUUGGUUGAUGUUAACCUAUAUUUUAUAUAUAAUUUCGUCUUAUUUUAUUUUACUAGAAACAAUAUUUUUAUAAUAUUUAUUACAUUAAAUAUAUUAAAAGAUAUAAUUUUAUUAAAAAAAUUGAAUAAAAUUAAAAGGAUAAGUCUCGGCCUCUCCAAGUCUACAAGACUCAUUUCACUACAAGAAAAAUGCAUAAAAGCGACCACCUAAAUGCGUGAAUGAAAAAAUAAUUUUAGAAAAACGAAAAUAAUCAUUCGUGACAAGACUAGUUAAAAAUAAUUGUUUAAUUUUUUUGACCAUUAUGAGAAGACACUAUUAAGUCGUUAUUUUUUAUUUCUUCACAUAAUUAAAAUCAACACAUAUUAAGAUAUUUAUGAUUGAAUGGUGAAAAAAAUAAAUCAAAUAUCAUAGAUCACAAGACUAGUUAUUUAAAAUUUUUUAAUUAAUCUUUACUAUUAUAAAAAUAUAUAAAUAAAUAUUUAUUUUUAUUUCUCCACAUCACAAAAAUAAACUCAUGUUAACAUUUAUGUGUGACUCGUGAACUUUUUUAUAAAAAUCAUAAAAUAAUUAAUACUGGCAAAAGCGACCGGCUAUAAAAUGGUAGCUUUUGUUUUUAUAUUUUUUUACUUCUCUUAGGCGGGAAAAUUCCCGCUCAAACACAUGAAAGUUAAAAGCGACCGCUAGACUUAGCCGGUUGCUUUUAUAUUUAAAAGCCACCAAACAAAAGCGACCCCUCGUAAAAGCCACCAAACAAAAGCGACCGCCAAUAAAAGCUACCAAACACGGUCGCUUUUGUUUAUCAGUCAAAUCAAAUUUCUAUUUUGAGUAAAAGCCACCGCUUUCGGUGGCUUUUAUACUUGGUCGCUUUUGUUUGGUGGCUUUUAGUGUUUUUUCUUGUAGUGUUUCAAGUCCACCGAGGGCCUCAACCAUUGAGAGAUGUGAAAGUAGCUUGAGAGUGAUAUAAAUUAUUUUCAUGACAAUAUAAUUUAAUAUCCAAUAUAAAUUAAUUAAAUUAGUUAAUAAUGAAUCAAGACUAAUCAUGAAUUAUGAUAAUAAUUAAAUAAAUUAUAAAAUUAAAUUAUACAAAUAACACUAAACCUUAGUUACUUUAUUGGUAAAAUAAAUAUAAUAUAAUAAUUAAAUUGAUGAAAAAUCAAAAUCAUCUAAUAAAUUCACAAAAAAUAUAUGAUCAUUAGUAUAUUAUAUUAGUAUCCACACACUUAUAUUUCAAAAUCUAUCCUACAAAAUUAUCAUCUCUGUAAACUAGCCACAAAAAAUAAAAAUUUAAAGAUAUUAGAUAUUUAGUUAUUUUCAUUAUAUAAUUUUUCCACACUAAAUAACAAAAUAUCUUUAUCAAAUUAUUAUUUAUGAAUUAAAUAUUCAAGUUAUAAAUUGAAGUGUGCAGUAUGAUAUCAGAUUCACAUAACCCAGUUGAUCAGGAGAAACAUGGCCUACUCUGCAAAGCCUUCUCACCUUCUUCUCUUUGUUUUCUUUCUCUCAUCACUUGAAUGCAUUCUUGCAACAACACGAGAAGGAGAAGCUCUUGUGAAGUGGAAGAAUAGCCUAGCCCCUUCUUCUUUUCUCGACUCUUGGUCACUCACCAAUCUCGAUAAUCUUUGUAAUUGGACUGGCAUUACUUGUAACUCUGCAGGUUCAGUCUCUAAGAUUAACCUUUUUGAGAAACAACUUGAUGGAAUGUUGUCCGAGUUUGGUUUCACUUCAUUUCCAAAUCUCAACAAUCUCACCCUUGCAAACAACUUCUUCUCGGGUCCAAUACCGCCAGCCAUUGAGAAUUUAACACAGCUUCAAUAUCUUGAUUUGAGAAAUAAUUAUCUAGAUGGUCCCAUUCCGUUCCAGGUUAGCCAUCUUCAGAGCUUGCUCAUCUUAAACCUGUCACAGAAUGCAUUGCAAGCUCCAAAUUGGUCCCAUUUCUCUCCCAUGCCUUUCUUGCGCAUCCUCAACCUCAGUUACAAUCCUCUUGCGUCGAAAUUCCCAUAUUUUAUAUCCAAUUCUCAUAGCCUGACUCACCUUAGCCUUAAUUAUAACGAGUUUACUGGUGAUUUAGUACGUGAAUCAGUAUUUGCCAAUCUGCAUAAUCUUGAAGUCCUCAGUCUUGUUGGCAAUUCUUUUGAGGGGUCAUUUCCGCCAGAUAUAUUCAAGCUUUCCAAAUUAAAACGUCUUGCCCUGUCAAGUAACAAAUUUUCAGGUUCAAUUCCCAAUGACUUAAGGUUGCUUCAUGAUCUUGAAUCCCUGUAUUUAGGCAACAAUUCCUUUGAAGGACCGCUUCCACCAAAUAUAUUCAAGCUUUCAAAAUUAAAAAAUCUUGUUAUUUGGAGUAAUAAGUUUUCAGGUUCUGUUUCCAAUGAUAUAGGUUUGCUUUCUGAGCUUGAAACCCUCGAUCUUAACUCUAAUUUUUUUGAGGGGCCGCUUCCGCCAAAUGUAUUCAAGCUCUCCAAACUAAGGUUUCUUCACCUCUGGGGUAAUAACUUUUCAGGUUCUAUUUCCAAUAAUAUAGGUUUGCUUUCUGAGCUUGAAACCCUCGAUCUUAACUCUAAUUUUUUUGAGGGGCCGCUUCCGCCAAAUGUAUUCAAGCUCUCCAAACUAAAGUUUUUUGCCCUUCGUGAGAAUAACUUUUCAGGUUUUAUUUCUAAGGAUAUAGGUUUGCUUUCCCAACUUGAAAGCCUCUAUCUUGGCUCUAAUUUUUUUGAGGGGCCGCUUCCCCCACAUAUAUUUAGGCUCUCCAAAUUAAGAGAUCUGGACCUCUCAGACAAUAGAAAUUUAUUUGAAGGAAGUAUUCCUAUUGGACUGGGACUCUUGACUAAUUUCAGCUUCUUAGAUCUAAAUUCCAAUAAUCUCGGUGGCUAUAUUCCAUCUGACAUUGGAAACCUGAAGCUACUAGUAUAUCUUGAUCUCAGUUCUAAUCAAUUGACUGGACAGCUUUCAAAGAUCAUUUCUAAUCUCACAAAUCUUAUAAGUCUUGAUGUAAGUUAUAAUAGUUUUAGUGGAAAUAUUCAGAGUGACUUGUGGAACUUCCCUAAGGAAUAUAACAAUCAUCCAACUUUGGAAUACAUCGCUUUUAAGUGGGAACCAUUUUACAGGUAUAUUUUCUCUAUAUAUCUUUUCCUUUUCUCAUAUGUAACUAAGCUAGUAAUCUGAUUAUUGCUGUUUUACCAAAUUUUAACAAUCUUGACAGGUGAGCUUCCAACAACAAUUUGCAAUGUCACUUCCCUUUCAAUUCUUGAUUUGUCAAAUAAUGAAUUAAGUGGUGAACUUCCAAACUGUUUCGGGAAUCUUGCUGAUGGAUUGCUUUACAUUAAUCUUGCUAAUAAUCAGUUUCGAGGAACAAUACCAACUACUUUCUCCAGGAGUUGUCAGCUGACAUGCAUAUCUAAACAUGGAUAAUAAUGAGUUUGAAGGAUUGAUGCCCCCAUCUUUGGCGAACUGUAAGCACUUGAAAAUUCUUGAUAUAGGCAAUAAUAAAAUAGGUGGUACAUUUCCGUCAUGGCUUUAUGCACUUGGAGAGCUAGAAGUUCUUGUCUUGCGAUCAAAUAAACUCUAUGGUACAAUAAGUGGAAGGAGCACAGAAGAUCCCUUCCCCAAGUUGCGGAUUAUGGAUUUGUCCAACAAUCAAUUCACAGGCCAUUUGCCAAUUCAAUACUUUAAGAAUAUGAAAUCAACUGAUAAUUUGUAUCGUUUUCAGAAUGUGACAGCAGUUUUUACUAUCCAUUAUGAAGCAGCAGUCUCAUUAACUGUGAAGGGAACAGAGUAUGAAGUGACAAAUAACCUUCAUAUUUACACAGCUAUUGAUCUGUCGUGCAACAAAUUUCAGGGUGAAAUUCCAAAAGUUAUUGGAGAGCUUAGAUGGCUUGCAUUGCUCAACUUAUCGCAUAAUAGUCUGACAGGACAUAUCCCGUCAUUGCUGAGAAAUAUGAAAGAACUCCAAUCUUUAGAUUUGUCCUCAAAUCAACUGACAGGGGCUAUUCCACCUCAGUUAACUGCACUGACAUUUCUAGAAGUCUUAAACCUCUCGGGAAACCAUCUUAGUGGAGAGAUUCCUCAGAAAGGACAAUUCAGCACAUUCAACAAUGAUUCUUAUCUAGGAAACUCCGCAUUAUGUGGAUCACCAUUGAUGAAGAAAUGUGCAAACACAGCAUCACCUCCACAAGAAGUCGGAAAUGGUGAUGAAGAUGAUGCUGGAGAUGAAUUGACAUGGGAAGCAAUCGUGAUGGGAUAUGGAUGUGGACUGAUAUGUGGAUUGUCAUCUGCAUACAUUGUUCUCAAACUAGGAAAGCCUUGGUGGUUUGUGAGAUAUAUCGAAGUGCUGCAACUGAAGUUGAUGAAAAGAUAUGCAUGAAGAAUGGUACUGGCCAAUCAAGACCAACUUGAAAGUUGUUGGACAUUUCUGAACCAGUAGUGUACUAUUCUCUUUGUGGCUGCAUAAGUUUUUGGUAUUGGUGUAAUAUUUUGUUUGGUCUUGAAUCAUAAUGAUUUUUCUUUUUUCAGGGGUAUUAAUAUAAACCUUGGUAUUGUGUAAUAUUCUGUUUGAUCAAUGUUUAUAUCAGUAAUUAUAUGCUCCUCACUGCAUCAUGCAGCUCUCAUAAUAUUAUUAUUAUUAUUAUUAUUAUUAUUAUUAUUAUUAUUAUUAUUAUUAUUAUUAUUAUUAUUAUUAUUAUUAUUAUUAAUUGAUUACACACUCACACGUGGGGAGUCGACCUCCCGACCUCCAGCAAAGGGGUAAAAGAGCUCUCAUAUUAUCUUCAUAUGUGUAUUAUUUGGAUAUCAAAGUUGCAGGGACAUAUGGAUAUGUGUUAACAGGGACUGCUCGGUCUUGGACGGACUCUUUCCAAGUCCUCUGGGGUCCUAUCGAUUCAAAUUAGUCUAUUAUCUGCAUACUAGCUAAUUUGUCCAACUCGGGCUUCAAUAGUAAAGAUAAUAGGUGCGAGUUGAGUUUCUCAAAGUAUGAGUACAAUAUCGUUUUUUAAUGAUAGUUAGGGGGUGUGAUAUGCAAUUACCUCAAAAAUAUAUGAUCAUUAGUAUAUUAUAUUAGUAUCCACACACUUAUAUCUCAAAAUCUAUCCUCCAAAAUUAUCAUCUCUAUAGGCUAGCCACAUAAAAUAAAAAUUUAAAGAUAUUAGAUAUUUAGUUAUUUUCAUCAUAUAAUUUUUCCAUGCAAAAUAACAAAAUAUCUUUAUCAACUUAUUAUUUAUGAGUUAAAUAUUCAAGUUAUAUAAUUCGGGCAUGCUGGGUAUAAAUAGAAGUGUAACGCCUAAUUUCCGGGGUCUGGGAGUAGUUGGCGGGGUAUGAGAGAGCAGGCUAUUCAGAAGUCUUGGUCAUGAAAACUUCCAAGCUAACUUCGACAACGGAAUCUUCUGAGGCUACUAUUCUAAAGCACGCAUAAUCAUUGUAUUCAUAUUCCUCUCACACUGACAAAAAGUCUAUUUAAGCAAAUGAAAUACAAACAACUGAGUGGAAUGCUGACCGAAAAUCUUUUUGGCUGAGCUUAUGAGUUAUUAGUACAUGAUUAAUAUGAUAAGCUAAGCUGAGAGCAUAAGAUAUCGUUUGUAUAAUUUUGUGUUUAUUAAUGACUUAUAAAUUAUUAAAAAUAUAAUAAGAAAAAUAAAAAUGUUUUAUAACUAAUUUAUGUUUCAUGAGUAAUUUUUAUUAGAAAAAAGUUUUAAAAAAUUAUUUCACUGGAAAAAAACCUCCAACUAACUUUUGGCUCUAAAGUCAGUUUGUGACUUAUUUCUGACUUUAAAUCGGCUUCUCACUUUUACACAAACAAAAAUUUUUCAGCUUAAAGUUAAAAACAACUUUAAGCUCCGGUUUUAAACCUCGACAAACAUGCUCUGAGUUUGGUUUCACUUCAUUUACAAACCUCAACAAUUUCACCAUCAAACACAAUGACUUCUCCAAUCUCCGGUCAAGUACCACCAGCCAUUGAGAAUUUGGCACAACUUCAAUUCCAUACCAGGUUAGUCAUCUUCGGAGAUUACACGUCUUAGACCUGUCAAAUACAAAUUUCAAUCUCCAAACUGGUCCGACUUAUCUUCUAUGCUUUUUGUUGAGUCCGGCUCAUCUAAAGCCUUAAGAUGUUAGAAGAAGCCCCCAAUGAAUCUUAUAUAUGCUAUAUUUUAACAAUUCUGAGCACACUCAACCUUGGUAUUAAUAAUAUUGUGUCGAAAAUUCCAGAAUUUAUAUCUAAUUCUCAUAGCCUAACUUUCCUUGACCUUUCCAUAUAACAAAUUUACAGUUAAUCCUGUGCUUGAAUCAGUAUUUGCAACCAAAAUUAUGCAAUUAUAGUGCAGGUAGUCUUCCAGUUCUUCCUACUCUAUGCUAUAAUUUCAUUUGAUACCAAUAAUUUUACGCUCUACACUCCAGGAUGAGCUCGCAUAUUAUUGACAGCUAUAAUCCUUCCAACAAUUUGCGAUGCAAAGCAGGGGGGCGCCUGUAUUUUCAUAUGUCUAUAUUAUUGGAGAUUAAAGUUGUAUGGACAAUUGUGUUGAUAAUUUGCCCAAUGUUAACAGGGAUAGGUUGGCUUAAUUUGCCCAAUGUUAACAGGGAUAGGUUGGCUUAAUUUGCCCAAUGUUAACAGGGAGAUUAAAUGGCUUGCAUUGCUCAACGUAUAUCUCAUAAUAGUCUUACCGGACAUAUGUUAUGCAUUAUUAUUAUGCUUUCAUCACUAUUUUCAAACAUUUCUCAAUAUAUAUUUUCAAAGAAUUCUCAAGCACUUGAACAUUUGGACCGGUUCUUUCGAAGCCAAGAUGCCCAGGGUAUCAUGGCCAUGCACAAAAAUGAAUAAAUUAAGAGAGAUUGCUCAGGGUCUCCCCAAGCCUUUCAGGACUCAUUCCAAGUCUUCGAGGACCACUGCCUCACUCUUUCAAAGAUGUGAUAGUAGCUCGAGAGCGAUAUAAAUGAUUUUCCUGACACUAAAAAUAAAAAAAUCAGAUCAAAUUAAUCAAUAAUAAAUUAAAGAUGCAAUCCAAAUUAAUCCUAAAUUUUGAUGAUAUAUAAAAAUUAUAAUUAUAAAUUAUAUAACCAAAUCAGAAUUGAAUUAACUUACUUGGUACUAAAAUUGAUAAAAACAGUAUAAUAAUUUAAUUGAUGAAAAUUCAAAGUCUUCUAAUAAAUCCAUAAAAAAUUUGAUAAUCAAAAUAACGAAAAUUAUAAUUGAAAAAUCAAAAUCAAUAGUGUAUUGGAAUAUUGUUCACACACUUAUAUAUCAAAAUUUGUGGUCCAAAAACUAUAGCACAAUAUCCUAAAUACACCACAUUAAAUAAUAGUUCAAAAAUAUUCAAUAGAUAAUUGAUUUCAUUCAUAAUUUUGUUAUUUUAAAAACUAAUAAUUUGGUUGAUGUUAACCUAUAUUUUAAUAUAUAAUUAUAUUAUUUUCAUCUUAUUUUAUUUAACCAGAAACAAUAUUUUUAUAAUAUUUAUUACAUUAUUUAUAUUAAAAAAUAUAAUUUCAUUAAAAAAAUUGAAUAAAAUUAAGAGGAUAACUCUAUGCCUCUCCAAGUCUACAAGACUCAUUUCAAGUCUACCUCGGACCACUACCUCAACCAUUCAGAGAUGUGAAAGUAGUUUGAGAGUGACAUAAAUUAUUUUCGUGACAAUAAAAUUUAAUAUCUAAUAUAAAUUAAUUAAAUUAGAUAAUAAUAAAUCAAAACUAAUUAUGAAUUAUGAUAAUAAUUAAAUAAAUUAUAAUUAAAUUAUAUAAAUCAACUCCAAAUGAUACAAAUAACACUAAACCUUGGUUACUUUGUUGGUAAAUAAAUAUAAUAUAAUAAUCAAAUUGAUGAGAAAUGAAAAUCAUCUAAUAAAUUCACAAAAAAUAUAUGAUCAUUAGUAUAUUAUAUUAGUAUCCACACACUUAUAUUUCAAAAUCUAUCCUCCAAACUUAUCAUCUCCGUAAACUAGCCACAUAAAAUAUAAAUUUAAAGAUAUUAGAUAUUUAGUUAUUUUCAUUAUAUAAUUUUUCCACACUAAACAACAAAAUAUUUUUAUCAAAAUUAUUAUUUAUGAGUUAAAUAUUCAAGUUAUAAUUCCAGCAUGCAGCGUAUAAAUAGAAGUGUGCAGUAUGAUAUCAGAUUCAUAACCCAGUUGAUCAGAAGAAACAUGGCCUACUCUGCAAAGCCUUCUCACCUUCUUCUCUUUGUUUUCUUUCUCUCAUCACUUGAAUCCAUUCUUGCAACAACACGAGAGGGAGAAGCUCUUGUGAAGUGGAAGAAUAGCCUAGCCCCUUCUUCUUUUCUCGACUCUUGGUCACUCACCAAUCUCGAAAAUCUUUGUAACUGGACUGGCAUUACUUGUAACUCUGCAGGUUCAGUCUCUGAGAUUAACCUUUUUGAGAAACAACUUAAUGGAAUGCUGUCCGAGUUCGGUUUCACUUCAUUUCCAAAUCUCAACAAUCUCACCCUCGCAUACAACUUCUUCUCGGGUCCAAUACCACCAGCCAUUGAGAAUUUAACACAGCUUCAAUAUCUUGAUUUAAGCAUGAAUAGUCUUAAUGGUCCCAUUCCGUUCCAGGUUAGCCAUCUUCAGAGUUUGCUCAUAUUAAACCUGUCACAGAAUGCAUUGCAAGCUCCAAAUUGGUCCCAUUUCUCUCCCAUGCCUGUUUUGCGCUUCCUCAAGCUCAGUAGAAAUCCUCUUGUGUCGAAAUUCCCAAAUUUUAUAUCCAAUUCUCAUAGCCUGACUUAUCUCAACCUUUCACAUAACAAGUUUAGUGGUGAUCUUGUACGUGAAUCAGUAUUUACCAAUCUGCAUCAUCUUGAAGUCCUCAGUCUUGUUGGCAACUCUUUUGAGGGGUCAUUUCCGCCAGAUAUAUUCAAGCUUUCCAAAUUAACACGUCUUGCCCUGUCAAGUAACAAAUUUUCAGGUUCAGUUCCCAACGACAUAAGGUUGCUUUGUGGUCUUGAAUACCUAUAUUUAGCUGACAAUUCCUUUGAAGGACCGCUUCCACCAGAUAUAUUCAAGCUUUCAAGAUUAAAACAUCUUGUUCUUUGGAGUAAUAAGUUUUCAGGUUCUGUUUCCAAUGAUAUAGGUUUGCUUUCUGAGCUUGAAGCCCUCAAUCUUGACUCUAAUUUUUUUGAGGGGCCGCUUCCCCUAAAUUUAUUCAAGCUCUCCAAACUAAAAUUUCUCACCCUGACAAGUAACAAAUUUUUAGGUUCAAUUCCCAAUGACAUAAGGUUACUUUGUGAUCUUGAAUACCUAUAUUUAGGCAACAAUUCCUUUGAAGGACCGCUUCCACCAAAUAUAUUCAAACUUUCAAAAUUAAAAGAUCUUGUUCUUUGGGGUAAUAAGUUUUCGGGUUCUGUUUCCAAUGAUAUAGGUUUGCUUUAUGAGCUUGAAACCCUCGAUCUUAACUCUAAUUUUUUUGAGGGGCCGCUUCCGCCAAAUUUAUUCAAGCUCUCCAAACUAAAGAUUCUUUCCCUUUAUAAGAAUAACUUUUCAGGUUUUAUUUCUAAGGAUAUAGGUUUGCUUUUCGAACUUGAAAGCCUCUAUCUUGGCUCUAAUUUUUUUGAGGGGCUGCUUCCCCCACAUGUAUUUAGGCUCUCCAAAUUAAGAGAUCUGGGUCUCUCAGACAAUAGAAAUUUAUUUGAAGGAAGUAUUCCUAUUGGACUGGGACUCUUGACUAACCUCAGGUACUUAGAUCUACAUUCCAAUAAUCUCGGUGGCUAUAUUCCAUCUGACAUUGGAAACCUGAAGCUACUAGUACUUCUUGAUCUCAAUUCUAACCAAUUGACUGGACCGCUUUUAAAGAUCGUUUCUAAUCUCACAAAUCUUAUGUUUCUUGAUGUAAGUGAUAAUAGUCUUAGUGGAAAUAUUCAGAGAGACUUGUGGAACUAUAACGAUCAUCCAACUUUGGAAUUCAUCAAUUUAAGUGGGAACCAUUUUACGGGUAUAGUUUUUCUCUAUAGAUCUUUCCUUUUGUCAUAUGUAACUAAGCUAGUAAUCUGAUUAAUUGCAGUUUUACCAAAGUUUCAACAAUCUUGACAGGUGAGCUUCCAACAACAAUUUGCAAUGUCACUUCCCUUUCGGUUCUUGAUUUGUCAAAUAAUGCAUUAAGUGGUGCACUUCCAAACUGUUUCGGGAAUCUUGCUGAUGGAUUGCUUUACAUUAAUCUUGCUAAUAAUCAGUUUCGAGGAACAAUACCAACUACUUUCUCCAGGAGUUGUCAGCUGACAUAUCUGAACAUGGAUGAUAAUCAGUUUGAAGGAUUGUUACCCCCAUCUUUAGCGAACUGUAAGCACUUGAGAAUCCUUGAUAUGGGCAACAAUAAAAUAGGUGAUACAUUUCCGUCAUGGCUUUAUGUACUUGGAGCGCUAGAAGUCCUUGUCUUGCGAUCAAAUAAACUCUAUGGUACAAUAAGGGCAAGGAGCAUAGAAGAUCCCUUCCCCAAGUUGCGGAUUGUGGAUCUGUCCAACAAUCAAUUCAUGGGCCAUUUGCCAAUUCAAUACUUUAAGAAUAUGAAAUCAAAUGAUAAUUUGUAUCGUUAUCUGAAUUCCACAGGAGAAAUAGAUAUCUCUUAUGAAGCAGCAGUCUCAUUAACUGUGAAGGGAACAGAGUAUGAAGUAGCAAAUAACCUUCAUAUUUACACAGCCAUUGAUCUGUCGUGCAACAAAUUUCAGGGAGAAAUUCCAAAGGUUGCCGGAGAGCUUAGAUGGCUUGCAUUGCUCAAUUUAUCUCAUAAUAGUCUAACAGGACCUAUCCCAUCAUUGCUGAGAAAUAUGAAAGAACUCCAAUCUUUAGAUUUGUCCUCAAAUCAACUGACAGGGGCUAUUCCACCUCAGUUAACUGCAUUGACAUUUCUAGAGGUCUUAAAUCUCUCGAACAACGAUCUCAGUGGAGAGAUUCCUCAGAAAGGACAGUUCAGCACAUUCAACAAUGAUUCUUAUCUAGGAAACUCCGCGUUAUGUGGAUCACCAUUGACGAAGAAAUGCGCAAACACAGCAUCACCUCCACAAGAAGUCAGAAAUGGUGAUGAAGAUGAUGCUGGUGAUGAAUGGACAUGGGAAGCAAUCGUGAUGGGAUAUGGAUGUGGACUGAUAUGUGGAUUGUCAUCUGCGUACAUUGUUCUCAAACUAGGAAGGCCUUGGUGGUUUGUGAGAUAUGUCGAAGUAUUGCAACUGAAGUUGAUGAAAAGAUAUGCUUGAAGAAUGGUAUUUGGUCUUGUACUAGCUGCAUAAGUAUUUGGCAUUGUGUAGUAUUCUGUUUGGUCUUGAAUUAUAAUGAUUUUUCUUGCUUCAGGGGUAUUAAUAUAAACCUUGCUAUCUUGCUCAGUGUUAAUGCAAAUUAAGAUGAAUGAAUAAACAAAAAAUAUGCAUCAAAUUAAGAAUUCAGAAAUGGUGAUACUCAUGCAGUGUCACCAACUCAAGAAUUCAGAAAUGGUGAUACUCAUGAAGAUGACGAUGCUGAUGAUGAACUUUGAUGUGGGACUUGGGUUGACCACUUGUUGGGCCGCACAACACCUGUUAAGCAUUAGUAUGACGUUGUCCGCUCUGGAUCGUGACCAAGCCCGCACGGAUUUGUUUUCGAGCUCCUCUCAAAAGGUCUAAAACUAAUGGAGUUGUUUGGCUGCUUAUAUUCAAGAUAAAUCUUUUUGAUGUGGGAUUUGGGUUGACACCCACACAACAAGACGUGAGGAAAUAUUGUUGUCUUGAGAUGACAUAUGUUCUGAAUUAUUAUUAUGCUUUCAACAAUAUUUUCAAACAUUUUUCAAUAUGUAUUUUUAAAGAAUUCUCAAGCACUCGUGACCCCUAUAAUUUUUUCUCAGGCAACGCCUAUAGUUUCAAAGAAUUCCCAGGCACUUAAACAUUUGGACCGGUUCUUUGGAAGCCAAGAUGCCCAGGUUAUCAUGGCCAUGCACAAAAUGCAGUACCAAAGAAAAAAAAUAAUAAAUUAAGAGAGAUUGCUCUGGGUCACCCCAAGCCUUCGAGGACUCAUUCCAAGCCUCGCCCUUUCAAAGAAGUGAUAGUAGCCGGAAAGUGAUAUAAAUUAUUCUCCGGACACUAAAACUAAAUAAUCAGAUCAAAUUAAUCAAUAAUAAAUUAAAGAUAUGAAAUCAAAAUUAAUCCUAAAUUUUGAUAAUAUACAAAAAUUAUAAUUAUAAAUUUUAUUAUCAAAUCAAGAUUAAAUUAACUUACAUGGCCGUUAAAAUUGAUAAACGCAAUAUAAUAGGGUUAAAAAUGGGGCGGGUUCGGGACGGGUACUUCAUUUCCCAGCCUCGUCCCAUAUAUAUUUUUCCUGCCCCGUCUCCGCCCCAUUCUCCACGAAGAUUUAUUUUUAAUCCCCAUUGCCGCCCGCCCCACCGGGGAUUGAAUAUAAUUUCGCCCCGCCCCGCUGCUAUAAUAUUACACUUUAAUUAAUUACCUUAAAAUUUAAUAAUCAGAAUUUAAUAAAAAUAUACGAGACAUGUAUAUUAAAAGCAAAAAACUAAAUAUAAUAGAAAUCAAAGAGACAUGUUAUACAUUGUAAAAUUAUAGUUUUAUGUAUUAUAUAAUAGAUAAUAUUAAAUAUAUUAUAUUAAAUAUAAUUAUUUAUUUUUAUUAAAUAUAUGCGGGGCGGGGUGGGGAAUCCCCGCGGGAAUUCAACAAAUACCAUGCUUGCCCCAUAUUUUAGCGGGGCAGAUAAUCAUUCUCCGUCACUACCCCAUUCCCCAUAGAGUAGUGCUAGAUGCACAAAAUUGGAUACAUAAUUUUACACAAAAUGACAUGGCAAUCUAGGUGGAGAGCUUUAAUUGGUAUUAUUAAUGCAUGUGCAGGGGCUCAUUCCAAUCACAAAUUGACACAUACUCAUUCUGUGAAUAUUUCUGUACUCAAUUCUGUGCAGGUAGCAUUUUUCUUCCCCAUAUUAGCGGGGCGCAUCGGCUCCAUUCGGGGCGGGUUCCCCAUUUUCCCCACCCAAUUUUUAACCCUACAAUAGUAAUCAAAUUGAUGAAAAGUCAAAGUCCUCUAAUAAAUCCAUAAAGAAUAUGAUAAUCAAAACUACAAAAAUUAUAAUUGAAAAAUCAAAAUCAUCCUAAUAAGUUCAUAGAAUAUAUAUGAUCAGUAGAGCAUUAGAAUAGUGUUCACACACUUAUAUGUCAAAAUUUGUGGUCCAAAGACUAUGACACAAUAUCCUAAAUACACCCCCAUUGAAUAGUAGUUCAAAAUAUUUAAUAUAUAAUUGUUUUCAUUCAUAAUUUUGUUAUUAUUUAAAAAAUAAUAAUUUAAUUGCUGUUAACCUUUAUUUUAAUAUAUAAUCAUAUCGUUUCCUUACAAUUUAAUUAUCUAGAAACAAUAUUUUUGUUAUAAUCAUUACAUUAAUUAUAUUAAAAAAUAUAAUUUUGUUAAAACAUUGAAUGAAAUUAAGAGUAUUAAUCUACGUCUCUCCAAGUCUACAGGACUCAUUCCAAGUCUGCGUGAGACCACUGCCACCACCUUUGAGAGAUGUGGAAGUGGAAGUAGCUUCAGAUUGACCUAAAUUAUUUCCUGACAAUAAAUUUAAUAUCCGAAAUAAAUUAAAUUAAACUAGUUUUUUGAAACAAUUAAAUUAAACUAGUUAAUAAUAAAUUAAGAAUAUAUAAAAUCAAAACUAAUCAUGAAUUAUGAUAAUAAUUAAAUAAAUUAUAAUUAAGCUAUAUAAAUCAACUCCAAAUGACACCAACAGCACCAAACCUUAGUUACUUUAAUAUUGGUAAAUAAAUAUAAUAUAAUAAUCAAUUGAUGAAAAAUCAAAUCAUCUAAUAAAUUCACAAAAAAUAUAUGAUCAUUAGUAUAUUAUAUUAGUAUCCACACACUUAUAUUUCAAAAUCUAUCCUCCAAAAUUAUCAUCUCGAUAAACUAGCCACAUAAAAUAAAAAUUUAAAGAUAUUAGAUAUUUAGUUAUUUUCAUUAUAUAAUUUUUCCACACUAAAUAACAAAAUAUUUUUAUCAAAUUAUUAUUUAUGAGUUAAAUAUUCAAGUUAUAAAUCCAGCAUGCAGCGUAUAAAUAGAAGUGUGCAGUAUGAUAUCAGAAUCAUAACCCAGUUGAUCAGGAGAAACAUGGCAUACUCUGCAAAGCCUUCUCACCUUCUUCUCUUUGUUUUCUUUCUCUCAUCACUUGAAUCCAUUCUAACAACACGAGAGGGAGAAGCUCUUGUGAAGUGGAAGAAUAGCCUAGCCCCGUCUUCUUUUCUCGACUCUUGGUCACUCACCAAUCUCGAUAAUCUUUGUAACUGGACUGGCAUUACUUGUAACUCUGCAGGUUCAGUUUCUGAGAUUAACCUCUGUGAGAAACAACUUGAUGGAAUGCUGUCCGAGUUCGGUUUCACUUCAUUUCCAAAUCUCAAGAAUCUCACCCUGGCAGACAACUUCUUCUCGGGUCCAAUACCACCAGCCAUUGAGAAUUUAACACAGCUUCAAUAUCUUGAUUUAAGCAUGAAUAGUCUUAAUGGUCCCAUUCCGUUCCAGGUUAGCCAUCUUCAGAGUUUGCUCAUAUUAAACCUGUCACAGAAUGCAUUGCAAGCUCCAAAUUGGUCCCAUUUCUCUCCCAUGCCUGUUUUGCGCUUCCUCAAGCUCAGUAGAAAUCCUCUUGUGUCGAAAUUCCCAAAUUUUAUAUCCAAUUCUCAUAGCCUGACUUAUCUCAACCUUUCACAUAACAAGUUUAGUGGUGAUCUUGUACGUGAAUCAGUAUUUAUACCAAUCUGCAUCAUCUUGAAGUCCUCAGUUUUUCACCGAAGAGUUGUGUGAGCCUAUUUUAGACAAUGGAUUCUCUUACAAUGGUAUAACCUCUGUAACAGUUGUGUCAUUUUUAAUGACACAACAUAUGUGCGUAUAAAAACCGUUGUCUAUUAGACACUACAGGACAAAAUUUACCUUUUUACAAUAAGACAAAAUUUACCUUUGACUGUUAUUGUUAAAAAAACAUACAUAAUAAACGUAAAAAAUUUUGAAUUUUUUUAUGUAUGAUUAAUAUUGUUAAUUCUCGAGAUCCGUACGGUCAGAUCAUCGAAAAAAAUAUUUAUAAAUUAAUACAGAGUUAAUCGUAUACAUAACAAAGAUUCUAUUGAGUACUUUCUAAAUUGUAACCAUAAAACAAAUACUAAUAUCCACAUCCGAACUACAAAAUUAUCUUCAUUGUACAAAUGAACAAUAUAUAUUUGCAUAUAUGCAUAAUAUAAAUAUAUGUUUUAAGAUAAACUGUGCAAAAAUUAGAAUUUAUCAAGGAAUAGAGAAUUUUUAACUUUUAAAAAGAAAAAUUAAUCAUAAAACAGUUUCAUUGCCAUAAAUAAUUAAUAAUUAAUUCAAUUGUAACCCCUAAAAUAAUUACUAAUUAAUAAUUAAUACAGUGCUAAUCGUAUAUAUAACAAAAAUUCUAUUAUGUACUUCCUAAAUUAUAACUUUAAACACAUACUAAUACUAUUAUAUAAUAUUUUUCAAUUAUUAAUAUUAUAAUAUAUAUUAUAAUACAACUAAUUCUUUUAAAUUUUCAAUUAAAUUUUAAUAUUCUAUAAUAUAUAGAUAUAUGAAUUUAAGUAAUAUAACUUUUAAUUAUAUUACACAUAUUUCUUCUUGUUUUUAAUAAAUUAUUUAAAUUAAGAUAAUAUUAAUUAUUUUCUUGACGCAAAAACAAUUUUAAUUAUUAAUUAAAGAAUUAAAAGGAAAAAAAAGUAGAUCUGCCCAAUGUACAGGUGAAAGUGAGAAGCGGCAAAGUUCCCCCCAAAACUAAAAACCACUGCCGAGUAAAAACCCCUAACCUGUACUCUCAAAAAACUUCUCACUCACAAACACUCUCCCUGGAUCUAUGUAUCUAUCAACACUCGGGGGGUUUGUUAUGUUUAAAUGGAAGCAAAACAAUGCUAUAGUCAUUUUCAGUAUCCAUGUGGUCCUCUUGCAUCUCGGUUUGCUCUGCUUUUCACAUGUUUGUGGCCAACAUGAAUCUUAUAUCUUGUUUAUGAGUUUAAUUUUGUUUAUUUGUAUUUGAGUGGCUUGAUUUUGUAUUUCUUCACUACUAAUUGUUAUUUUCUAAAUUAUCCAUGUGAUUAGGGCUCAUUUUUAGGGGAACUUUGAAUUAGGUCAUUAAAUUACAGUUUUGGUGAAUUGGGGCUUUCAUUGUAUAUAUUUGAUUACAUACAACUGUUAAUAUUUGAGCAGCCAAGGCUCAAGAGCUCAAAAGAUGACAUAUCGAUGGGGUGACAUGUAUGGCUAACAAUCGGAGUAAUUUGAAAGGAUUAUUUUUUCGUUGGGCUGACAGAGGUAUAUUGUUCUUGACACUGGUUUUUAACUUGCUGUCUUUAGUUUAGUUGUGAAUAAUGAGAUGGUUGGAUAUUCUAUUUCGUAUUGUUGUAUGUGGUCGUUAGCAGAAGCUCAUUAAGUCUGCUAUGGUUUAUAGAUUUUAUAACAUUGAUAAGUAUGGUUUGGGUGUCUAGGCUAGUUUUGUUUGUGUGUGUAAUGGAUGUGUUUUGAUUUUUCUGAUUUUUCUGAUUUUUCGAUCAUCUACUUCUUUUUUGUUGCGGGGUUGUUAUUUGUUUACUCUUGUUCCCUGCAAAGAAAUAAGUGUGGAUAGUUAUGCAUUGGAAUCAUAAGUAGCAAUUAAGUGUUAAUUUCCAAUUCAACGAGUUCAAUGCACGCCUGUCUUCAACUAGAUCCGUUUCUUAAUGAAUUUACAAGCAUGUUUGAGCACAAUACUGAGCAGGGUUGUGUGUAGGUCACUUUAUAUAUUUUAGUAUCAAGAGACGUAUUAUGUUGAUAUGUGCUGUAUAAAAUAUUUAAUUGAAGCUAGGUUUAUGUGUAACUGUUACUCAUCUGGCUAUGGAAUACAUUCCCAGAUUAAAAAAUUUGAUAAUGAUUGAUACUGUCUUGUCACUCCAUUAAACAUGACGUAACAUCUGUAUUCAACUUUGGACUUCAUUAAUUGGUGUUAGUCGUGCAAUAUGUUUAAAUUAAAAAAGUUAUGUUUCUUUUAUAUGUUCGAAUUUACUCCAAAUUGCAUGUGGGCGUUUCACUUCUUAUGAGCAGGCUGUGCUUUGGGAAGUUUAGGCAUGCUUUGAGAAUAGAUAUUUUAAUCAAACUGUGCACUUUAGAUAUAAAAAAUCUUGCUGUUCUGAUGGAUUGUAUGGUGUGGAACAAGAGCUGUGUUCCAAGUUAUGCUCAAGACUGUGGGUUUUUUUUGUUUUUAACACCCUUCCAUAACUUCUCCAUCUUAGUUAUUAAACUCUUUCAUUCUGUAUUCCUAACUAUACCAUUCUUUUUUCCACAUAAACCAAGCCAUAAUAAGAAACUGACUUUCUCAAGGAACAAAGGACUAUCACCACAUGGCAGGAUUGUGCAUAGGCGUGCAUAUGCUUGAGUAAGUACACUUUUGGACUUAUGUUGUGAAGUAUUAUUUUUACAAAUGUCAUCCUUCUGGUCAUAUGACAAAUCUUUUCCCUAUCAUUUCUGUAAUUUGUUUUAAAGGUUAGAGCAAGAGUGGAGAUGUCCCAAAUUGAUGCAGUUGCUUACAACAUUGGCAUGGCUUUGUGGAAAGUUUUUGGUGGAGCUUCUAGCACAAUAAAACAGAUAUAAUAGUUUAGUUUCCGAGCUACACCAUUUCCCGGCUCAUUUUGUCGGCUUCUAUCGACUCUAUACAGGCUCUUGCCAGUUGUGUGAAACAUUACAAGAUUUUACAUUUUUAUAUGUGGUUGUACGUUGAUACUAUAGUUGGUAAUGAAAAUUUUUGUUACUAAUUUAUGGCUUGUUAAUUAUAUUCUCCAGCAUAGUUUAAUUAGAUUAUGUAAAACCAUUGUCUGACAUAACUAAACACAAAAGGAAAAGAAAAAGAAAACAGUUGUCCCAAGACUUACAAACAACACAAUUUUAAAAAUAAAAUCGUUGUCUAAGACAUAUACAAAUAAGUAAAUAGUAGUAACAAACCAUUGUCUAAAUCAGUAUUAUUCAAGCAUUUUGAACAAAAACUGUUGUAGAAGAGCUUUCACACAAUUGUUUCAUUAUAUAAACUAUUGUUAUACGGAGCUUCACAGAAGUGACCACUGCUCUAAGCCCGUUGUACAAGGUAGUAAAACACGAGCCUCUAAAACGCAAACAAUCUUGUCUGAUACUCUUAUUAACAAGUAAAUAUAUCCACAAACUGUUGUGGAUAGUCCUAAUAACAACACAAAUUCCAAAUAUGACUGUUGUUAUAAAAUGUUUAUAACAACACUUUGUUAAACUAAUCUGUUGUUGUUUGUGGGUGUAACACAACACGCUGUUAAAUAUAAACCGUUGUGUUUCUUGAUCUCACACAACGGUACGUACCGUUGUCUGAGGCGCGUAUCAGACGGCAUCGCAAUAGACCACGGUUUUCUUGGGUAUCAGACAACGGGCAAAAACCGUUGUCUGAUGCUGUUUUUGUUGUAGUGACAAUUCCUUUGAAGGACCGCUUCCACCAGGUAUAUUCAAGCUUUCAAAAUUAAAACAUCUUUUUCUUUGGGGUAAUAAGUUUUCAGGUUCUGUUUCCAAUGAUAUAUGUUUGCUUUCUGAGCUUGAAAGCCUCGAUCUUAACUCUAAUUUUUUUGAGGGGCCGCUUCCGCCAAAUGUAUUCAAGCUCUCCAAAUUAAAGUUACUUUCCCUUCAGAAGAAUAACUUUUCAGGUUUUGUUUCCAAUGAUAUAGGUUUGCUUUCUGAGGUUGAAACUCUCGAUCUUCACUCUAAUUUUUUUGAGGGGCAGCUUCCGCCAAAUAUAUUCAAGCUCUCGAAACUAAGAUUUCUUGCCCUUUGGCAGAAUAACUUUUCAGGUUCUGUUUCCAAUGAUAUAGGUUUGCUUUCUAAGCUUGAAACCCUCGAACUUGACUCCAAUUUUUUUGAGGGGCCGCUUCCGCCAAAUAUAUUCAAGCUUUCCAAAUUAAGAGUUCUUUCCCUUGACAAUAAUAACUUUUCAGGUUGUGUUUCCAAUGAUAUAGGUUUGCUUUCUGAGCUUGAAACCCUCCGUCUUGGCUUCAAUUCUUUUGAAGGACCGGUUCCACCAAAUAUAUUCAAGUUUUCCAAAUUAACAGGUCUUGACCUCUCAGGCUAUAGAAAUUUAUUUGAAGGUAGUAUCCCUAUUGGACUGGGACUCUUGACUAACCUCAGCUACUUAGAUCUAAGUUCCAAUAAUCUCAGUGGCUAUAUUCCAUCUGAACUUGGAAACCUUAAGCUACUAGUAUUUCUUGAUCUCAGUUCUAACCAAUUGACUGGACCGCUUUUAAAGAUCGUUUCUAAUCUCACAAAUCUUAUAUAUCUCCAUGUACAAGAUAAUAGUCUUAGUGGGAAUAUUCGCAGUGACUUGUGGAAAAACUCUUUAUCCUUACGUUACAUUGAUCUUGAAAAUAAUUAUUUGUCUGGGAACAUUCCUAAGGAAUAUAACGAUCAUCCAACUUUGGAAUACAUCAAUUUAGGUGGGAACCAUUUUACAGGUAUAUUUUUCUCUAUAUAUCUUUUCCUUUUGUCAUAUGUAACUAAGCUAGUAAUCUGAUUGAUGCAGUUUUACCAAAGUUUCAACAAUCUUGACAGGUGAGCUUCCANNNNNNNNNNNNNNNNNNNNNNNNNNNNNNNNNNNNNNNNNNNNNNNNNNNNNNNNNNNNNNNNNNNNNNNNNNNNNNNNNNNNNNNNNNNNNNNNNNNNNNNNNNNNNNNNNNNNNNNNNNNNNNNNNNNNNNNNNNNNNNNNNNNNNNNNNNNNNNNNNNNNNNNNNNNNNNNNNNNNNNNNNNNNNNNNNNNNNNNNNNNNNNNNNNNNNNNNNNNNNNNNNNNNNNNNNNNNNNNNNNNNNNNNNNNNNNNNNNNNNNNNNNNNNNNNNNNNNNNNNNNNNNNNNNNNNNNNNNNNNNNNNNNNNNNNNNNNNNNNNNNNNNNNNNNNNNNNNNNNNNNNNNNNNNNNNNNNNNNNNNNNNNNNNNNNNNNNNNNNNNNNNNNNNNNNNNNNNNNNNNNNNNNNNNNNNNNNNNNNNNNNNNNNNNNNNNNNNNNNNNNNNNNNNNNNNNNNNNNNNNNNNNNNNNNNNNNNNNNNNNNNNNNNNNNNNNNNNNNNNNNNNNNNNNNNNNNNNNNNNNNNNNNNNNNNNNNNNNNNNNNNNNNNNNNNNNNNNNNNNNNNNNNNNNNNNNNNNNNNNNNNNNNNNNNNNNNNNNNNNNNNNNNNNNNNNNNNNNNNNNNNNNNNNNNNNNNNNNNNNNNNNNNNNNNNNNNNNNNNNNNNNNNNNNNNNNNNNNNNNNNNNNNNNNNNNNNNNNNNNNNNNNNNNNNNNNNNNNNNNNNNNNNNNNNNNNNNNNNNNNNNNNNNNNNNNNNNNNNNNNNNNNNNNNNNNNNNNNNNNNNNNNNNNNNNNNNNNNNNNNNNNNNNNNNNNNNNNNNNNNNNNNNNNNNNNNNNNNNNNNNNNNNNNNNNNNNNNNNNNNNNNNNNNNNNNNNNNNNNNNNNNNNNNNNNNNNNNNNNNNNNNNNNNNNNNNNNNNNNNNNNNNNNNNNNNNNNNNNNNNNNNNNNNNNNNNNNNNNNNNNNNNNNNNNNNNNNNNNNNNNNNNNNNNNNNNNNNNNNAAACCUGUCAGAGAAUGAACUGCAAGCUCCAAAUUGGUCCAAUUUUUCCCCCAUGCCUUUUUUGACCAUCCUCGACCUUUAUAAAAAUAAUCUUUUGUCAGAAUUUCCCGAAUUUAUAUCUAACUCGUGUAACCUUACGUACCUUGACCUCUCAUCCAACAAGUUUAGAGGGGAUCUUGCGCGAGAAUCAGUAUUAACCAAUCUAGGUGAUCUUGAAACCCUCUAUCUUAUUAGAAAUUCUUUCAAGGGGUCAUUUCCGUCAGAUUUAUUCAAGCUUUCUAAAUUAAAACGUCUUCACCUGUCGAGCAACAAAUUUUCAGGUUCAAUUCCUAAUGCCAUAAGGUUGCUUUGUGAUCUUGAAUUCCUAUAUUUAGGCAACAANNNNNNNNNNNNNNNNNNNNNNNNNNNNNNNNNNNNNNNNNNNNNNNNNNNNNNNNNNNNNNNNNNNNNNNNNNNNNNNNNNNNNNNNNNNNNNNNNNNNNNNNNNNNNNNNNNNNNNNNNNNNNNNNNNNNNNNNNNNNNNNNNNNNNNNNNNNNNNNNNNNNNNNNNNNNNNNNNNNNNNNNNNNNNNNNNNNNNNNNNNNNNNNNNNNNNNNNNNNNNNNNNNNNNNNNNNNNNNNNNNNNNNNNNNNNNNNNNNNNNNNNNNNNNNNNNNNNNNNNNNNNNNNNNNNNNNNNNNNNNNNNNNNNNNNNNNNNNNNNNNNNNNNNNNNNNNNNNNNNNNNNNNNNNNNNNNNNNNNNNNNNNNNNNNNNNNNNNNNNNNNNNNNNNNNNNNNNNNNNNNNNNNNNNNNNNNNNNNNNNNNNNNNNNNNNNNNNNNNNNNNNNNNNNNNNNNNNNNNNNNNNNNNNNNNNNNNNNNNNNNNNNNNNNNNNNNNNNNNNNNNNNNNNNNNNNNNNNNNNNNNNNNNNNNNNNNNNNNNNNNNNNNNNNNNNNNNNNNNNNNNNNNNNNNNNNNNNNNNNNNNNNNNNNNNNNNNNNNNNNNNNNNNNNNNNNNNNNNNNNNNNNNNNNNNNNNNNNNNNNNNNNNNNNNNNNNNNNNNNNNNNNNNNNNNNNNNNNNNNNNNNNNNNNNNNNNNNNNNNNNNNNNNNNNNNNNNNNNNNNNNNNNNNNNNNNNNNNNNNNNNNNNNNNNNNNNNNNNNNNNNNNNNNNNNNNNNNNNNNNNNNNNNNNNNNNNNNNNNNNNNNNNNNNNNNNNNNNNNNNNNNNNNNNNNNNNNNNNNNNNNNNNNNNNNNNNNNNNNNNNNNNNNNNNNNNNNNNNNNNNNNNNNNNNNNNNNNNNNNNNNNNNNNNNNNNNNNNNNNNNNNNNNNNNNNNNNNNNNNNNNNNNNNNNNNNNNNNNNNNNNNNNNNNNNNNNNNNNNNNNNNNNNNNNNNNNNNNNNNAAAACCAUUGAUAAGGAUGGUAAAUUCGACUCUAAAUCUUAUGAAGCUAUAUUCUUGGGUUAUUCUUUAACAAGUCGUGCUUAUAGAGUGUAUAAUCUUGCUAAACAUACUGUUGAAGAGUCUAUUGAUGUUUCAUUUCAAGAGUCUACUGAUGAUCUUGCAAGGGAUGAGGAAGAAUGUGCAGGUACAGGUACUAGCAGCAAGCUGACAGUGAAGGAAACUGGAAAUCAGCAAGCUGACAAGUCAACUGCCACAACUUCAGAAGGCAAUAAAGCUACUGAAUCCACUCCAUCUCUUGAAGAAACUUUGGAUAAGAUGUCUAAGCUCACAUUGGAUGAAUCCAGAGGUCAAACUUCAUCAGCAAGCCAAAAUGUUGUUGAUCAGACUCCUCCUAGGCAGACUACAAGGAAUGAAGAGGUCAUAGCUCAACAUAAUCUACCAAAAUCAACUAGAACAGUGAAGAAUCAUCCUCCUCAGUUGAUCAUUGGAGAUAAAUCAGCUGGAAUCAAGACAAGGAAAGCUCAAGCCAACAUUUGUGCUUAUGCUGCCUUCAUAGCUCAAGAGGAACCAAAGAAUGUUCAAGAAGCUUUACAAGAUGAAAAUUGGAUCAUGGCAAUGCAAGAAGAACUCAACCAAUUCGAAAGAUGUGAUGUUUGGGAACUUGUAGAUCCACCAGAGGAUGCUUCAAUUGUUGGAACCAAAUGGGUGUUCAAGAAUAAAGUUGAUGAAUUUGGUACUAUCACUCGGAACAAAGCUAGACUUGUUGCACAAGGAUACAAUCAGCAAGAAGGAAUUGAUUUUGAUCAAACAUAUGCUCCGGUUGCAAGAUUGGAAUCUAUUAGGAUGCUAUUAUCAUUUGCAUGCUACAAGAAGUUCAAGCUACAUCAAAUGGACGUCAAAAGUGCAUUCUUAAAUGGAUAUCUAAAGGAAGAAGUCUAUGUCAAGCAACCACCAGGAUUCGAGGAUGAAAAAUAUCCCAACCGUGUCUACAAGCUCAAGAAGGCACUAUAUGGAUUAAGGCAAGCACCUCGAUCAUGGUAUGAAAGGUUAAGUGAAUUUUUGAUCAAAAAUGGUUUCAUUAGAGGUAAAAUUGAUCCUACUUUGUUUACUAUCUUUAAAGGUCAAGAUAUAUUAGUUGUUCAAAUAUAUGUAGAUGAUAUUAUAUUUGGAUCUACUAAUGAUUCUUUGUGUAAGUGGUUUUCAAAGUGCAUGCAUAGUGAGUUUGACAUGAGCAUGAUGGGAGAGCUCAAUUAUUUCUUGGGGCUCCAAAUUAAGCAAACUCCAGAAGGAAUUUAUGUGCAUCAAUCCAAGUAUAUCAAGAAUCUACUCAAAAGAUUUGGAUAUGAGAAUAUCAAGGCGAAAUCAACACCAAUGAGCGUUGUCAGCAAGCUGACAGCAGAUGAAAAUGGUAAAGAUGUUGAUAUUCGAAUGUAUAGAGGUAUGAUUGGUAGUUUACUUUAUCUUACAGCCUCUAGACCUGAUAUUAUGUAUAGUGUUUGUGUUUGUGCUAGAUUUCAAGCAAAACCAAAGGAUUCUCACUUACAAGCUGUUAAAAGAAUAUUUAAAUAUUUAAGUGGAACCAUUACUUUGGGCUUAUUCUAUCCUAUCACAAAUGCUUUUGAUCUUGUUGGGUAUAGUGAUGCAGAUUAUGCAGGUAGUCAAACUGAUAGAAAAAGUACAAGUGGUGUUUGUGCAUUUUUGGGUCAAAGCUUAGUUUCUUGGUUAAGCAAGAAGCAAACUUCAGUUGCUCUAUCUACGGCUGAGGGGGAGUAUUUAGCAGCUGGUAGCUGUUGCUCUCAAAUGCUAUGGAUGAGACAACAAUUGAAGGACUUUGGAAUCAAAUGCAAGCAAACUCCUAUCUUUUGUGACAACACAAGUACAAUCAACAUUUCAGAAAAUCCAGUCAAUCAUUCAAGGACAAAGCAUAUUGAUGUUCGACAUCAUUUUCUGAGAGACAAUGUUGCAAAGGGUGCUGUCAAGCUGAUUUUUGUGGCUACAGCAGAUCAGCUAGCUGACAUCUUCACAAAACCUCUUCCUGAAGAACGAUAUGUCAUGCUGAGAAGGGAAUUGGGCAUGUGUGAUGUGCAGUCAGCAAGCUAAUAAGCUUGGUCCGGGUACUAUCAGCUUACUCUCAGUUAUUAUGACCAUUAUGUGCUGAUUUGGAUAAUUGUUGUGAUCUCGAUGACGAUGCUUGAUUUUCUACCCUUUUGAUGAUUAAGGGGGAGAAAAUUUAGGAACUUGGUUUGUGUUGUGAAUGUUGUGUUGUGAAUGUUAUAUUUGUUGUAUAGUUUAAUGUUAUAAGAUUGCUAUAUUCAGGGGGAGUAUUAUUACUUUUCCUAAAUAUAGUGUAAUCAUCAAAAAGGGGGAGAUUGAUACUCUCGAGAUUUUGAUGAUCACACUAACAGCAACUUGAUAACAUAAAACUGUACUCUGGUAGCUAGCUGAGAACGAGAUUAUAACUGUGCUAACAGCUAAUGUCUUUUGAAGUUAUCAUUGUUCUGUCAGCAAGCUUACAGGAAUAUUGACAGACUAUCAGCAAGCUCACAGCGUACUGACAGGAUGCUUAUCGGAUAAAGAUCAAGUCCUAUUUUCAAGGAGAUUUGUUAGGGAACGUUUUGUGAGGACUCUAAUACAUAUAUAUACAGUAUAUAAAUAUUAGAGCUCAUCUUUUAUCAAAGAGUUUUAUUCAAAAUCGUUUUCCUAAAAUAUAGGAGUUGAUUUCAAACCUUGUUUAUCCUUUUAGACUCCUACUUCUAUUCAAACUGUUUUGUUUUAUAAACAAACGUUUACUGAGUUGUUUCAAACGUCUUUAUGCUUUUACUCAGUAAAAAUACAUUGUUCAAACGUUCAUUAUUCAAGCAAAUUAAACGUGAGGUUGUUGGGCCAAGAACGUUGGAUAGUUUGUUGAGUUAUGACCGUUUGGAAUGAUGGUAUAUAAACUUGAGUGUGGUUUCCGUUUUGGUAGAGAACAAGAACACACUUCAAGCUUCUGAAAUACAACACACUUACAUUGCAAAAUCUUUACUUGAGCUCUAGUACUUAUAUUUGAUUAUAUAUCUAUAUUGAGUUCAUAGUUUCGGUUGUAUUACACUCAUACAUUGUAUUGUUCAAAGUGUAAAGGUUUGUUGCUGUGUAUCGAGCUUGUGAAACAAGGGAACAAGGGGACUAGUUAGCUAGAAGAGUAUACUUGGGAAGUAUAGGUCUUGGAGAGCUUUUGGUUCGUGGUUCAGGGGUUUCAGCAAGCUGAUAACAGGAACAAGGGAUAAAGGGAGUUAUAUUAUUGAAUCAUUGUAAUCGUUAACAUUAUUGAUUAAUAAUAUAAUCUCUUACCAGUUGGUAGGGGACCAGGACGUAGACCAUUAGGGUUAGGGGUCGAACCUGGCUAAAAUUCUCUGUGUUGCUAGCUUACUGAUUAUAUCUGUUUUGCAUUGCAUCUGCAUUGUUAGCUAGCUGACUGUUUACUCUGAAAUUAACAGCAAGCUGUCUGUGACAGUUUAACUAUUCGGUAACAAUUAAAAAUCGGUCAUAUUAGCCAUAACACCUAUUCACCCCCCUCUAGGUGUGUAAUUUCAGUUUCUUUUCGUUUUCAAAUCUCACCAAUCUCAUCAUUACACAUAACAACUUCACUGGUCCAAUACCACCCGAAAUUGGAAAUUUAACAGAUGUUCAGUACCUCGACUUUAGCUAUAGUAAUCUCAAUGGUACCAUUCCAUACCAGGUUAGCCAUCUUCAGAGGUCGGUCGUCUUAGGCCUCUCAUUUAAUCACUUGAAAGCUCCGAGCUUGUCCAAUUUUUCCCCCAUGCCUAUACUGGUUGGUCGCGGUCUUAGUGGUAAUAAGCUGGCAUCAAAAUUUCCAGAAUUGAUAUCUAAUUGCUAUAACAUGAUUAACCUUGAUCUUUCAUUUAACAUGUUAACUGGUAAACCUCUGUUCUAAAAGUCGGUGAUUAAUCACCGAUUAAUCCAUGUUUCCUAGCUCGCCAAACUGAUUAAAUAUCCGAUUAUUUUAAUUAAUGUCCGAUUAAUCACCGAUCAAUGCAAUUAAUCUACAAUUAAUCCUUAUUCUGGGACUUCACCGAUUAAGCUCGAUUCCCAUUUUUUACAACGACAUAACAGUGAAUCAUGAUUAUCAAGCAUCUGUCUUGUUAACAUUGAAACGAAGAGAGCAUGAAGUGAAAGGAAUCCUUUAUAUUUACGAUGUCAACAGCCCUACUGUCAAAAUUCCUUUCAAGUCGGGGCUUUUUACGAAUAAUUGGUAAUUCAGUGUUGAACUCCGCUCAACUUAUAAUUAGAUAAUCGAAAUCAAAAAUCUUGCAAUCAACAAAUAAAUUAUUAAGAACUUGCAAUUGAGUAAUGGCCGUCAAGUCACUUAACAAUACUAACCGGAAACUAACGUGACGGGCUGAUAUGUUUAAAAAAAUGCAUGAUGACUAUAUACUUGAUGUUUACGACCCUAACUAAAAUAUCCAACAAAUAAUACAUACAACCUGAUCUAAUAAUGUAAUACCUCUACUUAAGUAUAUUUUUAUGCCAAAUAUUUAUAGAUUUGUUUUUACAAAAAUGAUUAGAGACUUUGUAUAUACAAAAAUUGAGAAUUAUUGCUUGACUAGACGAAAAUAGGUGAGUUAUGAUUAUAAUAAAUAUUUAUUUCUACGAUGUAGUUUUUAUUAGUUAUAUAUAAAAAAAAUCUUGCUAUAUUUUGAUACUAGUGCAAUGAUUACUUCAAUUUAUUUUUUAUGAGAGUUACUAAGAUAUAUGACCAACUCAUCUUGCACUCGUAUUAAUUGUCUUAUAUAAUAAUAAUAAGAAAAAUAUGAGGCGGUGCUUAGUCAGAUGAUUUUAGUUGUUAAAAUAUUUUUUUGUUAUUUAUAGAUAGUGAAACAUGUCUAAUAUUUUAUCAAUUUUGUUUCGUUUCUUGAGAUUUCCAAAUAUUUAUUAGGACAUUGUACCAUGGUGUAUUUCAAGAUAUUAUUGUUAUUUAGAUAAUUAGUCAUAUUCAAUGAAUUUUGAGGACAAAAUUUAAAUAAGAGGAGAACAAUGUCAUAUCUCACAUAUUAGCAGUUUUAAUUAUUUUAUAUUUUUAUUUUAAAGAUAAGAUAAAGUUUAUUUAUUUAUUUGUUUUUAUCUUAAAAGCGAUUUUGAGUACUUUGUUUGAGUUAGAUAUAUACUUCUACUGUGGUUCAACUAGUUUUGCCGUCAGUGAAUAAUUUCCGGUCAAUAUUUUGAAAUUUGUUGUUAUCUUCUAAUUAAGAUAAGGGGUUAAAUAGCUUUUGAAAAAUGUGAAAAAAAUCAAAAAAAUUGGGAAACCAAAAGUGGCAAGCUUUUUUUUGUUCUUUUCAAAUUUUCUAAAAUCUGGGGAAAAAAGAACUUGCCACCUAAUUUUUUCCAAAUUUUUUCAAAUUCUUUUCAGAUGUUUGAAUUUUUUCCCAAUUUUUUCCUUUUUUUUUGAAUUUAUUAAGAUUUUUUUUGUUUUUUCUGCUUAUUCUGAAUUUUUUAAGAUUUAUUCGCAUUUUUUUUCAUAUUUUUAAAAAAUAUUUUUGAAAUUUCCGUUAAGUAAUUAAUGGAACUGACAGAGAGUGAUGCUUUUGAAAGUUUUUAAUUAUUUGAUGAUGCAUCUGAAAAUUUUUCAACAACAUGAUUCAGUUGCAAAUUUCCGGCGAGGUUAGUGAUAAAUUAGCUAUUUAACUCUUAAUAAAAUCUAUCUUAACAAUAUUAUAAAUAUUAUUGUUAUGGGUUCGAUGAGUCGUGUAAAACAUGGAAGAAGUUUAGGUGGGGUAAAAAGAGCCUAGCUGGGUGAUUUCCAUUCUGUUAUACGUGAUAUACUGUAGUUGAUCAUCUCCUUUGUCCGCUUCAUCCUGUGCAACCUUAACCUUUAAGGUAAAACUUAUGAGAUUCUCUGGAGCAUCUAAGGGGCCGUUUGGACAAACUUAAAAGAAGUGACUUCUUGCUUAAACUAGAGAAGUGGAGUAGAAGUGAGAAGUAAAUUAGUUAAUAAAGUGUUUGGAAAAAAAGCAGAAGCCAGAAGCAUCUUCGGCUUCUGUCAAACAAACAGGGCCUAAAUUUUUGUGUGAAAAAUGUUAGUCUCAAAUUAUUUUUCCUAAAAUGCUUACAUGUUACAUUUUAUAUGUAUGUCCUGUCUUUAAGUAUAAUUUAGCAUUUGUAUUUAGUAUUGUGUAAAAGUAAUUCAUUUUAUUCCGUCUUAUUAAAAAUAUAAUCAUGUUAUGCUGUAAAAGUAUUUGUGAAUUUCUUUGUUGCAUAUGUGUUUAAAUUAUUUUAUUUAUAUAUGUUUUACAAUUUUUACAAAUGUAUAGGUUGAGUAUUGCAUAAGAAUAUAAUUACACUCACAACUGUUAUGCGUGCAUGUAUAUUGCCGCUAAGUUUUAAACUUCUUACGAACCGGAAUAAUUUUGACAGAUGUGUGGAACUUGAUUAAUUUAGUUGCACUACAAGAGAAAGCGUUUUUACCAAUAGAAAUUGCUAAGGGAAAUUAGUCCGUCGGUAAUUUCCAACGAAUUUGUAACAAUUUGACUGGUCAAUGUUCUGCCAAUCAAUUCGCAACGAAAUACCCACGCUUAUUUACCAACGAGAUGUUCUGUUAGGAAAUAUAGCCACAUAAUGGAAUAAUAACAACAGCCCAAAGAAUGAGCAACAGACUAGCAACGAAAGCAUCUGUUACUACGUUCGUUGAUAUUCCGUUUAUAAAUACUAACAGUUCCGUUAGUAGUUAUUAGUUUUACAUUGGCAAUUGAUAUACACCAGAUGAGCACAUACACGGAUACAAUGCCAGUCUCUUAGUUGAAAUGUGUGUAAUGCUAAAGCCCAAUGAGCUUUAGUUGAUUAAAUUGAUUUGAGUUGUAGAAAAAAGCUAAUAAUAUAAUGGAUUUUGAUAUAUGUAUUGUAAAUAUUAAGUAAUUCUCUUGAAUUUAUAUAUGUAACAUAAUUGUUAAUUGGUUCAUCCUUGACUAGAAAUUUUAUAUUACAUUCUUAACUACAAAUUUUGUAUUUAAAAUUGUUUUAAAAAAUCAACUUUUAUUUGGCAUGUGGAUUUUGUAGUCAAAUGCGGUCAAUUUACUUAGCCUUUGAUCGAAUACCAACCUGAAACAUAAAAAUAUUUUUUAAUCAUUUAUUUUCGACGAUCCAACUAUAUUCUAUAAUUGUAAUGUGAUAAUAUUGAUUACAAAAUUUAAAAAAAAAAAUUAACCUUUUAUUUGGUAUGUGCAUUUUGUAGUCAAAUGCAAUUAAAUUACUUAGUCUUUAGUGAAAUCUUUACUCGAAACAUAAAACUUUUUCUUAAAAAAAAAUUGGACGAUCCAACCGUACAAAUGUUAUUGCAACGUGUUAAUAUUGGUUAAAAUAAAUUUUAAGAAAAUAUGUCUUUUAUUUGGUGUGUGGAUUUUGCGGUCAAAUAACUUAGCCUUUAAUUGAAUACUUACCCAAAACAUGAAACUAUUUUUUUUAAAUCAUUUCGGACGAUCCAACCGUACGGGUGUUAUUCUAACAUGAUAAUAUUGAUUAUUUUUUUUAAAGAAAAAAUAUAGCCUUUUAUUUGGUGUGUGGAUUUUGUAGUCAAAUGCAGUCAAAUUACUUAACCUUUAAUGAAAUGCUUACAUUAAACAUGAAAUUAUUUUUUUUAAAAUCAUUUGGAUGAUCCAAUCGUACGGAUGUUAUUAUGACAUGUUAAUUGAUUAAAAAAAAUAUUUAAAAAAUUGCUUUUUAUUUAGUGUGUGGAUUUUGUAGUUAAAUGCUACUUGGCCUUUAAUCGAAUACUUAACCGAAACAUGAAACUAUUUUUUUAAAAACCAUUUUGGACAAUCCAACCGUACGGAUGUUAUUGUAACAUGACAAUAUUGAUUGUUUUUUUAUAUAAUAACUUUUAUUUGGUGUGUGGAUUUGUAGUCAAAUUACUUAGCCUUUAAUCGAAUACUUACCUGAAACAUGAAACUAUUUCUUAGAAAAUUAUUUUAGAUGAUUCAACCAUACAGAUGCUAUUAUAACGUGAUAAUAUUGAUUAUUUUUUUUAAAAAAAUUAGUCUUUAAUUUGGUGUAUGAAUUUUAUAGUAAAAUGAUGUCAAAUUACUUAGUCUUUAAUGGUAUAUUUAUUAGAAUUAUGAAACUAAUUUUAAAAAUUUAGUUUGGACGAUCCAAACUGUAUGAAUGUUAUUUUAACAUGUUAAUAUUGAUUAAAAUUGUUUAAAAAAAUUUAGUGUUCUUUUAUGUGUGAAUUUUUAGUCAAAUAUGAUAAAAUAUUUAUUUAGCCUUUAAUGAAAUAUUAAAAAUCCCUACUUUAAAAGAAACUUGUCUAAAACUACCUAUACGCGUUAGAGAUUCAUCGAUUUAGUUAUCAAAUUAGUUAUAAUUAGGGUUUUACUCCGCUUUUCUCUGGUAUGAUGUUGAUUUUUGGGGUUCGAUUGGUCGACUUUCAUGUUUUAUAAGUUAUGUGAGUUCGAUUUUGAUGUUUUUACAAUUAGGUUUAUGUAUGUUUUUAUACGGGUUUUCAUGUUCAUGUUUUGAUUUGUUGAUUUCCUAUUUUUCCUAUUUGUUGAUUAGUUAUUUGUGUGGGUUUUGGAUUUUGAUGUGUGUGUAUGUAAUCUCCUGUAUUUUUUUUCAUUUUUUCUGGUUCGAACUCUUCGAUUAGUAGAUGAAAAAAACUGAUGCGGCAGUAGCGGCUAGCAAGGAGAUGGAUAACAAGAAAAGGACGAUUUUGAGGUCCUCUCGUGCAAGUCUUCAGGUAUAAUUUUGUUCCUUUAUGUUUUUAAUUAACAUAAAUUUUCACAUUUGCUGAUUAUAUUAUGGGGGAUUCUGGGUAUACUUGUAUAUAAUCUAGCAAGUAAUUAUAGUUCUGAAUGGGAAGCUUAUUGUGAAAUUAAAUUGAGGAAUAAGUUGUGUUAUUGGUUCUGGUGGAUUAAAUUUAUGUUAACACUUGAUAUAUGCAUUGAUGUCGUAAAAUAAGUUGUACAUCGAACUAUUUGGCUUGUUUAAGUUGUAUGGAGUAUGGUUGCCAAGCAUUGGUUGGUUGUACACGUAUAAACAAAAUGAUAUUUUAAUAUUUGAACAAAACAAUACAGAGCCCGUUUGGCUGAACUUGUAACUCAUAAAUUAACGUGAUUUAUGAUUUAACGUGACUUAUCUAAUAAGCUGAGAGUUUUAAAAUGUCUGUUUGGAUAAUUUUGACUUAUCAACGAUUUAUGGGUCAUUAAAAAUAUAAAAAUAAAAAUUAAAGUGUUUUAUGAGUAGGUUAUGAUUUAUGGAUAAUUUUUAUAUAAAAAAAAGUUCAAAAAAAUUAAGUUACUGGAAAAAUACCUCAAACUAAUUUCAGGCUUUAAGUCAGCUUCUGAUUUAUUAGUUUUUAAGUUUAAGCCGGCUUCUGACUUAUUAAAGCCAUCAGAAUAAUUUUAAACCGCAGCUCUAAGCUACGACAAACGGGCUCACAGUCAUAAACAGAUCGUGUCGGGCUGGACUGAUUGUGAUUUUCCUUUUUGGAACUCGUACUCGGCAUGUUCCACGCGAAUGAUAUUUAGAAGUAUACUCCAUGUCAUAAUAAGAGUUCUUUAAAUUUUUUAUAUGUAAUUUGAAGUAUAAAAAAAAUAUUUUAACAUAAUAUUUUUAAUUUUUUAUACAUAAAAAUAUAACAUCUAUAUUUUUAUUUAGAAAAAAAAAUUUGAAAAAUAAUAUAUAGAUGCAUGUUUUUUUUAUACGUGAAAUUACAUGUAAAAAUCAAAAGACUUUUAUUUUGAGUAAGAGAGAAUAUGAUGUACCAUAAAGUCAUCGAUUUUUUGUUAUCAAAUGAAUGUGAUAGUUAACUAUUUAAGAGCAAGUCCAAAAGUGUUCUAGUUCAUGCUCUAAAUAUAAUAUAAAAUAUUAUGUCCUAGUGAUUUGGGACAUAUUUUACUAACUUGGACUUCAACAAUGAGUCUUAAGGCUCAUUUGUUUUGAGCUUAACAUUGCUGAACGGAUUCCAGCUUACUGAUUAAUGCGAGUUCAGAUUGUUUGGCGACCAUAUUUUAUAAGCUUACCGAUUAAUGCGAGUUUAGAUUGUUUGACGAUCAUAUUUUAUAUUCUGAAUUGUUCAUAUACAGCUGAGCGGAUCAGUCUAAAGUGGGUGAAAGAAUCAUUCAGCGCCAUCCUUAUUAGCUUAUAAUACUGUAUGUCAACUUCAAUCUUAUAAAAAUAUAUUUUAUUUGUUUACUAUAUUUUAUAUAUAUGUUGAUUUUAUCCCAAGUUUUGUUCGUAUCAACUGAAAAUAAUAACUCUUUCAAAAAAUUAAAAAUAAUAUAAUAAUAAUCGAUAUAAUUUUUAACUUUAUAAUUAUUUUGAAUAAUAAUAUGUGAAUUUUUUUUAUAUGUCUAAAUAAGUUUUCAUCUUAUUAAAAAUCAAGUGAUAUAUAUUUUAUUCAAGUGAUAUAUAUUGUUUUAGUGAUAAAAAAGUUCACUAAAACAAUUUAUCAUAUUUAUAAUAUAUUAUUCAGAUAUUUCAAAUAUUAUUCAUCAAACAAUAUUAUUCAUUCAGAAUUCAGAUGAUUCAUCCGUUAAGAUCAUUCAGGUAUAUUAAUCAUUCAAUUCAGAUUUGCCAAAUGACCCCUUAUUCUCACACGAUGUUUAAUAUUUUAUUAUUAGAGAGAGAAAAGGAGUGUUGAUAAGAAUUAAUAACAAAAUAUGGACAGGGUAAGGAAAGAUGUACCUCAAAAAUAGGACUUGAGAAGGUUGUCCCAGUGAUAUAAGGCAUCACUAGGACAUUGUUGGAUCAAUUUUUUACAUCAAAUGCCUUAAAUAACAACUUAGGACGACAUAUAUGGAAAUUGUUGGACUUGCUCUAAGUUGUUACUCCUUCCAAGUAUAAAAGAUGAGUAAAGUUAAAUGAAGACGUGGUAAAAUAAUGUGACCUAUUUAUAUUUAAUAAUACAUUUGAAAUAGUGGAGGAAAGUAACAUGUGUAAUAACGUUUAUAUUAUUAUUGCAUAUAGAUAAGAAGAAAGCAAUGGGUAUAAAAGUGUAUUAUAUUAUUAAAAUUAUUAUUUUUAAAAUGUUUAGAAAUAAUGGGGCAUCCAAAAAGAAAACUGUAUAGAAAUGAAAAAGGAAAUACAAUUCAAAAAGUCAUAUAUCUAAAUUCAAACUAGGUAAUAUAUUUAUGAAUUAUAUUAAAAAAAAUAUUUGACAUUCAAAUAUAAAAAUUUAUUUUAUCAUCUCAACAAUGAAUAUUCGAUUAUUAACUUUCGUAAAUAACAUUAAUUUUUCAUUAUAAUAUACUCUAAACUUUUAUUUUAUGUGCCUGUUUGUUUACGAGAAGCUGGAAUUUACUUCUCUUGACUCGUUUGUGUAAAAAAGUAAAAGGUGCUUUUAAAAAGUACUGAGAACGAAAUGGAAGUAGAAAAUGCUAGCUUUUCUUUAUAAUAUCUAUUUCUUUUCCAGACAUUUUAAUAAUUUAUAAUUAUUAAUUUAUUUGUCAUUUCUACUUAUUUUUUUUAGAGAACUUUUUUUAAACUAACCGGCUCCUAUAACUAGUAAUUACUUCUAAAUCACAAAUUACUGAUAAAUCAUCACUUUUAUUAUUAUUAUUAUUAUUAUAUUUUUAAUAACUCAUAAAUUAUUAAUAAGUCAAAAUUAGUCAAACAGAUAUUUUUAAGUUGAGCUUAUGAGAUAACUAACGUUAAGUCUUCUGAGCCCCCAUUGGCUCACAAUUGGCCCAAAAAAUAUUUGGUUAUGCAUUGCUAUUCACACACUUAGACAUCAAAAUUUAUCAUCCGACAGCUAACUGCACACUAUUUUUCCCACAAGCUCAAAAAUCAACGAUCAAUUAAUUUUUUCUUAUCAAUUACUAAUAAAGUUAUGAUUUCACGUACACGGCAGGCAAAAUGCUAAUAAAUAGACGAGUGCAGUAUAGUAUGGGUUCAUGAUCCCCUUGAGAUUUAAUUGAAAAAUAUUAUGGUGAUAUAGAUUAAAUUAAAUUAUAAUAUUUUGAAAAGUUAUAAAUAAUUUUAAUUACUAAUAAUAUUUAUUUGUACAUUUAAAUAUUUUUAUAAAAACACAAUAAUAGCAUUAUACUCAUUUAAGUUUCUCGUAUCCGCCUCCUCUUCUUGGAGAUUGUGGAUUUGCGAUAUUUGUAUUGAUUAUUAUAGGAAAAUGUUAUUUUCAGAGCAAACAUUUUUAUUUCUGGAGCAAAUUCAAUUCCCACUUCCUUGUCCUUGUAGCUACAUAAAUCAUACAACUUCAAUACAAACUUUUCCAAAUUGUUCUGGAAAUUAAAAAAUUGAUAUGGAUAUAACAAUUCCCUUAUUAUAUCCUAUGUAUAUUACAUUAAUGCAAUUAACAUGGUUGGUUGUUUUAGUAUAUAAUUAUAUUAGUGUGGCCUUUUAGUAUAUAAUUAUAUUAUUUUUGUUAUAUUUUAUGCAUCUAGAAACAAUUUUUUUAUGAUAUUUAUUAUAUUAAUUAUAGUAAAAGAUAUAAUUUUGUUUAAAAAAUUGAAUAAAACUAAGAGGGAUAGCCUACGUCUCUCCGAGUCUUCGAGGACUCAUUCCAAGUCCGCAGAGGACCACCGCCUCAACCUUUAAGAGAUGUGAAAGUAGCUUGAGAGAGACAUAAAUUAAUGUUUGAUAAUAAAAUUUAAUAAUCAAAUAAAUUAAAUUAAAUUAAACUAGUUUAUAGUAAUCGAUUAAAAAUAUAUAAAUCAAAAUUAUUCCUGAAUUAUGAUAACAAUUAAAAUCAUAUUAAAAGUUGCAAAAAUCAAACCCAAAUCGAACAAAUUCCCCUAACACUAAAAUGUAGUUGCUUUAUUGUAGAUAAAAACAGUAUAAUAAUCGUAUUGAUGAAAAAUCAAAUUCAUCAAAUAAGUUUAUAAAAAAUACAUGAUUUUAGUGUGUUGUAUUAGUAGUGUGUCCACGCAUUUAUAUAUUAAAAUCUAUCCUCUAAAAACUAUCGAUCUAUUUACACAACUAUUGAUCUGUCGUGCAACAAAUUCCACGGAGAAGUUCCAAAGAGAGCUUAAAUGGCUUGCAUUGCUCAAUCUAUCUCAUAAUAGUCUUAACGACAUAUGUUCUGAAUUAUUAUUAUGCUUUCAACAAUAUUUUCAAACAUUUCUUAAUAUGUAUUUUCAAAGAAUUAAGAGAAUGCACAAAAAUUAAGAGAGAUUGCUCUGGGUCUCCCCAAGCCUUUCAGGACUCAUUCCAAGUCUUCCUAGGACCACUGCCUCACCCUUUCAAAGAUGUGAUAAUAGCUCGAGAGUAAUAUAAAUUAAUUUACGGACACUAAAAAUAAAAAAUCAGAUCAAAUUAAUCAAUAAUAAAUUAAGGAUGAAAUCCAAAUUAAUCCUAAAUUUUGAUAAUAUAUAAAUAUUAUAAUUAUAAAUUAUAUAACCAAAUCAGAAUUGAAUUAACUUACUUGGCACUAAAAUUGAUAAAGACAGAAUAAUAAUUUAAUCGAUGAAAAGUCAAAGUCUUCUAAUAAAUCCAUAAAAGAUAUGAUAAUCCAAAUAACACACUUAUAUAUCAAAAUUUAUGGUCCAAAAACUAUAGCAAAAUAUCCUAAAUACACCACAUUAAAUAAUAGUUCAAAAAUAUUCAAUAAACAAUUGUUUUCAUUCAUAAUUUUGUUAUUUUAAAAACUAAUAAUUUGGUUGAUGUUAACCUAUAUUUUAAUAUAUAAUUAUAUUAUUUUCAUCUUAUUUUAUUUAACCAGAAACAAUAUUUUUAUAAUAUUUAUUACUUUAUUUAUAUUAAAAUAUAUAAUUUCAUUAAAAAAAUUGAAUAAAAUUAAGAGAAUAACUCUAUGCCUCUCUAAGUCUACAAGACUCAUUUCAAGUCUACCGAGGACUACUACCUCAACCAUCGAGAGAUGUGAAAGUAUAGUUUGAGAGUGACAUAAAUUAUUUUCCUGACAAUAAAAUUUAAUAUCUAAUAUAAAUUAAUUAAAUUAGAUAAUAAUAAAUCAAAACUAAUUAUGAAUUAUGAUAAUAAUUAAAUAAAUUAUAAUUAAAUUAUAUAAAUCAACUCCAAAUGUACAAAUAACACUAAACCUUGGUUACUUUGUUGGUAAAUAAAUAUAAUAUAAUAAUCAAAUUGAUGAGAAAUCAAAAUCAUCUAAUAAAUUCACAAAAAAUAUAUAAUCAGUAUAUUAUAUUAGUAUCCACACACUUAUAUUUCAAAAUCUAUCCUCCGAACUUAUCAUCUCUGUAAACUACCCACAUAAAAUAAAAAUUUAAAGAUAUUAGAUAUUUAGUUAUUUUCAUUAUAUAUAAUUUUUCCACACUAAAUAACAAAAUAUCUUUAUCAAAUUAUUAUUUAUAAGUUUUUUGAAUAUCAGAUUCAUAACCCAGUUGAUCAGGAGAAACAUGGCCUACUCUGCAAAGCCUUCUCACCUUCUUCUCUUUGUUUUCUUUCUCUCAUCACUUGAAUCCAUUCUUGCAACAACACAAGAGGGAGAAGCUCUUGUGAAGUGGAAGAAUAGCCUAGCCCCUUCUUCUUUUCUCGACUCUUGGUCACUCACCAAUCUCGAAAAUCUUUGUAACUGGACUGGCAUUACUUGUAACUCUGCAGGUUCAGUCUCGGAGAUUAACCUUUGUGAGAAACAACUUGAUGGAAUGCUGUCCGAGUUUGGUUUCACUUCAUUUCCAAAUCUCAACAAUCUCAUCCUCGCAGAUAACUUCUUCUCGGGUCCCAUACCACCGGCCAUUGAGAAUUUAACACAGCUUCGAUUUCUUGAUUUAAGCUUUAAUUCUCUCCAUGGUCCCAUUCCGUUCCAGGUUAGCCAUCUUCAGAGCUUGCUCAUCUUAAACCUGUCACAGAAUGCAUUGCAAGCUCCAAAUUGGUCCCAUUUCUCUCCCAUGCCUUUCUUGCGCAUCCUCAACCUCAGUUACAAUCCUCUUGCGUCGAAAUUCCCAUAUUUUAUAUCCAAUUCUCAUAGCCUGACUCACCUUAGCCUUAAUUAUAACGAGUUUACUGGUGAUUUAGUACGUGAAUCAGUAUUUGCCAAUCUGCAUAAUCUUGAAGUGCUCAGUCUUGUUGGCAAUUCUUUUGAGGGGCCAUUUCCGCCGGAUGUAGUCCAGCUUUCCAAAUUAAAACGUCUCUUCCUGUCAGGUAACAAAUUUUCAGGUUCAAUUCCCAAUGACAUAAGGUUGCUUUGUGAUCUUGAAUACCUAUAUUUAGGCAACAAUUCCUUUGAAGGACCGCUUCCACCAAAUAUAUUCAAGCUUUCAAAAUUAAAAAAUCUUGUUAUUUGGAGUAAUAAGUUUUCAGGUUCUAUUUCCAAUGAUAUAGGUUUGCUUUCUGAGCUUGACACCCUCAAUCUUCGCUCUAAUUUUUUUAAGGGUCCGCUUCCGUCAAAUAUAUUCAAGCUUUCCAAAUUAACAAGUCUUGACCUCGCAGACAAUAGAAAUUUAUUUGAAGGAAGUAUUCCUAUUGGACUGGGACUCUUGACUAACCUCAGGUUCUUAGAUCUACAUUCCAGUAAUCUCAGUGGCUAUAUUCCAUCUGACAUUGGAAACCUGAAGCUACUAGUACUUCUUAAUCUCGGUUCUAAUAAAUUGACUGGACCGCUUUUAAAGAUCGUUUCUAAUCUCACAAAUCUUAUAUAUUUUGAUGUAAGUGAUAAUAGUCUUCGUGGAAAUAUUCAGAGUGACUUGUGGAUAUAUAACGAUCAUCCAACUUUGGAAUACAUCAAUUUAAGUGGGAACCAUUUUACGGGUAUAGUUUUUCUCUAUAGAUCUUUUCCUUUUGUCAUAUGUAACUAAGCUAGUAAUCUGGUUAUUGCAGUUUUACCAAAGUUUCAACAAUCUUGACAGGUGAGCUUCCAACAACAAUUUGCAAUGUCACUUCCCUUUCAAUUCUUGAUUUGUCAAAUAAUGAAUUAAGUGGUGCACUUCCAAACUGUUUCGGGAAUCUUGCUGAUGGAUUGCUUUACAUUAAUCUUGCUAAUAAUCAGUUUCGAGGAACAAUACCAACUACUUUCUCCAGGAGUUGUCAGCUGACAUAUCUAAACAUGGAUGAUAAUGAGUUUGAAGGAUUGUUGCCCCCAUCUUUGGCGAACUGUAAGCACUUGAAAAUUUUUGAUAUUGGCAAUAAUAAAAUAGGUGGUACAUUUCCGUCAUGGCUUUAUGCACUUGGAGAGCUAGAAGUCCUUGUCUUGCGAUCAAAUAAACUCUGUGGUACAAUAAGUGGAAGGAGCAUAGAAGAUCCCUUCCCCAAGUUGCGGAUUGUGGAUCUGUCCAACAACCACUUCACAGGCCAUUUGCCAAUUCAAUACUUUAAGAAUAUGAAAUCAACUGAUAAUUUGUAUAGUUAUCAGCUUUUCACAGCAGUUUUUUCUUUCCAUUAUGAAGCAGCAGUCUCAUUAAUUGUGAAGGGAACAGAGUAUGAAGUGGCAAAUAACCUUCAUAUUUACACAGCCAUUGAUCUGUCGUGCAACAAAUUUCAGGGAGAAAUUCCAAAGGUUACUGGAGAGCUUAGAUGGCUUGCAUUGCUCAACUUAUCUCAUAAUAGUCUAACAGGACCUAUCCCAUCAUUGCUGGGAAAUAUGAAAGAACUCCAAUCUUUAGAUUUGUCUUCAAAUCAACUGACAGGGGCCAUUCCACCUCAGCUAACUGCAUUGACAUUUCUAGAGGUCUUAAACCUCUCGGGAAACCAUCUUAGUGGAGAGAUUCCUCAGAAAGGACAGUUCAGCACAUUUAACAAUGAUUCUUAUCUAGGAAACUCCGCGUUAUGUGGAUCACCUUUGACGAAGAAAUGUGCAAACACAGCAUCACCUCCACAAGAAGUCGGAAAUGGUGAUGAAGANGAUUUGUCUUCAAAUCAACUGACAGGGGCCAUUCCACCUCAGCUAACUGCAUUGACAUUUCUAGAGGUCUUAAACCUCUCGGGAAACCAUCUUAGUGGAGAGAUUCCUCAGAAAGGACAGUUCAGCACAUUUAACAAUGAUUCUUAUCUAGGAAACUCCGCGUUAUGUGGAUCACCUUUGACGAAGAAAUGUGCAAACACAGCAUCACCUCCACAAGAAGUCGGAAAUGGUGAUGAAGAAGAUGGUGGUGAUGAAUUGACAUGGGAAGCAAUCGUGAUGGGAUAUGGAUGUGGACUGAUAUGUGGAUUGUCAUCGGCAUACAUUGUUCUCAAACUAGGAAAGCCUUGGUGGUUUGUGAGAUAUAUCGAAGUACUGCAACAGAAGUUGAUGAAAAGAUGCUUGAAGAAAGGUACUGGUCGAUCAAGACGAACUUGAAAGUUGUUGUCCAUGUGGACAUUUCUGAACCAGUAGUGUACUAGCUGCAUAAGUAUUUGGUAUUAUGUAAUAUUCUGUUUGGUGGGGAAUCAUAAUAAUUUUUCUUCCUGUAGGGGUAUUAAUAUUAACCUUGUUAUCUUGAUCAAUGUUAAUGCAAAUUAAAAUGAAUGAAAAAACAAAAAAUAUGCAUCAAAUCCACUCCUGCUGUACCAAGAUCCAUUAAUUUGCUUUGGUCUUUUACAUAACAAUUUAACAGCGCACUUCCCCACUGUUUGAAAGAAUUUAAUAAUAAACUCGAGUUUUCCAGGACUGCACCAAGUUCACAUAUUCAAUAUCACACAUUCCAGUCUCAGCUUCAGCUCCCAGGGUAGAAGAGAAGUUUUAUGUACAAUAACAGUUAAUUACCAUAGCUACUUUAGUCUUGGUUCAGUUUUUGCAGAGAUAAUUACCAGAUUUUGAAAUCCUUCAUGUGAGGAAACAAAUAUCGAGAGACAUUUCUGUUUACAAAUAUAGGUUUUCUAGACAUAAUUACAGGAACUUUUACCAUUAUACACUUUUAUAGUACUGGUUAAGAGUUUGUUGUUCAGCCUAGUGAAAGAAAUAAUUCCUCUGCUAUUUCAUUAACAUUGCUGGUAUAUAUACAAUGUACAACACACCCUUCAAGGCUAUAAUCAGGGAACCUAAAAUAUAUCCAAAACUAAUCAUAGAAACAGACUAACUAAUUACAAUAAAUCAUAUCCAGAAAUAUCUCCACAGAUGUCGCAUAGAUAUCUUUAACACACCCCCUCAGUCGAAGCGGGAGGUAAACGAACACUGAGACUGUCUCUGAAGUCUUCAAAAAGAACACGCGGAAGACCUUUUGUAAAAAUAUCUGCUACUUGAUAUCUGGAUGGCACAUGAAGAACCCGUACUUCACCUCGUGCAACUUUUUCCCGAACAAAGUGAAUAUCCAUCUCAAUGUGUUUAGUACGUUGGUGUUGUACUGGAUUACCCGAUAAAUAAAUAGCACUGACAUUGUCGCAAUACACCACAGUUGCCUUUGUAACUGGACAAUGCAAUUCCAACAACAGAUUUCGGAGCCAACAUGAUUCAGAGACCACAUUAGCUACACCCCUAUACUCGGCCUCUGCACUGGAUUUGGAAAGAGUCGGUUGUCGCUUAGAAGACCAGGAAAUCAAGUUGUCACCCAAAAACACACAAUACCCAGAUGUAGACCGCCUCGUGUCGGGGCACCCACCCCAGUCAGCGUCAGUAUAUGAAACAAGAGAGGACUGUGAAGAGGAAUAGAGAUGUAAACCAUAGUCCUGUGUUCCUUGAAUGUACCUAAUGAUUCUUUUAAGAGCUUGCAUAUGAGUAACCCGUGGAUCAUGCAUGUGCAGACAUACUUGUUGAACCGCAUAAGAAAUAUAUGGACGUGUGAAAGUCAGAUAUUAAAGUGCCCCAGCAAGACUCCGAUACAAUGAAGGAUUCUCAAACACAGAACCAACAGACGCACUAACCUUGGCCUUCGUAUCAACUGGUGUAGGUGAUGAUUUACAAGAGGACAUGCCAGCCCUCUCAAUUAUCUGUUGUGCAUAAUUCUUCUGUGACAGAAACAUGCCAGCCUUAUGACGAGUGACUGAUAUACCAAGAAAAGAACUCAAGGGGCCAAGAUCCUUCAUAGCAAAUUCUGAACUAAGAAGCUUUAUAAUCGAGACACGGAGAUCAUCAGACGACGCAGUGAGAAUUAUGUCAUCGACGUAAACCAGAAUAUAGGCCAUGUGAGAACCGUUGCGAUAAACGAAUAAUGAGGUGUCACAUUUGCUUCUAAUGAAACCAAUAGACAGAACAAAAUCAGCAAACUUCUCAGACCAAGUCCGGGGGGACUGCCUCAGGCCAUAAAUUGAUUUACGUAACAAACACACAUAAUCCGGAUGAGCACGAUCACGAUACCCCAAAGGUUGAUGCAUAUAUAUUGUUUCCUUUAAGUCACCAUGAAGGAAGGCAUUCUUUACAUCUAGCUGAUGAAUUGACCAGCCAUUCGAAAGAGAGAGAGAAAGCACUGUGCGGAUUGUAGCUGGUUUCACUACCGAGCUAAAAGUUUCGCCACAAUCAAUACCCACCAGCUGAGUUUUUCCAUUUCCGACAAGGCGAGCUUUAUGCCUCUGAAACACACCAUCCGAAUUUUCUUUAUGAGCAAAAACCCACAUAGACCGAAUAACAUUAACAUCAGGUGGACGGGGCACCAAAUCCCAUGUCUUAUUUUGAAUAAGUGCAUUAUACUCCUCAUCCAUGGCUAUUUUCCAAUUCGGGUCCCGAAGAGCAUCAACAGGGCUAUGUGGUAAAGGUGACCGAGGAGCUGUUGUGUUAUAUGCAUGAUCAGAAUAUCGCAUAUUUGGUUUAAAAAUACCUCGUUGGCUCCUGGUAACCAUUGGGUGCUGGUUUAUAGGAGUAGGGGAAGAUGUUGAUGUUUGUGGACUCGAGGAGGAAGAUGAACUCAAUGAGGAGGGAGAUGGCGACGUUGAUGAAAGUAAGGGAGAGGAGGAUUGGUUUGAGAGUACUGGACUCGGUGAAAGAGAAUGAGGAGAACUCCCAGGGGAAGGUGAGAAACUACCAUGUCGUGUCUCAUGUGUGUGAGUACUGUCUGGGUGAGCAGACACAGACACAGAAGGACUUUGAUUUUGCAGAUGAUACACUGAAUAAGGUGAUAAGCCAUCUGCUAAAAAAUCAUAGGUAGAAGUGGAUGAAUCAUGUAACUUAGCAAACGGAAACACAUGCUCGUCAAAUAACACAUGGCGACAAAUUAUAAUCUGUGCUGUGAUGAUAAAUCAUAACAUUUGUAACCACGGUGAUUAGCCGGAAACCCCAAGAAAACACAAGGUGUUGAACGAGAUUGCAAUUUAUUAAUUGUGGUAGAGGGAAUGAGAGGAUAGCACAAGCAACCAAAGACCCGAAUGUGAGAAAAUGAGGGAACCCGUUGAUAUAGGAUUUCAAGAGGUGAUAAAUUGCCUAAGACCUUGUUCGGAAGAACAUUUAGAAGAUAGGUGGCCAUUUGUAAUGCAUGAUUCCAAAAAGAUGAAGGAAGAGAUGCAUGAGCUAAGAGUGUUCGAGUGACAUUAUUAAUAGUUCGAAUUUUUCUUUCUGCUUUCCCAUUUUGAGAAGAAGUAUGAGGACAAGACAACCGAAAAGUCAUGCCAUUGUUCUUAAAAAAAUCCCAGAAAUGAUGAUUAGUAAAUUCCCUCCCAUUAUCGCAUUGCACAUUUUUAAUGGUACACUCGAAUUGGGUGAGAAUAUGAUUGUGAAACGCCACAAAUUUAUCAAAGACAUCAGAUUUCUUAGCAAUUGGAAAAGUCCAAAGAAAAUUGGAGAAAUCAUCUAAUAACACAAGAUAGUACUUAUGACCCAUAGUACUCAAAACCGGAGAUGUCCAAAGAUCACAAUGAAUUAUAUCAAAUGGCUUUAAAGUACUUGAACUAGACGAAACAAAUGGCAUCUUGAUAUGUUUUCCAAACACACAAGAUCGACAAAUGCUAGAAUGUGAAAGCUUAGAACAAUGAAUGCUUUUAUUGAGUCGAAGAGCAUCCAAAACUUGUGCACCGGGAUGGCCUAAACGAUCAUGCCAAAGAGAGGAAUUGAUGGCUGCAAAAGUAGAAUGAAGAGCUCGAUUGUUGAUAGAUUGUGUAAGAGGAUAAAGAUCGCCUUGGCUCUCACAUCUCAUUAUUAGCACUCACGUCUGUAAAUCCUUCACAGAAAACCCAAAAGGAUCAAAUUCCACCGUAACAGAAUUAUCAGUGGUAAAUUUGCGAACAGAAAUAAGGUUUUUAACAAUUUUGGGAGCGUGGAGGACAUUUUUAAGGGACAAAGGAAGGCCAGGAGAUGGUAAUGCAGUAUGACCAUAUCCUUGAAUUGAAAUAAUAUUGCCAUCACCCACAACAAUGCCAUUAUGAUGAGAAUUAUGUUGAUUGCUCAAAUUAACAUAGGACGAGAAAUUACCAUUUGAGGAUGUCAUAUGAGAUGUAGCACCAGUAUCCAUGUACCACGACGGAUCAGGUUGAUUGAGAGUCAUGGUAUGCAUUGCAGAUUCAAUAUCCGUUGGAACAAAAGAAGCUGACUGCCCAACCGUUGUUCCUGUGAAAGCCUGCUGUGGUCGAGGACCAAGAACUCCAGGCUGUGGUUGUUGAACUCCCGUGGAACGGGGCUGAGUCCAGCCCUGAGUUGGGAAUGGACAAGGGGGAGCGGACCAUCCCUGCAUCCAAGGUGGAGCAGCCAAGAUUGGAAAUAACCCGGUGCCCACUGUUGUGAACCCCAUUGCAUCCUAUUCUGUUGUUGUCCACCACCACGGCCUUGACCCAUACGACCCCCACCAGAACCACGACCUCCACCUGAACCAGAUCGUUUAUUAUUUUUCCUGUGGUUAUUAUGCUUAUUGCCACGGGGAGGUGCGGAUCCCUGAUUCGAGCCUGUGUCGUCAAAAUCCGUCUGUGAGGCAACCAACAUUGCAGAGUCAGACCCUGUGGCAGCUUCUUUUGCUAAAGCAGCCUCCUCUAAUGUUAACAUAGACCGGGCUUGAUAGAAUUGUGGGAGAGGGUCACUCUGUCGAAUUAAGGUCCCAACACCACGGUAUGCCCUUGGAAGGCCGGAAACCAGUUGAAUAACAAGUCUACUAUCCGAGAUUGGUGCACCAACAUUUUUCAGUUGAUCAGCAAGAGAUUUGAGACGCUGACAGUAAGCCGAAACAUUCGGAAAAUUCUCCAUUUUUGUACUGGAGAAUUCAGCCUCCAAAGUUACCACACGGGAAUUCUUGUUGUCCUGGAAUAUGUCACGCAACCUGUUCCAUGCCUCCAUAGCAGUGGCAUCUGGUUCAAUGAUCGUAUGUAAAAGAUCAUUGGAGAUAGUCGCAUAAAUCCAAGACAGAACCGUAGCAUCAAGCGUCGACCACAAUUCCUUUUCAUCCUCAGUAGAAAGAACCUUCUCUUUGCCUGUGGCAGGAGGAAUAAUAUGAGAAAGCACCUUAUGAGAACGUGCGGUAAUUUUGAAAAGCUCCGCCCAUGUCGAGUAUUGACCAUUCUCCAUCUCAAGAAUAAUGGGGAUAUGAUUGCGGAUAUUUGACACCGCAAGAGCUGGAUGAAAGGAGCUCUUGUUACCAGACAUUGGCUGCUGAUUAGUUGUAUCAGUCAUGAUAAUGAGAAAAGAAAAGAAGAUGAGUGCUUAGCGGAAGAAAAGAAAGAAAGAAAGAUCGUGGUAUUGCCUUAAGGCUCUGAUACCAUGAAAGAAAUAAUUCCUCUGCUAUUUCAUUAACAUUGCUGGUAUAUAUACAAUGUACAACACACCCUUCAAGGCUAUAAUCAGGGAACCUAAAAUAUAUCCAAAACUAAUCAUAGAAACAGACUAACUAAUUACAAUAAAUCAUAUCCAGAAAUAUCUCCACAGAUGUCGCAUAGAUAUCUUUAACACCUAGUCCUAAACUAAAAUUAUCAGUUCGAUGUGAAAUACGAAAUCAUAUUGCAGACGUCAUUCGUUGUUCCACCUAGUCCAAAACUACUCUAAAACUAUAUUGCUGGUAGUCUUUCAGUUCAUCCUACUGUAUGCAAUAGUUUCAUAUAUAGGUAACUCGGCCUUGUGUGGACUUCCUUUAACAAAAAAAUGUCUGCACUCAGUGUCACCACCACUGGAAGUCGAAAAUAGUGAUGAUGAAGAUGAUGCUCAUGGUGAACUUAAUUGGGAAGUAAUCCUGACGGGAUGUGGAUGUGGAUUGAUUUGCGGAUUGUCUUCUGGGUACAUUGUUUUCAAAAUAGAAAGGCCUUGGUGAUUUCUGCAAAGUGCUGCAACUUAAGUUGAUGUUACGAAGCACGAAAAAUAUUGUUCGACCAAGAUCAACAACUUGAAAAUGUGUUCUGAAUCUGUAUUAAUAUUAAAAUAUUAUAAUAUUAUUCAUUUAACACUAUCGUCCAAUCAAUUUAAUUGAUUAUCAUUUAAUCAAUAUAUUAGAUAAAUAUUAAUUGUCUUCCUUACCUCUAACCAAUGAUGAAAUUAAUAACCUCCCUAUAAAUCUAUUAAGACAGCUUUGAGUUGUCAAAGUCCUCAAACAUAUUAAACACUUUGAAAAAUUUGUUUCUGCAAGUCAAAAUUGCAAACAACACUUUGAAAACUUAGGUGCCGAAUAGUCCUUAUAUUGGAUUAAUCAGAUUUAAAUAUUUAAUGGCGCUAACAAAAUCUGUUGAAGUUAGCAGUUAUAAGGCAUAUAAUUAGAAAAAUGGCACAGUAUAUAAAGCCUCAUCAUCUUUUUCACUCUGUUUUAUUUCUCUCAUUACUUCCAUCCAUUCUUACAACACUAGCUGAAACAAGACGAGAGGGAGAAGCUCUUGUGAAAUGGAAGAAUAGCCUAGCCCCGUCUUCUUUUCUCGAUACUUGGUCACUAACCAAUCUCGAUGAUCUUUGCAACUGGACUGGCAUUACUUGUAACUCUGCAGGUUCAGUCUCUGAGAUUAACCUUAAACAAAAACAACUCAGUGGAACGAUUUCUGAGUUUGGUUUCACUUCAUUUCCAAAUCUCAACAAUCUGAACAUAGCACGAAACAACUUUUACGGUCCAAUACCACCAGCCAUUAAGAAUUUGACACAGCUUCAAUACCUUGAUUUAAGCUUUAAUCAUCUCAACGGUUCCAUCCCGUACCAGGUUAGCCAUCUUCAGAAAUUACAAAUCUUACACCUGUCGCAUAAUGAAUUGCAAGCUCCAAAUUGGUCCAAUUUCUCUUCCAUGCCUUUUUUGCGCAUCCUCGGCCUCGGCAGCAAUAAUCUGGAGUCAGAAUUCCCAGAAUUUAUAUCCAACUCUCAUGGCCUCACUUUCCUUGACCUUUCUUUUAACAAGUUUACAGGUGAUCUUGUGCAUGAAUCAAUUUUUACCGAUCUACGUAAUCUCGAAAACCUCCAUCUUGCUAAAAAUUACUUUGAGGGGCCGAUUCUACCUAGUAUAUUUAAGCUUUCCAAUUUAAAAAUUCUUGAACUAUCAGGUAAUAAAUUUUCUGGUUCUAUUUCCAACUAUAUAGGUUUGCUUUCGGAGCUUGAGACCCUCUAUCUUGACUUCAAUUUUUUUGAAGGACCAAUUCCACCAAAUAUAUUCAACCUUUCUAAACUAAAAAUUCUUGAACUAACAGGUAAUAACUUUUCAGGUCCUGUUUCUAAUGAUAUAAGUUUGCUUUCCGAGCUUGAAAACCUCAAUCUUGCCUUAAAUUCUUUUGAUGGGCCUUUUCCAUCAAAUAUGUUCAACCUAACCAUAUUGAGACAUCUAAAUCUCUAUGGCAAUAAAAAUUUAUUUAAAGGAAGUAUCCCACUGGAUAUCAAAAUAAGUCACAAGGACUAAUUAAUUACAUCUAUGAAGCAUCUAUCUCCUUAAAUGUGAAAGGAACAGAGUAUGAAGUGAAAAACAUUCUUCAUAUUUACACAACCAUUGAUCUGUCAUGCAACAAAUUUCAUGGACAUGUUCCAAAGAGAGCUUAAUUAAAUGGCUUGCAUUGCUCAAUCUAUCUCAUAAUAGUCUUAACAGACAUAUGUUCUGCAUUAUUAUUAUACUUUCAUCAAUAUUUUUAAACANAACAAAAACAACUCAGUGGAACGAUUUCUGAGUUUGGUUUCACUUCAUUUCCAAAUCUCAACAAUCUGAACAUAGCACGAAACAACUUUUACGGUCCAAUACCACCAGCCAUUAAGAAUUUGACACAGCUUCAAUACCUUGAUUUAAGCUUUAAUCAUCUCAACGGUUCCAUCCCGUACCAGGUUAGCCAUCUUCAGAAAUUACAAAUCUUACACCUGUCGCAUAAUGAAUUGCAAGCUCCAAAUUGGUCCAAUUUCUCUUCCAUGCCUUUUUUGCGCAUCCUCGGCCUCGGCAGCAAUAAUCUGGAGUCAGAAUUCCCAGAAUUUAUAUCCAACUCUCAUGGCCUCACUUUCCUUGACCUUUCUUUUAACAAGUUUACAGGUGAUCUUGUGCAUGAAUCAAUUUUUACCGAUCUACGUAAUCUCGAAAACCUCCAUCUUGCUAAAAAUUACUUUGAGGGGCCGAUUCUACCUAGUAUAUUUAAGCUUUCCAAUUUAAAAAUUCUUGAACUAUCAGGUAAUAAAUUUUCUGGUUCUAUUUCCAACUAUAUAGGUUUGCUUUCGGAGCUUGAGACCCUCUAUCUUGACUUCAAUUUUUUUGAAGGACCAAUUCCACCAAAUAUAUUCAACCUUUCUAAACUAAAAAUUCUUGAACUAACAGGUAAUAACUUUUCAGGUCCUGUUUCUAAUGAUAUAAGUUUGCUUUCCGAGCUUGAAAACCUCAAUCUUGCCUUAAAUUCUUUUGAUGGGCCUUUUCCAUCAAAUAUGUUCAACCUAACCAUAUUGAGACAUCUAAAUCUCUAUGGCAAUAAAAAUUUAUUUAAAGGAAGUAUCCCACUGGAUAUCAAAAUAAGUCACAAGGACUAAUUAAUUACAUCUAUGAAGCAUCUAUCUCCUUAAAUGUGAAAGGAACAGAGUAUGAAGUGAAAAACAUUCUUCAUAUUUACACAACCAUUGAUCUGUCAUGCAACAAAUUUCAUGGACAUGUUCCAAAGAGAGCUUAAUUAAAUGGCUUGCAUUGCUCAAUCUAUCUCAUAAUAGUCUUAACAGACAUAUGUUCUGCAUUAUUAUUAUACUUUCAUCAAUAUUUUUAAACAUUUCUCAAUAUGUAUUUUCAAAGAAUUCUCAAGCACUUGAACAUUUGGACCGGUUCUUUCGAAGCCAAGAUGCCCAGGUUAUAUCAUGGCCAUACACAAAAAUGCCCAAAAAUAAAUAAAUUAAGAGAGAUUGCUCUGGGUCUCCCCAAGCCUUCCAGGACUCAUUCCAAGUCUUCUGAGGACCACUGCCUCGCCCUUUCAAAGACGUGAUAGUAGCUCAAGAGUGAUAUAAAUUACUUUCCGGACACUAAAAAUAAAUAAUCCGAUCAAAUUAAUUAAUAAUAAAUUAAGGAUGAAAUCCAAAUUAGUCCUAAAUUUUGAUAAUAUAUAAAAAUUAUAAUUAUAAAUUAUAUAACCAAAUGAGAAUUGAAUUAACUUACUUGGUACUAAAAUUGAUAAAUACAGUAUAGUAAUUUAAUUGAUGAAAAGUCAAAGUCUUCUAAUAAAUCCAUAAAGAAUAUGAAAAUCAAAAUAACGAAAAUUAUAAUUGAAAAAUCAAAAUCAAUAGUGUAUUGGAAUAUUGUUCACACACUUAUAUAUCAAAAUUUGUGGUCCAAAAAUUAUAGCACAAUAUCCUAAAUACACCACAUUAAAUAAUAGUUCAAAAAUAUUCAAUAAAUAAUUGUUUUCAUUCAUAAUUUUGUUAUUUUAAAAACUAAUAAUUUGGUUGAUGUUAACCUAUAUUUUAAUAUAUAAUUAUAUUAUUUUCAUGUUAUUUUAUUUAACCAAAAACAAUAUUUUUAUAAUAUUUAUUACAUUAAUUAUAUUAAAAGAUAUAAUUUCAUUAAAAAAAUUGAAUAAAAUUAAGAGGAUAACUCUAUGCCUCUCCAAGUCUACAAGACUCAUUUCAAGUCUACCGAGGACCACUACCAUUGAGAGAUGUGAAAGUAGUUUGAGAGUGACAUAAAUUAUUUUCCUGACAAUAAAAUGUAAUAUCUAAUAUAAAUUAAUUAAAUUAGAUAAUAAUAAAUCAAAACUAAUCAUGAAUUAUGAUAAUAAUUAAAUAAAUUAUAAUUAAAUUAUAUAAAUCAACUCCAAAUGAUACAAAUAACACUAAACCUUAGUUACUUUAUUGGUAAAAUAAAUAUAAUAUAAUAAUUAAAUUGAUGAAAAAUCAAAAUCAUCUAAUAAAUUCACAAAAAAUAUAUGAUCAUUAGUAUAUUAUAUCAGUAUCCACACACUUAUAUUUCAAAAUCUAUCCUACAAAAUUAUCAUCUCUGUAAACUAGCCACAAAAAAUAAAAAUUUAAAGAUAUUAGAUAUUUAGUUAUUUUCAUUAUAUAAUUUUUCCACACUAAAUAACAAAAUAUCUUUAUCAAAUUAUUAUUUAUGAAUUAAAUAUUCAAGUUAUAAUUCCAGCAUGCAGCGUAUAAAUAGAAGUGUGCAGUAUGAUAUCAGAUUCAUAACCCAGUUGAGGAGAAACAUGGCACACUCUGUGAAGCCUUCUCACCUUCUUCUCUUUGUUUUCUUUCUCUCAUCACUUGAAUCCAUUCUUGCAACAACACGAGAGGGAGAAGCUCUUGUGAAAUGGAAGAAUAGCCUAGCCCCUUCUUCUUUUCUCGACUCUUGGUCCCUCACCAAUCUCGAUAAUCUUUGUAACUGGACUGCCAUUACUUGUAACUCUGCAGGUUCAGUCUCUAAGAUUAACCUUUUUGAGAAACAACUUAAUGGAAUGCUGUCCGAGUUCGGUUUCACUUCAUUUCCAAAUCUCAACUAUCUCACACUCGCAGACAACUUCUUCUCGGGUCCGAUACCACCAGCCAUUGAGAAUUUAACACAGCUUCAAUAUCUUGAUUUAAGCAUGAAUAGUCUUAAUGGUCCCAUUCCGUUCCAGGUUAGCCAUCUUCAGAGCUUGCUCAUCUUGAAC